GAUAAUGGCAGAAUUCUUUGUUUCAGAUCUUUGGCCUGGUCUUCCUUUUGUGGGUUUGGUUGAUAGGCUCAUGGGAAAAAUGGAUCGGGUAGAGAAAUGCUUCAAAAGUCUUGAUUCAUUUUACGAAGAACUCAUUGGUGAACACCUCGACCCUCAAAACCGAAAGUCUAAUGAUGAAGAAGAGGAUAUAGUUGACAUUCUACUCCGACUUAAGAAAGAUAAAGAAUUCAGUUUCACUUACGAUCACAUUAAAGGCAUGCUCGUGGUAAUCAUUACUUGCUCAUUUUAUCAAUUGCAUAAGAGCUCGUUUCAUUCGCAAGAUUUCUAUUAAACAUCAACUUUGAUUUUCAUAUGUCCCAUGGUAACCUAUCAUAACACAUGUUUGACAAAAUUUAAUCAUGUUUGUAUGUUUUUCUAAAAAUAUUAAUUAAUCCAAUCAAAAUUCAGAUAAAGUAUAUUUGAUAAUUUGUUAGAGCUUCUAGUGGCGAAACUAAAAAUUUUGAUAUUAAGGUACAAACAUGAUCAAGAUAUAUUUUAUGUAGUUAUCCCUUAAAUUAAAAAAAACAUGGUACAAUCGUUUUAUUUGGGUGAUACAAUAACAAAAAACAUAUAUAUAAAUAAUUUUUUUUAUAUAUAUAACAUAAUUCAUUGGGAUACCAUAGUACCCCACCGCCCCAAGUAACUCCGCUACUGAGAGCAUAUAUAUAUGCGCAUAAUCUAAUAGAAAAGUUGAGCAAAAUGAUAUGUCUAUUUGAUACAUAUUAAAUAAAUUAAACUCUAUCAUUGUGAGAUUUUAUUUAGUCUUCAAUAGAUAUGAAAUUAAAAUAUCAUUGAAGUCUUUAAUGAGAAAACCAAAUAUUUUUAAUUCUUAAAUAUAUGUUAGCUUAAUACAACAUAAUUUAUUUAUGAAAGAGUUAUAUAAAUAAUAAAAUAAUGAUGUAACAAUUUUGANNNNNNNNNNNNNNNNNNNNNNNNNNNNNNNNNNNNNNNNNNNNNNNNNNNNNNNNNNNNNNNNNNNNNNNNNNNNNNNNNNNNNNNNNNNNNNNNNNNNNNNNNNNNNNNNNNNNNNNNNNNNNNNNNNNNNNNNNNNNNNNNNNNNNNNNNNNNNNNNNNNNNNNNNNNNNNNNNNNNNNNNNNNNNNNNNNNNNNNNNNNNNNNNNNNNNNNNNNNNNNNNNNNNNNNNNNNNNNNNNNNNNNNNNNNNNNNNNNNNNNNNNNNNNNNNNNNNNNNNNNNNNNNNNNNNNNNNNNNNNNNNNNNNNNNNNNNNNNNNNNNNNNNNNNNNNNNNNNNNNNNNNNNNNNNNNNAUAUAUAUAGAGAGAGAGAGAGAGAGAGAGAGAGAGAGAGAGAGGCUCUAUUGAAAUUCAAAAAAAAAAGUUUGAGAUCAUGAGAUUCAACCUCAGUCAUAUAUUUUCUCAUGUGCCGCUCUAACGCUCCAGCAUACUGCCACGGUGAGAGAGUUGUUAUCAUAAAUGAUUAUGCAAUACUACCCAUUCCUUUUUCCCCGCCGCCUUCCCAACCACCACUGCAACCUUAGCCACUAAUCGACCCCAUUAAUACCACAUCCGUCAUCUGUACCACUGUCACCUUUGUCACCACCACCUCCUCUGUCACCAACCACCAUAAUCAUAUAUGAUUAAUAAAUUUGACAACAUACUUAUGUGCAUAAUCAUUUAUGAUUAGACAUAUAUGUAUAAAAAUGUAUAAUCAUAUAUGAUUAGAUCUUCUGCCAUAUAACAAUUUAUAAUUAGGCAUUAUCCUGCCCACCGGUAAGCUGGAGCGUUAAAAUGAUAAUGAAAAAUAUAUGGUUGAUGUUGAAUCUUAAGAUAUCUAUUUUUUCUAGAAUCUCAAUGGAACUGUCGUCUCUCUCUCUCUCUCUCUCUCUCUCUCUCUGUAUAUAUAUAUAUAUAUAUANNNNNNNNNNNNNNNNNNNNNNNNNNNNNNNUUAUUUGUCACAAAAAGCUUGUCACCUUAUGUUCGAGAUCGACUCUUUAAAAGCUUGACUCGAGAUCGAAUUAAACGAACUUGAGCCAAGCUCAAGCCUAAAAGUGAGGCUCGUUUCUUGAACGAGUUCGAGCCGUGCUUUAAUCAGUGAGCUCACGAGCUUAAAUGAGUUUAUAUAUAAUAUGAAUUAUUAUUAUUUUUAUAUGUUAAAAUAAAAAUUUAUUUGAGGAAUUAAGGAUUUAAGGUAUUAAUAAACGAGCUUCUUAACGAGCUUGAACCAAGUUAUUUAGCCUCAUUAGACAAAAACGAGCUAAUCUUGUUCCUGAGCCUACAUAAUUUUUACGAGUUCGAGCUGAUCUCCGUCCAAUAAAGAUCGAAUCGAACUGAGCUCAAACUCAAGCCCUUAUAACUUAAAAGAGCCCAGGCGGAGUCUGUCAAACUCGGGCUCAGCUUGGCUCGUUUACACCCUAAACAUAAGCAACCAAAAACAAUUUAUGGAUGAUUAUUUGUAACUUUGUAAGUAACUACCGUCUAAUUUAUAAAAUAAUCAAUUUUAAUGAUUUGGAAAAAAUAAAAAUAGUUAUUAAAUGAUAUUUCAAAUAGCGUAAUAACUUUCUCCACUAAAAUUCCCCAAAAAGUAAUGUCAUUAUUUUCUACUUAUCAUUUUAUCUAUGAUAAACCAAAACAAAAUCAUCUUUAAUAAAAUUCAAUUAAAAUUAUUUAUAAAAUUUUGCAAUAAUAAUUCUUUUUAAAAUAACACAACUGCUUUGAUCAUAUAUUAAUAAUAAAUUAAUAAAUUAGAAUAAUAAAGAAAAUAUAAUUCUUUUAAACCUCUUUACUUAUAUAGACAAAAAGUUUCAAAUUAUUUUUAAAAAUCGUACUAAAUGAGCCGACAUAAUAUCCUCUGAUUGUGUGGAAGACAAAUUGAGACUAUUUUUUUCCACUUGAAUAGAACCCUUAUUGGAUUUACAUGACAAUUCUGGAAGCCGCCAUUAUGCACGCGACUGUAAAUUUAUUGUUGUGUUUAUGAUGCAUCCAAGUCUAACGCACUGUUUUUUUUAUCUUCCGUGUAUCUAGUCAAUACAACCAAAACUACUACUGGAGGUUCAUAGAAUCUAAAAAAUGGCACUGUUGUUUCUAUUUCUUCUUGUGUGUGUUCCUCUCCAAUCUCUCCUCUAUUCUCUUUCAAAAAUCUUCAAAAACAGAUCUUGUUCAUGUCCACCAUGCCCUCAUGGACUACCUUUCAUCGGAAACUUGCACCAGAUCAAUUAUUCGAGCCUCCAUACUUUCCUAUGGCAACUCUCGAAAUCCUACUGCCCAAUCAUAUUUCUUCAAUUCAGUUUCAUUCCGGCUAUCGUUGAUUCUUCCGUGAGUGUAGCGAAAGAAGUCCGGAAAACCCAAUAUAUAUAUUUUUGCAAUAGGCCAUCAUUUGUUGGGCCAAAAAAAUUAACUUACAAUUACCUUGAUGUAACCAUUUCCCACUACAACGAUAAUCGGAGAGAUAUGAGAAAGAUUUAUAUGUUCCAUUUGUUGAGCCCUAAAAAAGUAGAAUCUUUUGGGUAUAUUCGUGAGACGAGGUCUCACGUACCAUGAAGAAGAUACAUGCGCUAGCUUUUUCGUUUAAUACCGUAAACUUGAGCGAAACUAUGAAGCAUGUGGACGUUACUUUAGUGACGAGAGUAGGCCUUGGAAGAGUUAUCAGGAUGAACAUGAAACAAAAGAGGUUCUUCGACUACUUAAUGAACUUCAAGGGAUAUAUAACGUCAGAAUUCAUUGUUUCAGAUCUUUGGCCUGGUCUUCCUUUUGUGGGUUUGGUUGAUAGGCUCAUGGGAAAUAUGGAUCGGGAAGAGAAAUGCUUCAAAAGUCUUUGAUUCAUUCUAGACAAAAUUGCAAAAAUGGUCCCUGUAGUAUGCAUUUUUUUGGGGUUUCAGUCGAGGACCAUUUCUAUAUAUUUCCACAUACAAAAGGAAAAAAUUAACAACAAAAAAUUAACGAAAGUUCGGAGGACCAUUUUUUUGGGGUUUCAGUCGAGGACCAUUUCGAGGCAUGGUCUUCAUUUUGUGGGUUUGGUUGAUAGGGGGUUAACAACAAAAAAUUAACGAAAGUUAAGUCGGAGGACCAUUUCUACAUACAAACUAGGCCAAAAGGACCAUGAAUCCAAAAAAGUCGAGGUUUGGACUGAAACCCCAAAAAAAUGCAUACCACAAAGACCAUUUUUGCAAUUUUGUCUUCAUUCUACGAAGAACUCAUUGGUGAACAGCUCGACCCUCAAAACCGAAAGUCUAAUGAUGAAGAAGAGGAUAUAGUUGACAUUCUACUCCGACUUAAGAAAGUUUCACUUACGAUCACAUUAAUUAAAGGCGUGCUCGUGGUAAUCAUUACUUGCUCAUUUUAUUAGUUGAAUAAGAGCUCAUUCGUUCACAAGAUUUCUAUUAAGCAUCAACUUUGAUUUUCAUAUGUCUUAUCAUAUUUUGGAGGAAUUAGGUUUACGUUGGAGAUUUGGAUACCCCUUGGAUCGUAUAAACACUUUUUGAACUGAGAUUUCUACCUUAUAUAUAGGUUGGAAGAAAUUCAGUUUAGGAUAAUCCAAGAAGACAUUUAUGAAUCUAGACACAGAAAUUGUAAACUGAAUUGCUAGAAUGACUCUAUGUUCAUCUGAAAAAUAGAGAGCUAAUAGUUGUGUGUCUCUUUUCAUAGAGAAUAAUCGUUUAUAUAAUAAACGAGAUUUUGAGUUUGCCUCUUAGGGUUGGCUGUCAUGAGUUGCUUUGGAAGCAAGUCAGAAAAUACGGAAUUUAAUGAGAAAAUCAAGAGUUUCCAAAACUGACAAAUUUCUUCAGUUUUACCAUAAUCGCCCUCAAGAAUUCGAUUUUUCCACUAUGUUCCUAUAUGCAAGCUAGAAUUCGAAUUUCGUCAGUUUUACACCUUGGAUCGUGUGAACACUUUUUGAACUGAUAUUUUUACCAUAUGGGUUGCAAGAAAUUCAACCUAGGAUAAUCUAAGAGAACACUUAUGAAUCUAGACACAAAAAUCGUAAGCCAAAUUGCUAGAAUGAUUCUAUGUUCGUCUGAAGAAUAGAGAGCUAAUACUUGUGUGUCUCUUCUCAAAGAGAAGAUUCGUUUAUAUAAUAAAUGAGAUUUAGGGUUUACCUCUUAGGGUUGGCCGUCAUUGGUUUCUUUGGAAGCAAGUCAGAAAAUCAGUAAUUUAAUGAGGAAAUCAAGGGUUUUCAAAAUUGACGAAUUUCGUCAGUUUUACCAUAAUCCCUCAAGAAUUUGAUUUUUCCAUUAUGUUCCCAUAUGCAAGCCAUGGGCUCUUCCCCUUGGACCCCUCUAUGGGCGUUUCCCCUAGACCUUGCCAAAGGGGCGUAUCCUUUUUGGAAACCCCAAACUUAGGGGCGCUGCCCCCGUACCCUCGAAUUGUCGUCGAACAAACUUCUAAUUCGAUCUUAUAAAUGCAUGCACUUCGUACAAACUCGUACAUAUAUUAGAGUAUGAAUUAUGAAGCCCCUUAGCUGACAUAUUAGUUCCAAUUACAUAAAAUGACAUGAUGACACUAAAAUCACCAACAAUGCUCCCCCGUUUUGGUGUAACCCUUGAACAAACAUAACUUUAUCAAAACAAAACCAAACUGGUACAUAAUGAAAAUAUCAAAACGAUUGAAUUUCCACUUAGUAUCAUUGUAACGACCUAAAAAUCACGACUAAAAAUUUCUUUUAAAACAUUACUAAAACCAUAUUUAUAAAAACGUAUCAUAAGUCAUAACAUAAUUUUCGAGUAUUAAAUUCAAACCAUAAUCUCAUUAUCAGAGUAAAACAUUCCCCAGGCUAACUGACUAUGGUGUGUGCACUGCAACCUCUCCAAGCUCCUCUUUUGAAAACUGAGUACCUGAAACCAAAACUGAAAAACGUAAGCACGAAGCUUAGUGAGCUCCACCAAACUACCACAUACCAUACAACAUAUAAAGCACAUACUAGGCCUUGCCCACUGCAUCGGACCGAGGUUCGGACUAACUGGGGCCUUGCCCCCUACAUCGGACCGAAGUCCGGAAACUGACUGUGACCUUGUCCCCUGCAUCGGACCGAAGUCCGGACUAACUGGGGCCUUGCCCCCUGCAUCGGACCGAAGUCCGGAAAACUGACUGGGACAUUGUCCCCUGCAUCGGACCAAAGUCUGGACUAACUGCAUCGGACCGAAGUCCGGAACUUACUGAACAUAACAUAGCAUAAGCACCUAUCAACUAGCAUAAACACAUAUACUGCAUACGGCAUCGGGUCGUGGCCCGGAACAAAUAACACAUAAAUCCUGUCUGAGCCACGAAGGCAUCAAACAUACUAACUACUGAAAUAAAAAUAAAAUAAAAAUAGAGGGUUGUACCAACAAGUCAUCGAGAUAGCCUUUUCACACGGAUCGCCAGCGUGGCAAGGCGACGACAUGUCGUCAGGGUAUAUCUCCUAAAAUGGCAUCGUUUCUUCUUUCUACACCAUGGAAUAAAAAUAAAUGUAAAUUACAUUUAUCGUGACAUAUACCAACAACAUGUCGUUGACAUAGAAUUUCAGAAGACCGCGUAAAGUUUUCGUUUCCCGCCGAAGUUGUGCCGACAACAUGUCGUUUGCAUAACGUUUCCGAUAAAACUAAAUUGGUCACAGUUGUCAAAAGCUCUGCCAACGACAUUUCAUUGGUAUAGCAUUGCUUCUAGGGAUGACAUCUGUUGUCGGGAUAGGUGCCGUCCCAUAGAUAGUUAUUCUUGUAGUGUAUAUUGAUGAACUAAAUUCAAUGAAGUAAUUUAAUUUGUCGUGUGUGUGUGUGUUUAUAUAUAUAUAUAUAUAUAUAUAUAUAUAUCAUUUUGUGGUAAUUUAAAACUUAAUUUAUAACUGAUAAACUGUUAUCUAAAAGUAUAUGACAACCUGCCCCAAGAGCAAGUGAGUGGUAUGGAUUCAGUAAUAUGUUUUCUAAUAUACUUUAUAGAGGAUAUGUAAAUUAUUGCAUGUGAUAGCAGGGGUAGAGUGGGUCUACUUAAUAGUAGAAGGAUAACCAUAAUUCCAACAAUCACCACUCACAUGAAAAUAAUGAAACGUAGUCUACUUCAUCAAUGUGAUUUAAUUUUUCAUGUAUAUUUAAACUUGUUAUGCCUUUGCGUUUAACUAAGGUAUUGUUUAGGAUCUUUAUUUAUAGCAGAUUAACCUUUCACUCUCUGCUUUCUUUGUUCUAACGUCUUAUAUUGUUGUUGUUGUUGUUCUCGUGUUAGGAUAUCUUGGCAGCUGGGACAGAUACUAGUGCCGCUACAGUGAUUUGGGCAAUGACGUUAUUAGUGAACAACCCCAAUGUAAUGAAGAAAACACAAGAAGAAGUGAGAAAUGUAGUUGGAAAGAAAGGUAGAGUUGAUGAGGAUGAUCUUUCAAAGCUCACAUAUUUGAAGGCAGUUGUAAAAGAGACCUUGAGGUUAUAUCCUCCGGCUCCUCUUUUAGUACCUCGAGAAAGUCAGAAAGAUGUCAGUUUACAUGGCUACAAAAUCAAGAAAAAAACCGUAGUUUACGUGAAUGCAUUUGCCAUUGGAAGGGACCCAGACGCUUGGGAGAACCCAGAGGAGUUCUUACCAGAAAGGUUUUUGGGUAGUGAUAUUGAUUUUAGAGGGAAUAAUUUUGAGUUCAUUCCAUUUGGAGCUGGUCGAAGAAUUUGUCCUGGAAUCUCGAUGGGUGUUGUCACAGUGGAGUUAUUGCUUGCGAAUCUUGUUUACUUGUUUAAUUGGGCUUUGCCUGAUGGGAUGAGGAAGGAAGACUUAGACUUUGAGGCGAUGGAAGGAAUAACCAUGCAAAAGCGGAAUGAUCUUUGCCUUGUAGCUCAUAUAUACGCCUGAAAUAUUCUAUUAAGCAUGAUUUAGUGGUGAUCACUUUGUAUCAAAUUAACAUUUCAAAAUAUAGUCGGGUUAGAUUCGACUUAUAUAGGCUUCAACCUUAGGGUGGCUUACUGUUAAAAAAAUAAACUUGUAAAAUAUACUUUUCAUCAUUAAUAUUUCGUAGAUUAUAUUUUAUUCUAGUUAAAUAAUGUAUGAUAUGUUACAUGUUUAAAACGUUUCAAAAUAAUAUUUCCUACGUUAUAUUUUAUUCUAGUUAGCUAGUAGCUAUAGCUUGUUAAUCUUUAAUUAGAGUUAGAUCAAUUGAUUAAAUGUUGAUUUUGUUUUUCAUUUUCAUCAUGUGUUGUUUCCUAAACCAGUGAAAUAAAGAUGUAUUAUUUAUAUUUGUGUUUUUUUCCCUCUUAGUUCUUUUUAUUUUUUUUUUUAAUUUUUUUUUUACUUUUAUGUUUUUAUCAUGAUUUUUUUAAUAACGAAAAGGAAAGACAUAAAAGUUAAUUUUUUAAUUUUUUUUUAUUUUAUAUAAAAUAGGCUAAUCUAGAAUAUAAUUACUUUAGUGGCAAUAUUUUUGUUUUUUAUUCAUUCAUUUACAAAUAAAUAAAUAAAUAAAAUGAACAUGUAUAUCAUUCAUUUUGGUUAUUAAAAAAAUCAUGAUAAAAACAUAAAUGUAAAAACACAAGACAAAAAAAAAACACAAAUAUAAAUAUUACAUCCUUAUUUCACUGGAAACUAUAAAUAUUACAUCCUUAUCUAACUCUAAAGAUUAACAAGCUAUAGCUACUAACUAGAAUAAAAUAUAAUAUACAAAAUAUUAUUUUGAAACGUUUUAAACAUGUAACAUAUUGUAUAUUAUUUAGCUAGAAUAAAACAUAAUGUAUGAAAUAUUAAUGAUGAAAAUUAUAUUUUACAAGUUUAUUUUUUUUAAUGGUAAGCCACCCUAAGGCUUAAGCCUAUAUAAGUUGAAUCUAACCUGAUUAUAUUUUGAAAUGUUAAUUUGAUACAAAGUGAUCACCACUAUAGUAUGAUUUACUUUAGGUUUUAAAUUUUACCCUAUAUUUUUAAGUUUAUUUGAUAUAUUAAUUUAGGUUAUGUAUUUAACAUUAUAUUAAAGUUAUUGAUAAAUCAAGAAGUCUUACAUUUAUGAUAAUAUUAAUAAUUAAUAACAUAUUUACGUUAGAAAAUAUAUUAUAGGGAAAUAUGAAAAGUUUGGAGUUUUGAAUUGAUGUUGUGAAAGGAAAAAUGUUUCUUUAUAAGUAUAGUAUGAUAUGAUAUAUAUAUAUAUAUAUAUAUAUAUAUAUAUAUAUAUAACUUAUGAAAACCAAAGUUAGCAAAUUAACAGUCAUAAUUAUUAACCAAUGAUUUUCAUACAUUUAAUAAUUUAUAGAUUAUUUAUCUGCAAGUUACAACGAUUGAUUCAAAUUAAUAUGUAAACUAUUUUUCAAUAUUUUCUAUCAUUAAAUUCCAUAACCACAUUUCCUCAAUUAUUUGUUACUUCCUGGUUAGUAACUAUGUCCAACAUCACAAUGUAAUUACAAUACGAUUGCUUCAAGUUGUUAAAGAAUUGAUUCCUUAAUGUUCUAAUAAUUCAUAGUCCAAGUGUUUAAUCAUCAAGUCCCAAAUAGCAACGUAAUUUGAAACUGAAACUUAUUCCCUUUUCAUUAAGUUAACUUCAUUCAAGAAUAAACUAACGACACAAAUAUCAAAAGCACAAGAAUGACAAUAACAACUUUAAUAAAUUCUAGUCAAAUAAACUUCAUAAUCAAUAUCUAAUCUAAACUACAACAACUUAUCUACCUCUACUAUAGUCAUACUUGGAUGUUCAUAAGAUGAUUUCUUUUCACUUUAUAUCUUCUAGGCAAGGAUUCAUAUAUAGGAGUUUAACCUAACACGGUUGAACUUUGACUGAAUGUAUAGCUAGUGGGUCCUCUUCAGGUUCUUGAUAGGCCUAGGGGUUUGAUUCUUGGUUUAUAAGAAAAUAAUAUAGAUCAUACACGCCAUCUGAAAUAGCAGGAAAAAAAUAGUUUUAGUUCAUUUCUUUUUCCCAAUUAAGUGCUAUCCGGAACAAUGAGGCAUAUACCAAAUUUAGGCCGAACAAUAUCACAUAAACAAAACUAAUUAGAACAUAAGAAGCACCAAAAACAAAGAAAUGAAAGAAACACAACCAAAAAACUACACCGGGAGCUAAGAAAAGCAAAACACUUCAAUAAAUUUUAGUCAAACAUAUAUCUUAAUCCCUUAUAAUGAUAAUUAAAAACAAACAUUCAAAUAUUAAAAAAAUUGGAAUAGGAUUAUUCAACGUGAAUAAAACCAAAAAUCAAGAUUACAUAAUCAUAAAAUAAUUUGGUCUUGAUCACUAAAACUCUGUCAUGGGAUUAUCUUAACAUAAAAAUCACUAACCGAGAUACAACAUAUCAUUCAAUCAGCUAAAAUCAACUCAAGAAUUAUAAAAUUUAGUCUAAAUGAGCCUAUAAUUGUUCAUUAAAUUAUGAAAUUGUCAUAGAUGAUUAAUAUAAUUUUAACUAUUUAUUGCCAUAUUACCAAUCUUGGUGGCCUUGCAUCCCCGUUUUUAAUAAAUAGCCCCUUCGGUUUGAGUUUUAAAGUUAUCAAUUUGGGAUUCUAGCUCAAACACUUGAUUCAAGUGAAAUUAUAUUUGAAGACAAUAUCCAAUUUGAAAUUCUAGUUAAGACUUCAAACUAAAAUUAUAGUUCCAAACUAUAUUUUGUAACUAAUCUCUAGUCUCCGACUUGACUUUAUACUUUGGAUCGUACAAACAAUCAACAAAAUGUGUUUCUUAAUAAAAACAUAAAAGAACAUGGGUUGAAUAAACAACGACAUGUGCAAGUUUGAAGACAUGAAGAGAAAAUCCAAAAAAUUAGAAGAAAAAGAAGGUUUGUAUCGGAUCAUAUAUAGUUUUUUGAUAGAUCAUGUAUAGGUUUUUUAUUGUAUAUUUUUGUGAAGCUCAGAUCGAUGCCCAUUAAACCUAACUGCCUAUGAAACAAUCUUAAAAACACUUCCAUGUGUAGCUUCUUGAACCUUCGGUUACACAAACCAUGAAGUAAUUCUAAAUGAUUACCUAAUUUUGAAUUUUUCAAGCACCAAGCAUUACAAAACAGUUUUACGAACUCGUAUAAAGAGUUGUUUUGCAACAUCAGAUAGACCUUUUAACCUGAAACAAAUUUUUUGAUGAAUCAAAUACCUAUAAAAACAUAUACCAAACAAUUAGUCCUUACGUACAAUUAAGAUCAGAAAGGAUAAAAAAUGUAGGUCAUGGAAGAAUCAAGAAGAAGAUUACUAGAGAAAUUAUGGGUAUCCCAAAGAAGGAUUAUAUGAUCAUUCCAUUGAAAACAUGUUGAUUUCAACCUCCAACUUCCAUUCCAACAUUGAAAUUAGAUUAAAUUAAAGUUAGAUCAACUGAUACAUUAAUUGAAAAAGACUACAAAACAACUACAAAAUAUUAAAAAAAUAAUAAAAUUAUGAUCAACUUGAGCACUUUGCUAGUCUGAUGGCAUGUUGAUGCUUACUAAAAGUGAUGGAUCUUUCCAAAAACAAAUAAAAUCAAUCGAUACAUACCCAAUUUACUGAUUGCUACUUGUUUAAUCACUCCCCGUGUUGUAACAACAACAUGCCUUUGUGUAAUACUUGGUAAUGGUAUAUGAAUGGUUUUUGACAACAAAUCCUAGUCAUCGGAGACAGUAAAAAUCGAUUAGCACAUUAGAAAAGACGAUUUAAGGAAAAAACUGAAACAUCCCAAAAAUUAAUAGGUAAAAAUUUCGUUUUUAAUUCAACCGAAACACCAAUUAUAUUUUAUUUAAACAUUCAAAAGUAUUUCAUAAUUAAACAGUCACCAGACUACAAUCCCAAAAUCAUCAUGUUGCGGAAACAUGGAUGGAUGCGUUGCGAUCAAGUAGGAUCCUUCCCUUUCGAACCGGAAGUAUCUGAAACCAUAACCAUAAAAACGUAAGCGCAAAGCUUAGUGAGUUUCCCCAAAAUACCGCAUACCAUACAUACCAUUGGGUCUAGCCCUCACAUUAGGCCCAACCCACACAUUGGCCUAACCCACUAUAAUGAGCCUAGCCCUGCCAAACCAAUGGGCCUAGCCCGAUCUGCUGGGUUUUGGCCAUAAGAACAUCCUAUGUGCUCAUACAAACCCUAAUGCUUGGAUCUAGGUUUCUCUAUUGUACAUACAAUUCAUCCAAGACUUUAAACCCUAGUUCUAGCAUACAAGUAAUCAUAUUAACAUAAGAAUGGGUUUAAGUUAUUACCUUUAUUGUUAUGUAGCAAUAACAAUCUCAAAUCCUUCUUGUAUUGACUUUAGAAAGCUUAGAGUCACAAAUGUCACUCCUCUAAUGGUUCACAAACACCAAGAGCAAGAGGAUGAGGAGGAGAAGAGAAGGAGGCUGCCCAAAAGCGUGUGGAAACCCUAACCAAUUAGUUCAUCACGUUUUUGGGGCUAUAGGGUCCUUUAAAUAGUGAAGCUAUUAGGGUUAUCUAACAAGGAAACCCUAAUUUGGAUGCUUAGGCCCUAAGCAACCCAUGGGCUCCUUCCUUAAAGGCCUAGGACGAUUUCUAAUGGGUUUCCCCAUAGAAUUCGUCCACCCCUUUAAUAUGGAGCCCAUUAGCUCAAUAUUCAACUAUCAUAUAAUUGACAGUUCUAGUCCCUUAAGUUUAAUUAAUCUCAUUUAGUCACAAAACUAAUUACUAAUUAAUUCUUGACUAAUAUUAAUUAAACAAUAUGAUUUCUCCUUUAAUAUAUUAUCCUCAUAAUAUAUUAAUAAAUCAUAUUUAAUCCUUUCUCUCCAUAAUUCAUCCUAUCAAGUUGCUUUGGUGAAGGCAACCCAAAAGGACCAUGCACCAUCGGGUCAAGUACAUACCAAAAUAGUUAUGGACUUAGACACUAAUCCAACAGUCUCCCACUUGGAUAAGUCUAAUAACUAUUCUGCGUAUGACUUCGGAUCCUGAUCUGCAAUCGUAGCUUUCCAAAGCCGCUGUCAACUCUGAUCAUAUCAGAUACGCGUGUCCUUAGAUAAGGGAUCAUAUAUUCCUCCAUUCUAGAUAUCAUAUGAGAUAUGAUUUCAAAUCAUUCUCUUUGUACUAUAUCUCGAUUCCCGAUUUAUGACGACUGACUAAUUGAACAAAUCAAAUUAGCCCUAGCCCGGCCGAGCAUUUACGUUUGUCAUCACUAAAUCAUCGAGGGGCCCAAAGAUAUCGCUUUUAUCCUACUUUGGAUAAAAGGAACGGAUAAACUUUGAUACAAUGCUUGCUUGCACUCACUCACCGAAUCACACACAACAAUAUGUUUUAUAACACCAAGUUACUAGUGCGUUUACAUAUUAUCAAUGUGCAACCGAUUUGCAAGAUACAACUCACACAUCUCGGUUUCAAGAAUAUAAGAUGUUAUCGUCUCACCAAUCACUCGUGAUACAAUUCAUGGAGUGAUCCAAGUGAGCGUGGGUUUAAUCCAAUGCUCAAAUCAUAUUCAUAAGCACUCAUGAACGUUGCAGCAAACAUUUGCUUAUGUCUAAUACUCUUUUAGACAAUCCACACACCAAUUCACGACAGUCUUCAUUCAUAUCUACUUCCAACAUAUGAACGACUGUGGCCCGUUUGAAUAAUUCGAUUAUUCUUAAUAAACUCAAUUAUUCUGGAAGUCAAAACAUGCAAAUGUGAAACACAAGAAUAAUACUAAUCCCAUAUGGCCUCAAACCUUUGAGUAUAAAUAAAACACCUUUUAUUUAUCACCAUAUUGAUUACUCAUUAUUUGUCGUUUCGGGUAAUCAACUUCUUACUUGAAUUCCAACACUUGUCCCAUGCUCCUAGCAUGCACACAAUGUUUACCUAUGGUUCUUACUUUGUGAAAUAGAUCACAUUGAACACAUUUCCAAUCCUUCUCAUUUCACAACUCCAAAUCCCUUUUUCAUAAGUGAAAGAAUAUCAAAUUCUUGCUACUUAUAGAAUAUGCUAGAUUCUAACAUUCUAUGCAACUAUCCUUUCGUAAUGUCACUGCACCAAAGUCACAAAGACUAUUGCCAAUGAUAUUACAAAGUCCUCUAUCGGAGAUUGUUACAAGACAAUUCCAUAGACGUGAUGUCUCUCACUCAAAGUACAUUCUUUGAACAUCCUUUUGCAUAGAAGUUUCUAAUCUAGUCAUAGAUUUCUCAAUAUUCAAUUCCCAAUAUGGACACACUUCCAUAUGUUCCAUAUGACAACUCAUUCUUAAUAGAAUCUUAUCUAUUCGUAAUGAUGUCGAUAUGGUCCAUCCAAUAUGGAAACAUUUCCAUAUUUUCCAAUACUAUACUUCCAACUACUCACAAGCGACCAAUCCUCGUCGAACUUUGGAUUGUCCUUUGAUAGUUGUUUAAUUAUUUUAGUCAAAACCAAUUCUAGUCCCUUUUCCCUCUAAAUGCGCUCGACAUUUGGAAAAUUUUAGAAUGGUCAAACAUUAAAGCAUUUGCAAUCGAUCCUAUACCCGAAGCGUAUGGGACACGACGCAUAAUGUUUUAUUUGCUAUGUUCUCAAAAUUCGAAUUGUGAAGAGGAAUGCCGUAAUCAUAAUCGAAAUUUUAAGAACACACUAUGUACCUUUGACUAAAUUUAUUAACAUUUCUCAACCUAAUCCUUUAGAUUUGAAAUGAAGCAUAAUAUUCUCUCCCUUAAUUAUAGCAAAACAACUUUACAACCCUUACGACUUUGCAAGGUAUAACUCUUGUUUUCUAUAAUUAAUAUUGCCAACUUGCAAUACGUGCCUUAAUAAUCAUACAAUCAUAACAUUUAUGCUCCCACUAUCAUGAUGAUUAUUAUAAAACAUAACACUUAUGCUCCCACUAGCUUCGACAUGUAUUCAUAAACAUCUUAACUUUCAGAAAAACAAUACUUAUUGAAUUUCUUAAGUUCAUGUUUCUAAUACUUAGUGCUUUGAUAAUCUUUUAUCAAGGCUUCUUGAACUUAUACACCUUUGCCUUCGAUAGUUCAUAUGUGUGUCUAAACAAUUAAGACUAAUUGCCAAACCUCACAAUUCAAAUUAUGGAAAGGGAUACCGUAACCAUAAUCGAAUUCGAGAAUGCAAUUUUACAAUCACUAUCUUCUUAAAAUCUUUCUUAGUGAAAGCAUUUCCUCACAAUCAUUUUCAUGAAGGAGGAAAUCUUAUGACACUUAGAUUUAAACGGUGUAUGUGUUCCUAUCCAUGUGAAUUUGUUAAAACCAAAGUUUACGACAAAUUCAAACUCAUAUGGACCGAACUUUCUUAAUCUUGAUUUCUUGCCUUAUGGUAGCACAGCUGCCCACCAUGUCUUCCAAGUAGUUAAGCAGCUCACCCUUUCCUAUCAAUGUACCUUUCAUUGAUUAAGGUGCUUUGCCUUUUAUGCGUUCAAAAUGAGAACUCAUAGAACUCACAUGCAUAAUUAACUCGAUUGGAUUGGCACAGAAUCAAAAUAAUGUCAACACGAUAGGUUGUAAACCUCAACUCGUGUGCUAGUGAUGAUCGAUAAGGUUUAUUUGAUUUGUUCUUGAAACCUUUCAAGACCAUUAAGACUCCCACUGACUCCUUGACAUAUAAGAUUCUCUUGUCAAUAAACAUUUCUUGACAAACAAAUAUUCAAGAGUUAGUGUAGCUUUUAUCAAAACACUUCAUAAAUUGGUCCUAGUUGGUCUUUGUCUUAUCCAAGACAUCACAACUUUCCACAUUUGAUGAAUGUUAUAAACCUUCUUAAUACUUAUCACUCAAUGUCACAAUCUUAACUCUAAGACUUGUUUUGGAACGAAGUAUGAUUGACUUCUUGAUUUAACCAUUUCUUCAAUUCUUGAUUCCUCUUCUUAGACAUACAAUUGUACUAAGACUCACUUAGAGGAUCAAUUGAGAUAUGGUUCUUAAUCAUUAAGACCUAUCAUAAAGCAUAAAAGGUACUCUCCCUUCUUCUUAGAAUGGAGAAACUUUUAUCUUUCUGCCUACUUGAUUCUUCUUAUUCGUUCUGCUAUUGAUUUAAACUUUUUCAAUCAAUUCAGAAUUACACUUAAUCUUAUAAGUAUAAUCAUAUUUACUAAACCUUUAGUAAAUCAUGACGAAUAUCUUUGUUACUCUUAUGGUGGACUUGAUCAACACGCAACUUUGUGUACUCGAUCUCCUAGUCCUUCACUUGACACUUUGUCAAUGAAUUAGUCUAAUUUCCAAAUAUGAAAUUUCUCAUUCAUCGUGCAACCAAGUUGCAUGAUUCCAAGUUUCUGUCCAAUUGAAACUUGGGCGAUGAGAAACUCUCCCUAUUUGGUAAACUCUCGACUUUCCAUAAAUAACAUAAUAAGAACCAAAUCCAUUAUUGCUAAUAAUAGAAACAUUCAAACAUCAAUUUUUCAUAUACGCCAUUGCAAGGAUAAAUAAAUAAUAUAAAAUCAAAAUUUAUUUUAUUGCGGAAAAAAUUUGUCCUUACAAUGCAAUUCAUUGAAAAACUAUGCUAAUACAUCUUUCUUAGCAAUCUAAUUCUAACUCUAAGUAGUAGCUCAAGAAUCUAAUCUUCGAGAAAUGCGAUCGAAAUCCAUUCCUUCACGGUUAGAUUCUGCUCACUUCUUCCCUUAAGCUUCCUUUCUUUUCUUCGAUCCUACAAAACAUCAAUUGUAAUCUUAUCACAUUAUGUAUUAAGAAUCUAGAAUAGAAGCUUAAAAGAGUUAGUUAAUGGAUUUUACCUAUAUUAGAGCCAUACGUUUCGACUCUCCCAUCUCUUAGAUCUCUUAGGUAAAUGGGGCAGCUUCGUCUCCAAUGCCCUUUCUCUUGGCAAUAAAAGCAAAUUGACUCUUUUGGAACAUGACAUGGAACUACUUCAGACAUUGCCUUUCUCUUAUGAUCAAACUUUUCGAUCAUAGCAUGUCUUUCGUUGCCAUUGUCUAUAUCCAUAGAGGUCUUGAAGGCAGAUUCACCAAUCAACUUUGCUUUUCUAUUGCGCCAAACCAUUGCUGAUUCAGCAGCAAUAAGCAUAUAGGUGAGAUCUAUAAGGGUCACGUCGCGGUUCAUCAUAUAGUACUCUCUUACGAACUCACUAUAUGAGUUAGGAAGUGACUGAAGAACCCAAUCAACAGCCAUUUCCUCACAGACAACGGAUCCCAACAUUCUUAACCUAUCAAUGUGUGACUUCAUCCCUAGGACGUGUGCACACACCGACUUUCCUUCUUUAUGUUUACUUGCCAAAAGGGCUUGAGUGAUCUUGAACUUUUCAAGCCUUUGAACUUGUGGGUUAGGGAGAAUAAUUGGAGGAGGAGGAGGAAGUGAAGCAUGAUUUCUUGUUCCUCGAUCGAAUCGUGGAAUAUCAUCUUCAUGUGGAAUGCUUGUUCCACGGGAUUUGGGAAGACCAUAGUUGUCGAACUUUGACAUCUACAAAACGGGAGAAAACGAAUUCAAGUUAGUUGAUUGAUUGAGUCCUUAGUAAAUCACCCAAAUGAGAUACUAAGGCUAGGACCCAACACAAUAUUCUACAACUCGGGAGAGGGAUGCCGUAACCCUAAUUGCAGAAUAUUUGAAGGUAAGUGAAUGACGAUUCACUAAUUUCCACCAUGAAAAACGAAAAAGAAAUUUAAGUUUUAAAUCUAUGAAAACUCCUAGAUCCUUUGAGAUUCAUUGAACUUUCAAUGGCAUGUUUAAAUCUCGAUAUGCCCCUCUUGUUUGUGACUGGGAUGCCGAGGAUCACAAAGCGGGUGUGAAUAACCAUGCAAACUUACAUGGUGCCCUCACAUGUUACAGUCACCUAUUCGAUGUGCCGGUAAACCACACACGCUCCACCGAACUAUGACAAACAUUGAGUCACCCUUUGCUACCUUUGCUUAGAACCAUUUAGUGUGCCGGUAAACCACACACGCUCCACUAACGUCUUCGCAAGGGCACAAAGUGUAAUUUCAUGGAAUUGCAUCAAUUCACUUUUGCCUAAGUAACUAAGAUUGGGAAUUUGUAAAACAUUUAGUUACUUUUGUACUUCAUUAUACUUAUAAUGGAAGGUUUUGUCCUAUCCUACCCGUUCGGCUAACGACCCUCCACUAGUCAAGAGUGCGGUGGGUAAGAGUGGAUACCCAUUCAAUCGCCAUUUUAUAGGCAAUUUCCUUAAACACCCCUUAUAGACCAGCUUCGUGAAUGAGGCCUACUAACGGUAAGACUGACUUUUACUCAUACAUAUAUAUAAUGUUAGACUUUUAAUGUUAUAUAUAGUAUAGAGUGUAUUUUACACUUUUAAAAUACUAGGUGGUCAAAUUUAAAAAAUACUUUUAAUUUAAUUAAAUUGUAAACCAAAACUUUAUGGAUUUAUUAAACCUCUUUUAAUUAUACACCUUAAUUAAUUAAUAAAACCAUAAGGGUGUGAUUUGAACUUUUCAAAACAAUACUAGGGUUUUAGAAUUUAACAUUCCUAAAUUAAACCUUUUAAUCAACUUUUAAAUCCCAAAACUUGAGGGCAAGUUUUGAAACCUUUUCAAAACAUUAGGGUUUAGAAUUUAAAUAUACAUCAAAAUUAAACUUUUAAUCAAAAUUUAAAUUCCAAAACUUGAGGGCAAGUUUUGAAACCUUUUCAAAACAUUAGGGUUUCAACUAUUUAAAUUUCAAAACAAAACUUUUAAGUUCAAAUUUAAACUAUAAAACCUAAAGGGGAAAAUUGAACUUUUCAUACAAGAUAAUUCAAAUCUAAAUUAAAAAUAAUCAAACUUUAUUUAACAAAACAAGUGAUUAUCUAAAAUUUGACAAUUAUCUUCUAUUUAGGUAAGGAUAAUCACCAAAUAUUGAUAAAAUUCGGAUUUUAUAACAAAAACAUGUUUAUGGUAAUUAUCCAAAGCCAAAACAGGAAGACAAUCGCGAAUAUGAGUUGUCAGACCCUUUGACUCGUCGAGUCUGGACCUGGACUCGUUGAGUACAGCUGACUCGGCGAGUCAAACACUCAGAAGCUUAAAAAAUCCAUUUUCAGAGCUGAUUUCGAUCAAAUAUGCAUCAAUACAAUAGAAACCAAUCAAGGCUUUGAUACCACUGAUGGGUUUUGGCCAUAAGAACAUCCUAUGUGCUCAUACAAACCCUAAUGCUUGGAUCUAGGUUUCUCUAUUGUACAUGCAAUUCAUCCAAGACUUUAAACCCUAGAUCUAGCAUACAAGUAAUCAUAUUAACAUAAGAAUGGGUUUAAGUUAUUACCUUGAUUGUUAUGUAGCAAUAACAAUCUCAAAUCCUUCUUGUAUUAACGUUAGAAAGCUUAGAGUCACAAAUGUCACUCCUCUAAUGGUUCACAAACACCAAGAGCAAGAGGAUGAGGAGGAGAAGAGAAAGAGGCUGCCCAAAAACGUGUGGAAACCCUAACCAAUUAGUUCACCACGUUUUUGGGGCUAUAGGGUCCUUUAAAUAGUGAGGCUAUUAGGGUUAUCUAACAAGGAAACCCAAAUUUGGAUGCUUAGGCCCUAAGCAACCCAUGAGCUCCUUCCUUAAACGCCUAGGACGAUUUCUAAUGGGUUUCCCCAUAGAAUUCGUCCACCCCUUUAAUAUGGUGUCCAUUAGCUCAAUAUUCAACUAUCAUACAAUUGACAGUUCUACUCCCUUAAGUUUAAUUAAUGUCAUUUAGUCACAAAACUAAUUACUAAUUAAUUCUUGACUAAUAUUAAUUAAGCAAUAUGAUUUCUCCUUUAAUAUAUUAUCCUCAUAAUAUAUUAAUAAAUCAUAUUUAAUCCUUUCUCACCAUUAUUCAUCCUAUAAAGUUGAUUUGGUGAAGGCAACCCAAAAGGACCAUGCACUAUCGGGUCAAGUACAUACCAAAAUAGUUAUGGACUUAGACACUAAUCCAACACGAUCAUACAAUGCAAAAGUCAUAAAGACAGCUAGCACUCUACAUAACAUACAAUGGGCCUAGCCCUUCCUGAUCCAUGGGCCUAUCCCAACCUACUAAUACGCCUAGCCCAACAUACCAUGAAAAAGUCACAAAGACAAAUAACAUAACAUAACCUAGUGGGCCGGCAUUGGUGCCUUCAACCCAUAGGUAUAGUGUGGAGACUCACCUCCAUCCGAUGAUAGCCAAAUACUUGCUCAGGUCACUGAAACAGAUAACCUCGCACCAACUAACAAUAACUACAACCUUAAUUAAUAAUUAACUAGAUAACCCAAAAUCCAUGGCCCACUCUAUAAUUCAACUUCCUAAAGGGUAAAAGGCUAUUUUACCCUUUUCUUACUUGGCCCAAAACAAAGGCCCAACCUAUUUUUUUUUCUAAAAGCCCAAUUCCCUAAAUGACAUCCCAAGGUCCAAUAUGACCCAUCUUCCUAAUUGGGCCCAAAAAUCAUCAUGGAUCUAAUUCCAAGAAAGCCCUUAGUCUAUCUAUGACCUAAAGUCAGAAGUCCAAUAAUCCAACGAGGCCCGAACCUUAAAAGGCCCUAAAUUGACAUACUGGGGAGUACACACCUCCGAAGCACAAGGUACAAGUUGCUAAUGCAUGAAACCUGUAUUACGCUGAGCGUACUCUCCUACGUACACCCAUUGUACUCAUCAAAGGUCCAAUAGUCCAUAAUAAGCUCUUAAUGGUUUAGAAAAAAGCAUCCAAACACUUAUCUUGACCCUAAAUGAUGUCUUAACAUGUAAAGUUGGCAACUUUACUCUUUUGCAGGACUUAAUGGGACCAAAUCCUUGUUUUCUAACAUAUUAAGAACACCAAAUCAUACAUGUAUCCAUAAAAACCAUCAAGAUGACAUUUUUAUGGCUUAAUAACUGAACAAGGACCAAAUAUGAGGCUCAAAGGUCCUGAAGUAGUUCCUACUCACAAGAUCAACAACCUUGGGACCAAAACAUGGAAAACCACCACCCAAAGCUAGAUCUAUACUAAAGAGCCAUAAAGUUUGAAGCUUUUUACCUCCAGAAGGUAGAUCAAGAUAAUUAGAGUGUGUAGGGGUACAAACGAGCCAAGCUACUCAUGAGCUACUUGAGAUCGAAUCGUUAAAAGCUCGACUCGAGAUCGAUUUUAAACGAGCCUGAGCCGAGCUUGAUCUUAAUAUUAGGCUUGUUUAUUAAACGAGCUCGAGCUCGAGCCUCUGUUACUUGGCUCGAUUAGGCUUGCNNNNNNNNNNNNNNNNNNNNNNNNNNNNNNNNNNNNNNNNNNNNNNNNNNNNNNNNNNNNNNNNNNNNNNNNNNNNNNNNNNNNNNNNNNNNNNNNNNNNNNNNNNNNNNNNNNNNNNNNNNNNNNNNNNNNNNNNNNNNNNNNNNNNNNNNNNNNNNNNNNNNNNNNNNNNNNNNNNNNNNNNNNNNNNNNNNNNNNNNNNNNNNNNNNNNNNNNNNNNNNNNNNNNNNNNNNNNNNNNNNNNNNNNNNAAAUUUAACAUAUAUAUAUAUAUAUAUAUAUAUAUAUAAUAAAAAAAAUUAUUUUUAUUUCUAUAUAUUAAAAUAAAUAAUAAUUUAAUAAAUACCAUUUUAGAAAAUUAGCCGAAUACAAGUCGAGCUCAAACCCAAUCUGAGCCCAUACAUUUCUUAACGAGCUGAUAUCGAACUUUGUACCACAAGGCUCGAACCGAGUCGACAUCAAGCUCGAGACUAUAAAUAUUUAAACGAGCCGAGCCCGAGCCUGGUCAAGGUCGAGCUCGACUUGGCUCGUUUGCAGCCCUAAGAGUGUGGAUCCGCAAGCUCCAAGCAAUCCCACACUUCUCCAAGAAACUCCUUCUUCCAAUGAGCACCAAAAUCCAUGGAAACAUUCCAAAAUAUUAAGAACCAUACCAAUGGAGGCUAGGGUUUCGUUUCUAGGGUUUAAUGGGAUGAAGGCUGAAGAUAAGAGGGUUUGCUGUUGAGUUAAGGUACUUAAAUAGGGUCCAAGACCCUUAAUUCAAGUUUGGAUAUGACUGGAAUAUGCCCAUCGUACUCUUGGUAUGCCCAACAUACUCCAUGAGGCAUCUGUGACUUCCAUUCUUAGUACGCCCAACGCACUUCCCAAGUACGCCCAACAUACUAGGCUUAACCUUUAAACCUUCGAACUUCCGAAUGCCAUAUCUUCUUCGUUCUAAGUCUGAUUUCCAAGAUCCUAAUUAUGGAUGAGCAUAGGCGGGUAGCCGCCUCAUUUUUUGAGAACUGGAACUGGCGGUUCCUAGAAAGUUUGAACCGGAACCGAAACCAAUUUAGGCAGUUCUUAAAUGUUUGGAACUAGUCUCGGAAUCGGCGGUUCCGGUUCCGGGAGCGGGUAACCCGGUUACAUUAAUUUUGUUAACUUUUUUUUCGAUAAAAUCGCAAUUUAGUUCGAUCUAAAUCAAAUCAAUUCGGACCAAAGACGGACAAAAUUAGACCAAUAUAUUCUAAAUUGGUCUAAGUAACACAUAUAUUUUUAUGGAAUUAUAUAUAUAUAUAUAUAUAUAAACCGGUUCCGGCGGGUACCCAGCGGGUAGCGGUUCCAAAAAAAUGAGAACCGGAUCCACCGCUGAAGGCGGUUCCAAUUAAAACCGGCAUUUUCGAGACGGUUCAGAUUCCAAAAGCGGGUACCCGGUUCCGAUGCUCAUCCCUAAUCCUUAUAUCUAGUGAAAGGUAACGAGAAGCUCUACACUUCUAUCAACUCUUCCUUGCCUGAAAACUUGCUGUACUGAAAUCCAAAAUUCAAAUCUAAUCUACCAAUUUAUGGUUGCACUCUUGGGCUCCAAAUCAUAAAUCAGACUUCUGGAUCAUCUAACUUACAUUUCCUACAUCCAAAUGGGUCUAAACGUCUCUUUCUCAUAGGCCCGAAGCCUUAUGAUAACCGAUCUUCGGGUCACAACCCCAAAUUAGGAAACGAUUCAGACAGGGUGCAACAAAAAAUAAUAAAACAGAGGAAAAUAAGAGAGGAAUUAUUACAUGUUCUUGUUAUCCAAGAAAUAGAAAACCCUAAAAUCAAAACAUGCCGCGUGCAAGAGUGAAUAAGAGCAUCGGUUCAUCACAUCAUACCUUUCAACUUUGUUAUUAUAAAGAUUUUAGGUUUUUUUUUUUCAUAAGGUUAACGUGGGAUAGUUGCGGUGAUGGAUGUGAAAUGGUGGAUUUAAAGAGAUAUAUGUUGAGAUUUAGGGGAUUUUCGUUUGAUAUUUGAAUUUAAUUUGACGUUUAAGAGGAGAAAUGAUUGACGAGAUUCUUGAAAGAUUGUGAUUACCAAAAAUUAAGAGGACAUUGAUUUUAUGGAAGUGAUGAAGACGUGAUAUCAGCAAAAAAAGGUAAGACAAUAUAUAUAUUUUCUUUAAAUUACGGAAUUAUUAAUGGAAUGGAAAAAUUAAUUAAACUUACUAUUUAUUACUAUUAUUUGAUUAAUUACGAAAUGAUAAGUGGAAUAUUAAAUAAAUAAAUAAAUCCAUAAAAUUUCGAGUGUUCAAGUGUAUGAGAAAGUGCAUGUGGAAUAAAAAACUACUCUUUUAUUAGAGUAUAUAUAUAUAUAUAUAUAUAUAUAUAUAUAUAUAUAUAAACAUACAUAUACAACUUUAAAUCAUGUAUNNNNNNNNNNNNNNNAUAUAUACUCAAGCUCGAAGCUCGGAUUGAACUCGAACCAAUCCUUGAUUUUAAGCUCGAGCUCGGGCUUGUGAAAUACUUGACAGUCUCUAGCCCGGGUCGACUAAUAUGUUUUUUUUAAAAAAUUACUAAAUUGAGUAAGAAAUAUUAAAACAUUACAUAUGUAACUGUCCAAAAUACCAAAAAAUCACAAUUGACCGCUUAGUAUCAAUAUAACAUCAACAAUAGUGCACAUGCAACGUCCCAAAAAUCUUAAGGUAAAAAUUCCAUAUUUAAUUCAACCAUAAACACCAUUUAGUCAUUUUAAUCAUGCAAAAGUAUAUCAGAGUAAAAAUAGUUAUCAGGGUACAAUUUCAAAAGCAUAAAGUGUGAAAACAUGGUUGGAUGCAUUGCGAUCAAGCCAGACCCUUCCAUCUCAAACCGGAAGUACCUGAAAAUAUUUUAAACAUAAAUGGAAAGCAAAAAGCUUAGCGAGUUCCCAAAAAUACCGCAUACCAUACAUAUAUGUCAGCUCAAGGCUGUGUCGGGUCUAUUUCACCCCCCGAGUCUAUUUCAAAUCAUAUGUUAGCACUAAGUUGUAUAGGGUCAAUUUCACCCCAGGUGUAUUUCACCUCACAUACAUAUAGCAAACAGGCACACAUGCAUACAACACAUAUAGCAGGAGUCACAAAGACUACAAGAACAUACAAUCCCUAGUUUCCUAGAGUAUGGUGAGCAAACUCACCUCAAUUUGCUGUCAGUCAAACAGAUGCUUGGGUUGUUGAAUCGGAGAAUCCCUACAUUAACCAAUAAAAUAAAACCCCAAUUAAUAAUUGGUCCAUAAAACAUAACUAGGAAUCUAGUUUAUUUAUCCAAAACCCCGGGUAAAAGGAAAUUUUACCCUUCCCAUAUGUAAUCGAAAAACUCAUGGACCAACUCCCAAAAGACUCGAGGCCAAAAAGGCCCAAAAGAGGGUUUCAUGAGUACACCCCACGUACAGGACUUGUAUGCCCUGAAUACUACACAAUGAUUCCUAACAUACAAUCCACACAUCAUGAUAUCAGGGAAAACANAUAUAUACUCAAGCUCGAAGCUCGGAUUGAACUCGAACCAAUCCUUGAUUUUAAGCUCGAGCUCGGGCUUGUGAAAUACUUGACAGUCUCUAGCCCGGGUCGACUAAUAUGUUUUUUUUAAAAAAUUACUAAAUUGAGUAAGAAAUAUUAAAACAUUACAUAUGUAACUGUCCAAAAUACCAAAAAAUCACAAUUGACCGCUUAGUAUCAAUAUAACAUCAACAAUAGUGCACAUGCAACGUCCCAAAAAUCUUAAGGUAAAAAUUCCAUAUUUAAUUCAACCAUAAACACCAUUUAGUCAUUUUAAUCAUGCAAAAGUAUAUCAGAGUAAAAAUAGUUAUCAGGGUACAAUUUCAAAAGCAUAAAGUGUGAAAACAUGGUUGGAUGCAUUGCGAUCAAGCCAGACCCUUCCAUCUCAAACCGGAAGUACCUGAAAAUAUUUUAAACAUAAAUGGAAAGCAAAAAGCUUAGCGAGUUCCCAAAAAUACCGCAUACCAUACAUAUAUGUCAGCUCAAGGCUGUGUCGGGUCUAUUUCACCCCCCGAGUCUAUUUCAAAUCAUAUGUUAGCACUAAGUUGUAUAGGGUCAAUUUCACCCCAGGUGUAUUUCACCUCACAUACAUAUAGCAAACAGGCACACAUGCAUACAACACAUAUAGCAGGAGUCACAAAGACUACAAGAACAUACAAUCCCUAGUUUCCUAGAGUAUGGUGAGCAAACUCACCUCAAUUUGCUGUCAGUCAAACAGAUGCUUGGGUUGUUGAAUCGGAGAAUCCCUACAUUAACCAAUAAAAUAAAACCCCAAUUAAUAAUUGGUCCAUAAAACAUAACUAGGAAUCUAGUUUAUUUAUCCAAAACCCCGGGUAAAAGGAAAUUUUACCCUUCCCAUAUGUAAUCGAAAAACUCAUGGACCAACUCCCAAAAGACUCGAGGCCAAAAAGGCCCAAAAGAGGGUUUCAUGAGUACACCCCACGUACAGGACUUGUAUGCCCUGAAUACUACACAAUGAUUCCUAACAUACAAUCCACACAUCAUGAUAUCAGGGAAAACAUGCAUUACGUUGAGCAUACGCGUAUGUACGCGCAACAUACCCCUUGGUGACCAUUUUCUUAUUUUAGGACUUUAUGGUUUAGACUAAAAUGUCCAAAAUCUAAUCUAGUGUCAAAACAUCGAAUUAAGUCAUAAAGUUUCCACCAUAUGACUUUCCAUGGUUAGAAAAGGUCCAAAAGCUAAAACCCUAAUUUAUUUAUGUUGGACUAGGUGUCUAAGCCCAUAACUAUAUUUGGUAUGUACUUGACCCGGUUGUAGCAUGAUCCUUUUAGGUUGCCUUCACCAAAGUAACUUGACUGGAUGAAUUAUAGAGAAAAAGGAUAAAUGUGGUUUAUUAAUAUAUUAUAUGAAUAAUAUAUUAAAGGAGAAAUAAUGUUGGUUAAAUAAUAUUGGUCAAUAAUUAAUUAGGAAUUAAUUUUGUGAUCAAAAGAUAUUGAUUAAACCUGGGGGACAAAUACUGUAAUUAUUGGAUAGUUGCAAAGUAGGCUAAGGAAACCCUAAAGAUAGGGUGGAAUAAUUCUUGUGGAUAAGACCAUAAGAAUUCGUCCAAGGAAGAGAUUCCAGAAGGAUCUUAUGGGCUGCUUAGAGCCUAAGCAACCGGAUAAGUGUUUGACUGAAACCCUAACUCCUCACCUAUAUAAAGGGACCCUAGGCAUCAUAUUUUCGGCUACACAUAACCCUAGAAGGAUUUCUAGAACUGAAAAUCACCUCCCUCCUCUCUCUCUUACAUUCUUCCAAUUUCCUUGGUGUUUGUGAUCGAUUAGAGGUAUUACAUUUGUGAUAUUAAGCUCUCUAAGUCAAUAAUCUUCAAGCUUAAAUUGAAAGGUAAUCUUAUAAACUUGUAUUAGUUAUUAAUUUUGAUUUUUGUAUGAUAGAUUUAGGGUUUACAAGCUUUGGAUGAUUUGCAUGUACAAUUAGAGAAACCUAGAUCCAAAGCAUUAGGGUUUGCAUGUGCACCAUAGGAUUGAUGUAAUCCUCAAAACCCAUUAGGGGUAUCAGAGCCUAGGCUAUUUUCUAUUAUAUUUGAUGCGUUGUUUGAUCAUUCAUUGCUUGCAAACUCAAAAAUUCUACCCUCUGUCAGCUGAACUCGUCGAGUCACCAGAUGAACUCGACGAGUCCAAUUAGUGACUUGGCAAGUCGGAGUGUUUGGGAGCAGAAUUUUGGGAUUUUGGCCUACUUUUGAUUCGGAUAGUUACCGAAAACGUUUUUGAUUAAUAAAAUCCGAUUUUUAUUAAAUAGAUAUGAUUAUCCUUAUCAAAAUAAAAGAUAAUUGCAAUUUAAUUAGAUAAUUAUUGCCUUAUAUGAUAAUAUCUAAUUAUUUGAAUUAUUUGAUUGCAUUAUCUUGCCAUGUAAUUGGAUUAGGUCAAAUUUAGAUAAUCACUAAUUAAUUGUUUAAUUAAAUUAUUUGUAAUUUGAUCUUGUUAGUUUCGAAAAGUUUCAAAACUUGCCCUCAAGUUUUGGAAUUCAAAAUUUUGAUUAAAAAGUUUAAUUUUGAAAUAUUUAAAUUCUAAACCCUAGAAUUUUACAAGUUUAAAAUUCAACCCUUAUACUAUUAUAAUAUUAUAAGAUUAAUAAGAUAUAUAUAUAUAUAUAUAUAUANNNNNNNNNNNNNNNNNNNNNNNNNNNNNNNNNNNNNNNNNNNNNNNNNNNNNNNNNNNNNNNNNAUAAGGUUGCUGCCUAUAAAAUGACAGUUUAAUCGGGGUCCACUCUCACCCACCACUUCCUUGAUUGGUGGAGGGUCGUUAGCCGAACGGGUAGGAUAUGACAUCUAAUUCCUCAUUAAAAGUACAAUGAUUAAUAAAGUAACUCAAUGUUUUUUUAUAAAAUUCUCAAUCUUAGUUACUUUAGGAAAAAUGUGAAAUGAUGCUAUUCCAUGAAAUUACACUUUGUACCCUGCCAAGUCGUUAGUGGAGCGUGCGUGGAUAACUGACACACUAAUAUGGACUAGCAAUGAUGGCAAAGGGUAGCUCGAUGUUUAUCAUAGAUCAAUGGAAUGUGUGUGGUUAACUGGCACAUUAAUUAGGUUGUAAAUGAUAUCGAGGGUACAAAGUAUAUUUGCAUGGUUGUUCACACCUUGUUUGUGAUCCUCGUUAUCCCAGUCAAAAACUUGAAGGUCAUAUCGAGAUUUAAACAUGUCAUUGAAAAGUUCAAUGAAUCUCAAAAGAUCUAGGAGUUUCAAUACAUUUAAUAGUUAAUUUCUUUUUUGUUUUUCAAGGUGGAAAUUAGUGAAUCGUCAUUCACUUACCUUCAAAUUAUUUGCAGUUUGGAUUAUGACAUCCCUCUUCUAAAUUGUAAAUAAUGUUGUUGGAUCCUAGCCCUAAUCUCUCAUUCUGGGUGCUUAAUUGGGGAUUCUUAUCUAAUAAAACUUUGUCUCUUUUCUAUUUCAGAUGUCUACUUCAAACAACAACAACGCUUCAGGAUCGACCCCUUCCGGCUCAUUUUCACUCAUGAACUUGUGUGGGAGGGUGAUUUUUGAUGGGACCAAUUUCAAUGAUUGGAUCUGCAACAUUCGCAUGGUCAACCGCUAUGAGGACAAGGAGUAUGUUCUCGAUAAGGAGCUGAAAGAGGUAAAUGCCAACACUGCUACUCCUGAAGAAAUCGUUGCUUUCGAGGCUCACGAAUGAGAUGCUACGAAAGUCCUACGAGGACUACUACCCUUAUGAGAUGCAUCAAGAUUUGAUGGAUAGGUACCAUCAAAGCGCGAGGCAGGAAAGGUACGAGAUCAUCGUUGCGAUGAUCACUACCAAAAUGAAGGACAGAGAGUGUGUCACGUCCCACCUGCAGAAAAUGCAGAGAUACAUGGGCUGCUUGUUAAAGUUAAAUGUUAACUUCGAUAAGGAGCUGGCCAUAGAUAUCAUUCUUCACUCCUUACCUCCUUGUUACAACCAGUUCCGCAUGACCUACUACAUGAACAAGGAAGAGGUCACUCUAAGCAAGCUUCAAGGCCUGCUAAGGACUGCUGAGAGUAGUCUGAAAAACAAAUUUGUUGCAUCAAUUCCUACUACCACCCCAAUCUUGGAAAUGGAGCAAGGGAAGGGAAAGAAGAGGAAGGCUACUUCUAAGAGCCACAAGGGAAAGUCCUACUAUGGUAUCUCUUCUAGUGAAACCAAGGUUGGUCCUACUGCACCCUCCUCCAACCCAAAGGAUGCAGAGUGCUACUACUACCACGAGAAAGGGCAUUAGAAACAAAGCUACAUGAAGUACUUGCAAGAUAUCAAGGAUGGGAAGAUAAAGACAUCCUUCAUAGGUAUUUAUAAUAUUCAUUCUAACAACUCAUUAAAUGCUAUGUCUUGGAUCCUUGAUACAAGAUGUGGUUUUCACAUUUGUUCUAAUUUGCAGGGCGUAAGAAGAAGUAGGGAUGUGGAGCAUGGGAAGAUAAACAUGAUAAUGGGGAAUAGGAAUGCGUCGCAUGUCACCAAGAUUGGAGUUUAGUCUUUAGUGCUUAGUAGUGGGUUAGGUUUAGUUUUGAAUAAUUGCUGUUACUCGUCAGAAAUGACACGAAACAUUAUUUUUUUCAUGGUUUGUAUAAACAAGGUUUUAGAUUUUCGUUUGAUAAUGAAAGGGGUUCUAUUAAUGAUUUCUUGAAUGGUUCUUUCUAUUUUGAAGCAUUUCCUUGUAAUGGAAUAUAUGAAACUGUGAUGGUUGUAGACAACUUAGCAAAUGAUGUGUUGCAUAUCGAUUCUUCCAAUAGUUUGGAAAAAUCAUUCUUGUGGCAUUGUCGUCUUGGACUUUUCCCGGAGCUUCAGAUUUGGUUGUUCGACUGAUGAUUUGAGUGCUUUUGUAGAAACAAGGUGUUUGUCAAGGACUCGGAAAAAGUCCUUCUUGUUUGUCUUCUUGGUUUUGUAUACAAACCCUAGAACCGGAUCAUCAAUAGGGCCUUCAGCUAGAAGAUUAGCUUCCGGAAGCACGUAUUCUAUCUUGGCAACAAAGUCUCCAGUUCCAAAAAGAUGGGCCAACUCAUAGUCACAUCGACUAAAUUCUGCGACAUAGUCUUUGAGGAAGCUCAGAGGUGCAUGGUACGCACCCAUGCUGAUAUCAUCAUUCUGAAGUCCUCGAAGGUGAGAAACUAGAGUGAGAAUAUCAUUUGGAUUCAUCGUCGGAAAGUCAGCAUCAGUGAUGGUUUGAUAAGAUGGGUUGUUCCUGAUAACAUGGUAAUGGAAGAGUGAACAGUUAAGUUCAAACUUGGUGAGGACCUUUCUUCCGUAUCCAUAAAUCUUGGUAAUCUUCUUCCUCAUCCAUACUUCCUUUAGGGGAAGUGCAUUCUUGGCAUAGAAGGUUUUUAACCUUUCAUGCUUUGUCGUGAUGGUGAACUCCAGAUUGUCAUUGGGAUGGAGAGGGGAAAAACUUGAUGUAAAAUUUGCUGAAGGGAGAGAGAGGAAGAUCAAGCUAUUCAAAAUCAUCGGAAGUAAUGUCAUAGUACAUAAAUGGUACUAAAUCGACAUCCUUAAGAAUACCUUCAUGGAAGAGAAGAGAAAUGCCACGCAUCAGAUUAGGAUUGUCUUUGAGCGCUUGGAUCUGAAUGUUGUCCUCUAAAGCCUUAUUUAUUUCUUCCUGAGACCAUCCAAGUUUUUGCUUUGGUGGAGGUCCGAAUUCCGUGAUAGGCUUCUUUCCUUUGUCUUUGAUUUUGUUAAGGACUGAGAUCACAUGCAACAUGUUCUCAUCCACAGUGACCUUGGGAGGGGAGGAUGGAAGAGGUUCUUCUGGAAUGUCGUCUGGGGUCCGGAGAGGAGAACCUUCAUCAAUUGGAGUGAUUUUUGUGUCAGGAAUUGGUGGUAACAUGGAAGGUGUGGCCCGGAUGGCUUGAGCGGUGAGGAAGGAUUUGGCCUUGUCCAUUUUGAUUCCUCCUUGAAGAACAUCUGGCAAAGAAGAUGGCCACGAAAGUGCUGACCUAAUUCUUUUCUCUUCCUAGGUCAUUUGCUUAGGAAAAUGCCUCCGUGGAGCUUCAAUAGCAAGUACUCCCUUAGUGACAUAAAAUUCUUCAUCACUGUCUUCAUCAUCAUCAUCAGAGUUCCCUAGUAUUCCGGAAAGAACUUAGACUUCAUCAUCAAAAUUGAGAUCUUCAUCGCGAAGUUGAAAAACUGAGGCAGGUUUCCACGGUUGACUUGGACCUUCUCCCCCUCUUGCAUCGAUGACCUUAGGAACCGAUACAAGCGGCAAAGAGUCGUUCAGAUCAUCAAAUUUGUCAAACACCUUUUGAAGACCGGUGUUAAGAUGACGAGUAAGCACAUCAUAAGCUUCGAAAGUGGGCGCUUGGGGGGAGAGAUGAUCGAACAGAUGUCCAAGGAUAGCAAGCAUCUCAUCAAACUUGCAAUUCGGAAUGUCAAUAAUGUUCCAAGUGGAGCGGAGCAGUUUGAUGAGGACUUGAUGAUCAGGUUCAUUUCAUCUUUUUUCCGGAUUUCCUUCUCCAGCCUCUGAAUUUGUUUUUCAUGGCGAAAGUGAGUCUGCUUGAUGAGGUCGUUGGUAGCAGCUACCAAAUCAUCAUGGACCUUGAGCAUUGUGGUAAUGGUGUCGAGAUAAUGCUCAACUGAAGCAUCAUACUUAGCUUCAACUUCUUCAAUGGAAUGCUUGAGCCGGAUGGAGAUCAGUUGAUCUAAUUAAGCUUCUCUUUCAGCCAUGGAGGGUCCGGACUGAUGAGAUAAGGACUGGAGAAUUACAUCUAACUUGGAGUCCAGUCCGGAGAUCUUUUUAUCAAUCUUGGUGUUAAGCUCAGCCACUGAGGUCUCAAGAGUGGUAACCUUCUUCAUUGUGUCCGAGAUGUUGGAUUGAAUAUCCAAAAGGGCAAACGGAUCUAUAUGGUUUCCUGCUGAGGAUCCGUUGUCCGAGCUUGAAGGUUGAGGAUUGGGUUUCGUAGAUUCCAGAUUGAGUGGAGUGACAGAAGGACCGGGUUUGUUGGUGGCAUCAUCAUGAAGCUUUUGGGUUGAAUCUGAUGCAUCCUUUGUUGAGGAUGAGGAAUCAAAAUCAUAAGCAGGCUUGGAAGAAGAUGGCUUGAGAUGAAGUUGAACUGAGGAAAACACGUUAGCAUCAGCAACGUGUGCAUCAUCUAUUGUAAGCAUCACUUCUUCUGAAAUUUCAUCAUCCGAACCUAAAGGAUUUGAAGCAUGAGGAGGAGACUUUGGAGUUUCUCCGAAUGUGAAUUCUACAUCUGCAAGCUCAUCUGUAGGAACAACGUAUGGAAGGUUGCUUUGAAUGGCCCGAUUCCGCAUGGAGAUGAGAGUGGAAUCCACUUGGGAUCUUGUAUGUUCCAGAUGCCUUGAGUGUGCCCUGUUUACAAAGUCUUUCCACAUAGGAUUAUUAGUUCCUGGUCUUCCUAUACCCUUACUGGGUAUCAGAGCCUUGCUUGGUUUCUAUUGUAUUUGAUGCAUUAUGUGUUUAUUCAUUACUUGAAAUCGUUUUUUAUGCCUUCUGUGUAAUAGACCCGUCGAGUCCCAAGAGGAACUCGAUGAGUCAGAUGAACUCGGCGAGUUCUGUAAAGGACUCGGCGAGUUGGGCUGUCAGACAUAUGGAUUUUCGGGAUUUUGGCUUAUUUUGACUUGGGAUAAUUACCAAAAAUGUUUUUAAUUAAUAAAAUUCGAUUUUUAUUGAUUCCAUGUGAUUAUCUUAGUCAAAAUAAAAGAUAUUUAUCAUUUAAUUAGAUAAUUACUGCCUUAUUUGAUAAACCCUAAUUAUUUGAAUUAUUUAAUCAUAUAUCUUGCAUGAAAUUGGAUUAGGUCAAAAUUAGAUAAUCACAAAUUAAUUGUUUAAUUAUAUUAUUUGAAUUUUGAUCUAGAUAGUUUUGAAAUGUUUCAAAGCUUUCCCUCAAGUUUUGGAAUUUAUAUUUUUGAUUAAAAGUUUAAUUUUGAAAUAAUUAAAUUCCAAACCCUAGAAUUUUACAAGUUUAAAAUUAAAUGCUUAUACUAAUAUAAUAUUAUAAGAGUAAUUAUUAUAUAUGUAUAAGAUAAAUUCUAGUCUUACCGUUAGUAGGUCUCAUUCACGAAGCUGAUCUAUAAGGGGGGGGGGGUAUAAGGUUGCUAUCUAUAAAAUGAUAGUUUAAUGGGUGUCCACUCUCACCUACUGCUUCCUUGAUUGGUGGAGGGUCGUUAGCUGAACGGGUAAGAUAGGGCCACUAGUUCCUCAUUAAAAGUAUAAUGAUUAAUAAAGCAACUAAAUGUUUUUUUAUUAAAUUCCCAAUCUUAGUUACUUUAGGAAAAAUGUGAAUUUGAUGAUAUUCAAUGAAAUUACACGGCUUAUUUUGACUUGGGAUAAUUACCAAAAAAGGGUGACUUGAUGUUUUUCAUAGAUCAAUGGAGCGUGUGUGGUUAACCGGCACAUUGAUUAGGUGAUUGUAACAUUCGGAGCACCAUGUACAUUUGCAUGGUUAUUCACACAUUGUUUGUGAUCCUCGGUAUCCCAGUCACAAACUUGAAGGGAAUAUCGAGAUUUAACCAUGACAUUGAAAAGUUCAAUGAAUCUCAAAAAAUCUAGGAAUUUUCAAUACAUUUAAAACUUGAUUUUCUGUUUUUUUCAUGGUGGAAAUUAGUGAAUCAUCAUUCACUUACCUUCAGAUUAUUUGUUGUUUAGAUUACGACAUACCUCUUCUAAAUUACAAAUAAUGUUGUUGGAUCCUAUCCAUAAUUUCUCAUUUGGGUGUUUAAUUGGGGAUUCUUAUCUAAUCAAACUUUGUCUCUUUUCUUUUUCAGGUGUCUAACUCGAACAACAACAACGCUUCAGGCUCAACCUCUUCCGACUCAUUCUCACUCGUGAAUUUGUGUGGGAGGGUGAUUUUUGAUGGGACCAAUUUCAAUGAUUAGAUUCGCAAUAUUCGAAUGGUUACCCGCUACGAGGACAAGGAGUAUGUCCUCGAUAAGGAGCUAAAGGAGGUGAAUGUCAACACUGCUACUGCCGAGGCCCACGAGCAAGAUCCUACGAAAGUCCAUUGCAUCAUGCUCGCGACUAUGACUGCAGAACUCCAGAAGUCCUAUGAGGACUACUACCCUUUUGACAUGCACCAAGAUAUGAUGCAAAGAUACCAUCAGAGUGCUCAUCAAGUGCGGUAUGAAAUAAUAUCCUCCAUGAUAACAACUAGGAUGAAGGAUGGAGAAUCCAUCACGGGCCACAUGUAGAAAAUGCAAAGGUAUGUAGACCAUUUGCUGAAGCUUAAUGUGAACUUCCUCGAGGAGCUAGCAAUAGAUAUCAUUUUGCACUCCUUACCCUCGUGUUAUGAUCAAUUCCACAUGACAUACCACAUGAAUAAGGAAGAAGUUACACUCAACAAACUUCAAGGACUCCUGAAGACCACAGAAUCAGGUCUUAAGGGUAAGUCGAUUGUUACCACUUCUGCUCCUACUACCAACUCCGCCCCUGUCUUUGCAAUCGGGAAAGGGAAAGGUAAGAAGAGGAAGACCCCUUCAAAGGGUACCAAGGGUAAGAUCCUUGAAUGCUCUUCUUCAAGUGGAACCAAGAAAGGUUUCAUUACUCCUUCUUCUGACCCAAAGGAGGCUGAAUGCUUCUAUUGCCAUGAAAAGUCGCACUAGAAGCGGAACUACCCAAAGUACCAGCAAGAUGUGAAGGAUGGGAAAGUCAAACCCAACCAUGCAGGUAUUUACAUUAUCUUAUCUAAUAACUCACCCUAUUCUAACUCUUGGGUCCUUGAUACCGGUUCUGGUAUUCAUAUAUGUUCUGAUUUGCAGGGACUAAGAAGAAGUGAGAAUGUGGAGCAGGGAAAGAUAAACUUGAUCAUGGGGAAUAAAAAAGCUUCACUUGUCACCAAGAUUGGAGUUUGUUCUUUGUUGCUAAGUAGUGGGUUUACAUUAGAUUUGAAUAAAUGUCGUUAUUCGCCUGAAAUGGAAAGAAAUAUUAUUUCCUUUCAUGCUUUGUACAAACAAGGGUUUACAUUUUCUUUUGAUAAUGAAAUUGGUGGAAUAAAUCCUUUCUUUAAUAAUGUUCUUUAUUUUAAAGAAUUACCUUGUGAUGGUGUGUAUGAAGCUGUGUAUGUUGUAGAUAACCUAGGAAAUAAUGUGUUGUGUAUUGAUUCUUCUAAUAAUAAUAACUUGGAUAAAGCAUCAUUAUAGCAUUGUCAUCUUGGACAUGUGAGCAAGAAAUGCAUAGGCCAACUCCAAAAGGAUGGAGUCUUGGAGUCAUUUGACUUGAAGUCAAAUGAUAGUUGUGAAUCAUGCUUACUUGAAAAAAUGACAAAGUCACCCUUCACUGGUUCUUGUGUUAGGGAUGAAGGUUUGUUGGAUCUGGUACACACAUAUGUGUGUGGACCCUUCAAAUCUGCCACAAGGGAUGGUAAUCGUUAUUUGACUUUCACUGAUGAUUAUAGUAGAUAUGGAUAUGUCUAUUUAAUCAAGCAUAAGUCAGAGAUUUUUGAAAGGUUUAAAGAGUUUAAACAGGAAGUGGGGAAUCAAUUGGGUAGGAACAUUAAGAUGCUUCGAUCUGAUUGUGGUGGUGAGUAUCUUAGUACAGAGUUUCUUGACUAUCUUAAGGAAUGUGGGAUUAUCUCACAAUUGAAACCUUGCACGACACCACAGAUUAAUAGUAUGGCUAAGAGGUGCAAUAGAAACUUGUUGGAUAUGGUUCGUUCCAUGAUGAGUCGAGCUUCGCUACGAAUCUUAUUUUGGGGAUUUGCCUUAGAGACUGCCGCCCAUAUCCUUAAUCUGGUCCCUACAAAGAAAGUGGCCAAAACUCGUCAUGAGAUGUGGGCUGGUAAAGUUCCCAAACUAGGCCACAUCAAUAUUUGGGGUUGCAAGGAUUUCGUGAGGCGCGAGAGUCAUGAUAAGCUCGAAUCUAGAAGUGAGAGGUGUAUUUUCAUCGGCUACCCACAUAAAUCCUUUGGUCACCUCUUCUACAAACAUAUUGAGAAUGUGGUCUUUGUAGCAAGGAUGGGUGUGUGGAGAGAGAGAGAGAGAGAGAGAGAGUUCAUAAGCCAAGGAAACAGUGGGAGGCAAAUUGAUCUUGAAGAAAUUCAAGAGUCAAGUGGUGAAGAAACUUCAAACCCUAGCACUCAACCUGAGGAGGAAACUCAUGUUGAGCCAAUUGCCGAAUCUGUACCUCUGAGGCGUUCCACAAGAGUUAGGAAUCCACCUGAGCAUUAUUAUGGCUUCCAUAUUACUGCGGAAGGUGAUACACUUAUCAGUGAUGAGACAUUGGUAAGUCUGGAUGAACCUAACAGCUACGCGGUAGCCAUGGAAGGCCCCAAGUCUACUAAAUGGAAAGAGGCAAUGGAUAGCAAGAUAUAGUCCAUGUAUGACAAUCAAGUUUGGAACUUGGUUGACAAUGUACCAGGUCUUAAGACAGUUGGGUGCAAAUGGAUCUUCAAGAAGAAGACCGACAUGGAUGGUAAUGUACACACUUAUAAGGCGCGACUGGUUGCAACAAGCUUUUCUCAAACUCCGGCAGUUGAUUAUGAUGAGACCUUUUCACCUGUUGCAAAGAUUAAAUCCAUUAGGAUCCUGUUAGCCAUCGCUGUAUUUCAUGAUUAUAAAAUAUGGCAAAUGGAUGUCAAAACCGCCUUCCUUAAUGGAAGUUUAGCUGAGGAUGUUUACAUGAGUCAACCAGAGGGUUUUGUCAGUACAGAAUACCCUAAUAAAGUGUGUAAGCUUGAGAAAUCUAUCUAUGGAUUGAAACAAGCAUCUCGCAGAUGGAAUCUUUGUUUCAAUGAGAAAGUCAAAGAGUUUGGCUUUUCGAGGAGUGAAGAUGAAUCUUGUCUAUAUGUCAAGGCUAGUGGGAGUAUAGUUAGCUUUUCGGUACUGUAUGUGGAUGACAUGCUACUCAUAGGAAAUGAUAUCCCAACCUUGCAGGAAGUGAAGCCCUGGCUUGGGAUGUGUUUCUCUAUGAAGACCUAGGAGAAGAUGCCUAUAUUCUAGGGAUAAGGAUUCUGAGAGACUAGAGUAAAAGACUAAUUGAACUUAGUCAGAGUACCUACUUGGAUAAGGUAUUGAAUAGGUUCAACAUUCAAGAUUCCAAGAAAAGAGAGUUAACGAUCUAGAAUAAUGCCAGACUGAGUAAGACUCAGAGCCCGAGUACCGAGGCAGACAUAGCAUAAAUGAGUCGAGUACCUUAUGCUUCCGUUGUAGGCUCGAUCAUGAAUGCUAUGACUUGUACUCAUCAUGAUGUAGCCUUUGCCUUAAGCAUGGCUAGCAGAUAUCAGGGGAACCCUGGCAAGGCUCACUGGACUGCGGUAAAGAAUAUCCUCAAGUACCUACGGAGGACGAAGGACUGGGUCCUUACCCUCGGUGGGAGUGAUGAUUUGAGAGUUGUAGGGUAUAGUGAUGCUAGCUUUCAGACUGAUAGGGAUAAUUUCGGCUCUCAAUCAGGCUGGGUAUUUAGCUUAAAUGGAGGAUCAAUUACUUGGAAGAGUUCCAAGCAGGAGACCGUGGCUGAUUCAACUUGCGAAUCAUAGUAUAUAGCAGCAAGUGAGGCAGCAAAGGAGGCGAUAUGGCUGAAGAACUUCAAUGGAGACCUUGGAGUAGUACCAACUAUAAAGGAGCCUAUGGAAAUUUUUUGUGAUAGUGAAAGUGCAGUUACCUUAGCCUAGGAACCAAAGGAUCAUGGGAGAUCCAGACACAUCGACAGAAAAUAUCAUUUCAUCAAACAUCGCAUAGAAGAAGGACUCCUCGUGGAAAAGAGGGUAUCAUCGGAUGAGAACCCAACAUAUCCCCUCACGAAGGGACUGAGUCGGGUUAAGCAUCUCCAACAUGCUCGGAGCAUAGGGCUGAAGGAUGAUAUUAGUUUUAGUAGUUAGACAAUUUGAAAUUUGUAAAGUGUAAUUGACAUUUGAUGGUGAAUAAAAGUUGUGUUUAUUUAUGAGUAACGUGUUGCUAUCUUUUUUCAAUCGUUUACUAUAUUUCUUUUGCAUGUUUUGACUUCCAGAAUAAUUAUGUUUGGUAUAUCAUAGUAUUCGAAUUCUCCACAGGCGAUCAUAUGUUGGAAGUAGGUAUGAAUCAAGACUGUCAUGAGUUGGUUGCAGAGGUCUAAGUUGUUGGACAUGGCUACAACACUCAUGGGUUUUCAUAAAUUUUGAGUACUGGAUUCAACCCAUGCUCACUGGUAUCAGUUCACGGAAUUUAUCUCGAGUGAUUGUGAGAUGAUAAUAUCUUAUAAAUCUUCAAACCUAGAGAUAUGACUUACUGCCUAUGAGUUGGUUAUGCAUUGAUUGUACGAAAACGCAUUGGUACCUCGAUGUUAUAAAACGUGAUUUUGUGUGUGAUUCAACAAGUAUUAGAACAAGCAUAUGAGUCGAAGUUUAUCUGCUCCUUCUUGGACUAGGAGCGAUAUCUGGGCCCCUCAAUGAUUUUGUUUUGACCUAUGUAUUGGGCCCGGUCAGAACUAAGUUGAUGUGUUCAAUUUAGUUCUUUGUCAAACAAAUCGGAAAUCAAGAAACAAACUACUAGACAAUAAGUAAGACAUUGUUCCAUGUAUUUGUCCGGAUGAUAUCUAGAACAGAGGAUUAUAUGAUCACUUAUCUUAAAUGGCGUAUUAUCAUCUUCUCAGUUCCAAGAGACCUUGAAAGGUCUACGAUUUCUUAUCGGUUCCUGAAGUCAUACUUGCAGUUAUAAUUAUUAGACUUAUCCAAGUGGGAGACUGUUGGAUAAGGUGUCUAAGUCGAUAACUAUUUAUGGUAUGUACUUGACGUGGUUUAGCAUGGUCCAUUUGGGUUGCAUCGCAUAAUGCAUUUGGAUAGACUAAAUGAGAGAAAUAACACCUGUGGUUUUUUAAUAUAUUAUAAGUUCUAAUAUAUUAAAUAGAAUUAUUUUAUUAGUAUUGAUCAAGAAUUAAUUUAGAAUUAAUUAAGUGAUCAAAAGAUGAAUAAUUAAAUAUAUGGGUUGAUUGUGUAAAUCAUCCGUAACUUGUAUAGUGGGCUAAAGGCUUCAUGGAUUAUCAAGAUGGGCUAAGACCCAUAGGAUACUCCAUGGAGGUUUAAACCCAUGGGUCAUGGAAAUGAAGAGUCAUGUUACAUUAGGGUUUACAUGGUGUAACCCUAAGUGUACACAGUAUAUAAAGAACAUGACAUCCACAAAAGUCGGCUAAAGAAAAAAGUUACAAGAGGCCUAGGCUAAUUUUACAAGUGUUCUCCAUUCUCUCAAUGUCAUUCCAAAGCCCUUUUUGUUAUGUGAAACACUUAAGGCAUCACACUUGGGGUGCUAGGCUCUCAAGGGUUUCAAGGAAUCAAAUCAACUACAACGUAUGUAAUUAUAGCCAUCUUUUAUGUUAAAAGUUCGCCAUGUAUGCUAGAUAGGAUUAUGAACCUUGGAAAUCAAAUUUUGCAUGUAUUUUAGACAAACAAAGAUCCAAGGUUUUCUAGGGUUGCAUGUACACUUAGGAGUGUUAGAAUGCUCAUAACCCAUCAAGUAUAUCGACCGAUCCGUUUCAAAGCUGGGUUGGUUUAUGUUUGUACAAUCUUCGUGGAGGUGUUAAAUAUAACACCCAAAUGCUCGAUGCUUUAUCUAUACAUUUGAAUAUUGCGCAACCUCCCAAGUUACCACCUCACUGCCCGUAUAUUCCAACAUGGGAAGAGCUAUGGACAAGACAAGGAGACAGGGCAGGAACUAGUGGAACUCAAGGCAAUGACGAUGAUUAUUAGUUUUUAUUUUAUGUUUUCAUUUGGUUUUUGAACUUGUUUGUUUAUUCUUUUAUUUGUUUGGAACUUGUAACUGGAUGAUGGAUGAUUAUUCCCUUUUCUUCUCUAUAACUUGUUUUGUUUCAAAUUUCGUGAGUUUUCGUGAGCGAGAAGUUAAGAGUUAGAAGUUUUCAAGAGAGGCCAUGUCAUUUAGAGUUAUGAGUCGAGACCCACAAUCUUAGAUAAGUGUCGGGUUAAUCGAGAAAGAAGCAAGUUAGAGAAGAGUCACGAAAUAUACAGUUAAGAAGGGUCUUAAUCUAUUAAGACAUAAGUUCACAUUACACUUAUUUAAUGAAGAAGUGCUUUCUGUGAUGCCUAUUUUCCACGACGUGGACACCAAAAACACGUUGUGGAUUGAGUUUAAUUCACGAAUUCAGAAAACAACAUUAAUCAAAGCCACGUUGUGUAUUUCUUCACCAUGACGUGGAAUGCAGAAGUUACAAUUUUCUUCUUCUCUACACCAUCCGAUGUGGCAUAUGCUUUCCUACAUUGGUUCAUUAUGCUUUGAAGAUUUUCUACACUACAUUUGUUGAAGAUUAAAGUCUCGGAUUCAUAUUUUGCUGGCACAUUCACAUAUUUCACUUAUUAAAGAUCAAAGUUCAUAUUUGAAGAAAGUCCAAGUUCAAGAUGUUCAAGGUUUCCACACUAAGAAGAAUCAAUCUUGUCACUUCUACCCAGGGGAGUCUGUUCCUUUUUCUCCCUUUUAUUGCUUUCAAUUUGUUUUAUGCAUACAAUGAGGUCAUUGUAUGUAAUAAGUGUGGGGUAGGGGGUCGAGAAAGUAAAUUGCUAGAAAAUUAUAAAAAAUUAAAACUUUCGAAAAAUUUAGAAAUGGAUUUGAAAUAAUAAUCUAAAAAAUUGAAUCUAGUAAUUGUUUAGACUUAAGUUACUAGUGUUAUCUGAGAUGAUCCAAUGCGAGCUUAAAUGUUUAAUUGAGCUAAUACAUGUUGUAGUAUAUUUGUGGCUUCCCAAGUCUUAGUGAAAAGUCAUGAGAUAUGAAAAGUUAAUCUGGUAGCUUAUAUGGCAUAAUAUAUUUUGCAGCCUAAACCUGAAAUCUAUCCUGGAAAGCUUAUGUAGUCACUGCACAUAGCCUAAUACCUUUAACCAAUUAAUAAAGGUUCACUACAAGAAAAAUACCCUUUUACGACGCGCUAACCACGACACUCAUUGAUUUAUGUUACGCAGAAGAGAGUGACAUUAAAAAAGUGUCGUCUCUUCAAAAAAAUUAAGGAUUUAUGUCACACAUUAUUGCGUGCCCUUAGAUUAGUGUCUCAUGUAAAAAAAAUAAAAACACGGAGUGUACUUUAUCUAAAAUGUGCGUCCUCUGUGAAUGUCGCUUUAUGUUUUACUUAAAACGCGCAUUCUUGAAAGGGGGAAAUGAAAACCCUAAAAAUUAAAACCCCGCCUAUUCUAUGUGAAAAAUUAGAACCCACUCCUCUUCCAAUUAGCAACAAAGAAGCCUAGGGUCUUCGUAUUCCUCUCUCUCUGCCUCUAACCUAAAACCCAACCUGCGAUUUCAUAGAGAUUGUUAUUACGAUUUAAGAAGCAAAGAAGAAGACAAGCAAGGAUAGUACUACUAAAUUCCACAAAAUCGCAGGGACUAGGGCUUUUUUUUUCAAGAACGGAAACACUUGGUGCUCUAUGGCCUCCGCAACAAUCGAUCGAUGAUCUCGCCUCAUCUCAUCGGCAACAUCUUUGCUCACUUCUCCUCCAACGACCUUAGGGGUAUUUUCCUCCGGCGACCUCGGGCUCAUGUGACCUCGUCGGAGACUGCUCAAAUUUCCACACCCUAGCCCAACUAAGAUAUGCUUUGGUUAUUCUCUCUUCCUAAUGUUUUCAUUCUUCUAUAUCUUUAAUUUCUCCUCUAUUCAUAGCUUUGAUUUCGAUUUUGGAUCUUCUCAUCUUCUCCUGUGUAAAAUCCCAACUGAAAAACUAUGCAGGUUUCAAUGGCGAUUUCCUCCUCAUUCCACGAUCCUCACUUCUACUCUCUAAGCAUCUCAGGUAUGCUUUGUUCCUUCUCCCUUAUUUUAAUUCUUCUUGUUUGAUUUAUUAAGUGUGAUAUCCUUCCCCUACUUUUCUGAUUCUCGAUCCCAUUCUGAUACAUUGUUAGCAGUCGCACAUAGCACCUCACACACAUACUCACAUUUAAUAUUUUGAGCAUAAUUUUGAGAAUAUGUUAUGGUCCAAUGAAUUUUUUGUGUGUUUAUAUUAUCCAAGGUUUGAACUUUUUGUAUUAUGCUAAAUUACAUCUAUCAUGCUGUUACUUUCUGAGGUUUUAUGUUUCUUUUAUCACAGUGAUUGUUAAAGCAAGUAGUGGCCCAAGGUAUGUGGUCGGUUUCAUAAUUGAUUCAAUUUUGAUGAGUAAACAGGUUAGAUUUCAUAUGGUUGUUUGUUCAGAUUGGUAUUCAUCCUGAUUUUCGUUCAAUUAUGCAACAACUAUGAUGGAAUUUGCUAUGUUCCAUACUCGGAUUAUGAAUUUAUCGGAAAAUUGAAUAAUUAAUCUGGAAAAAAUACCAUCUUUGGAUGAUUUGUUUGUCAUCUGUAAAUAAGGAAUACCAUUUUUGGGUAAUUAGUUUCUCCAACAAAAUCUAAUCUUCAUAUUCUUUGUUUGUUUGAAAAGUAAUCCAUAUUGAAGUUGGCGUUAGGGUUCGGAUAUUUCAAGUAGUCAUCUUUUCGAAUUAGCCCCUGUCAAUACAGAAAAAUCACGAAAGAUUAAAGGGUUCAGAAAAUCAUCAGAAGUGGCUUGUGUUAUUCUACCACCUAAAGUCUUCAAAAUCUUGGAGAAACCUGUUCAUGAGUUCCAUGGACAUGGUGGAGAAAUCUUGUCCCUUCCAUGGUCUAGAAAAGGGGUUAGUAACUUAGAAUUAUAACACUUUAUUUAUAUUGGACUUAAUAAUGGACAUGUACUUCAUUUUCCUUGUUAUAUUAAACAGGCGAUGGAUGAAAUUAAAAACUCAGAAAUACAAAAAUUCUACAUUCAGGUAGUUGUUUUCUUGGAAUACCACCCUCUUAUUUCUUGCCUUUCUUUUGUAUGCCGAUUUCUUUAUUAAAAGUUUCUUUGUUGAAGGGUAUUUAUGACAUUUGGCUGAUAGUCAAACACUCCAAGAGUAAAAUGCUCAUUAUUUUUUUUACUUGAUACUAAUCUAAAGCUUCAAGAGUCUAGUUUACCAAACAUAAAAACUAAAGUAAAAGCUUGUUAAAAAAACAUUUAUAUUUACAACAUACUACAAUAGUCUACAUUACCCUUGCUAGUCUUCUCUUUUUCUCUUCUCUACCACAUUACCUUGUGCCUAUAUAACAUCCUCCAGUUCUUCAAGGGCAUGAUGGUCAUCUUAUCUGUUUUCAUGCUAUGUUUUACUUACUCCUCUUAUGUUAGUGUUUCAUCAUGUCGUUUUUAAAUAUAACAAGUGAAUUGUAGGGCAUAAUCGUCAUCUUAUCAGUUUUCAGUGGCUUUUUGACUGAAUUUGGCAUAAAUGACACUCUUUACCGAUUUUGAAUUCAAUGGAAACUAAACCUAAACCUAACCUAAAAGGGUUCUAUCUUAAUUUUGGAGAUAAUUCCUAAAUAAAAUGAAAUAAUAAUUAUUUCCCAGGAAAUGGAUUUAUCUAAUUUAGGAAAAAUAUUUUUCUUUUAUGUUGUCAAGCUUGCGGCUUUGUGGCCAAAAGGGAGCAUGGACAACCAUGGAAUACGAAAUGCAAUUUGUAGAGCCAAAGAACGUCGAAGAACACUAUUGCAAGAAAAGCUUUGCAGCUCUUGUUAAUUUAUAAUUAUUUUAUCCAAGGCUAUUUUAGACUUUUGACACAUAGUAGAUGUAUGUUUAAACGUUGCAAUUUAUAUGGCAUUUAUCAGGAAGUCUCAUUAUCCAGUCUACAUGAUUAAAUUAAUGGACAUAUAAUUCUCUAUUGAUUGAACAAAAAACAUUGCUUUGUAAUGAACCAAGUUAAAAACUGAAAGGGUAUAUAUGGGAAUAAAAUUUAAGGUAGGUUUGUCAAGAUUGUACGGAUAACUGCUGAUUGGAUAAAAGUCUUUUGAUCAUGUUCAGGGGCAUGAAAAGAAGCCUGUUGCAGGGCUGGAUAGCAAUCUCCAUGAAAAAGCUGACUUAGUUGCUGAACAUGGAAAACCGGUAAAUGACCAUAACACCCCUGAUAUAAAUUUUCCGGACAUUGUUGUCCCUGGCACACCUGAACUUGAUCAGAAACUUGGUGCACCUGCAAACAGGUUAAACCCACCAUCAGCAAGGGAUUGUUGAGUUGUAUACGACACUACCCGUGAAACUGUAUAUAUAAAUGGUAGAAUUUAUGUGACCAUAAUGCCCCUGUUCUAAGAUGUUUUAACCUCUCAAAUGUGUAUGAAUCUGCUGACCAGUUAUGGCGGUUACAAGUUUGUAGUGAAGAUGAUGUAUACUUUUUUAUGGGUAUAUAAACUCACCUUUUUCUCCGUGUUAUUAGCUCUGAGACUAGUAUUUAUCUUAUUAGCAGGCUAAACCCUGUAAGAGUCUGUGGGUAAGUGGCAUCAGCAGUUCCCUUUUAACAAGAUUAAAAAAAUGGAAAACAUGAAAGGAGAUUUUGUGGGUGUAAAGAAUAUAUUGCGUAUUUUAUCCUGUUUUGACUAUGAUCUCUGUAUAUGAAUGAUAUAACAGAGACAGGUUCCUGAUUUCCGUGAUGCAAAGGAAGGAAAACAUUUUAGAAGUAUGGGUCCACAUGAUUCACCAUGGUUGGCACCAGAUAGUGUUAAAAAGUACCCUGAUUCUUCAUAUUAUGGUCCCAAAAGGCAACAGGUUAUAACCUAGUUCUAUUUAUGCCCUUUUUGCAUUUAACUUAGGAUAUGGUAUCAUCUUUAUGUUUUAGCAUUUUUGUUUAUUGCAAUUAUGGGGUAUUUUUGUCUUCUACCAGUAAUGGGGAUUUUUUUAUUAUUAUUCCAAUAAUGGGGUAUUUUGGUCUUUUAAUAAAAAAAAAAUGGAAUCGAGUACCUUUCAGGAAUUGUGAACAUGGAAUAAUAUGAAGGGAAUUCCGUUGAUUGGCAACGAAACACGAAACAGAAUGGAAUAAUUUACAUCCUUUGUGGUGUUUUUACAACAUAAUAUAUUGGGCAUGGAAGGUCGAAAAGGAGAUGGAGAGCAACCAAGGUCAUGAUUUGGUAAUAGCAUAUUUCCAGGUGGCAUCUUCAAAUGAUAGCAUCUCUUCUUCAAAUAUUGACAUAAGGCAUGUACAUAUCAACAAAUGAUACAUUUUAAUCAUUAAUAUAAAAUCCAAGUUUCAUGAUUUUUUUAUUUUAAUUAACAAGUAUCAUUUGGAUCUAUGCAAAAAUGUAUUUAGAGAAGGUGUGUAUCCGGUUGUUGAUACAACAAAUGUUUACUAUGGGGGCAAAAACAUUGCUGGUAUGAACUAUGGAAAUUACUAUUUAUAUGUAAAUUUCAGGGUUAAUUUAUUAUUGGUGAAUUUUCAUGAAAUAUGUAGGAUCAACAUUAGGCACACAUUACAUUUUUUCACUUUUCUAUAUUUGAGCAUAUAAUUAAUAUAAUCUAACACACAUUUGUCAUCAGGUAUUGCGGAUGAAAUAUUUAAUCAAAAAAUGCCCAGCAUCUCACAUGCAUAUAUUGGUGAUGCAUGUAGUGACUGAGAAGAAGUAAAUGUAUAUGGUGAUAUUGGUGUCCGCUUAGUGUCCACGAGUGAUGAAAGAAAGAAAAUUUUGGAGGACAUAUUUUCUCCUAGUAAAUACUCAUUUAACUCCGUAAGUUACUUUCCAUUAUCAUCCAGUCCAAAACAGUCUAUACUGUAUGAGAAAAUGGUCGUUAGUUAGCUGAGUUUCGAUGCCAUGCUAGCUCUAUCAUAUCAUCUUGUAUUGUAUUGCAUGUUAAGUUACUGAUUUGCCAUGUGCAGGUUCUAACAGCUCUAGCAACCUCCUUCCAUGCCCUGAAGGCUCUCAAAGUUCCUGCAUCAGGUUAUUCUUUUAUAAAGGAAAUUGUCAAAGGAAUUGUCAAAGGAGAAUUUAUUCAUGGGUUUCUUUUAAUGUUGUAUAUGUUUUGUUUUCUAUAAUAAAUAUUAUGCAAUAUUAGCAAUGUGUUACAUUUACUUAUUAUUGGAAUGAUUAUUUGUAUUUGACAUAAUAGUGCAAUGAAUUAUCUUUAUUGUUUAUGGUAUUUUAUUUUGUAUUAUGAGACUUUUAAUGUGUUAUUUAAUUUGAAAAUUAGUAAAUCUAUCAAAAAUAUAAUUUUAAAAACAUUUAAAAUUAUGACACGCAAAAAUGCGUGUCUUUUUUCUUUAUGACAUGGGCUUCCUUGAUACGCAUUGUGUGUCAUAAACACGUGUGUCGUAAGGUUACGACAUGCAAAUGUGUGUCGUCUUCCUUUAUGACAGGGCCUACCUUGAUAUGCAUUGCGCGUCGUAAAUUCGUGUCAUAAAUGCACGUCGUAAGUGCGCGUCAUCUAUAGACGAUGCGCAAAGGUGUGUCGUCUCUCGUUAUGACAGAGCCUUCCUUGAUACGUAUUUGUGCGUCGUCUAAGCAUUUUACGACACACAUUGCGCGUCGUAAAAGACUGUUUUUCUAGUAAUGGUUGAAGGUAAGCUCUCAUGCUUAAGCAUAUAGGAUUUGAGUGAAAAAAAAGUGAGAAGUUGAAAAAAAAGAGAGAAAUUACUAAAAAGUUGAAAGAAUUUUGGGAGCAGUCAGGUAUGAAAUCCAAAAAUCAAAAUUCUGAAGAAUCAAAAAGUUGAAAAUAACAAAAAUCAAACAAAAAGGUGGUGAAUUCAAAGAAAUCGAAGAUCAAUUAUCAAAAGAAGUUAAGAAUUCCAAGAGCUCCAUUGUGGUAUCUAAAGUUGUAAUUUCUAGAUUAUGUAUGCUUGGGUAGCUUGACCAAAAAUACCUUGAGGUUAAGAAAGAUUUAUGAGCAUUGAUUCAGAGGGUUGCAAAAAUGAGUAUCGCAUAACCUAAGGGGUAAAGGUUCAUAAGGAUUGUGAGUAUUUAUGAUUAUGGAAGUUAUUAGGACCUUAGACACAAAUAUGCACAUUGAAGUCUUGGUAUAAUGGUUGAGUUCAAAAUGGAUUGUUCUAUGUGAUGCUAGUGAUGAAGGUUUGCAUUAAAAUAAUUAGUUUAAUUUAGUACUUGAGGACAAGCAAAGGAUAAGUGUGGGGUAUUUUGAUAUUGCAAUAUUUAUACAUACUUUUAGGCAAUAUUUUAAUACAUUUUUUAUACAUAUUUUGGUUAUUUUCAUAGAAUAAUGGUACUUAAAAUAUUAAAUUGUAUUUUGCAACUAAAAGAAGUCAUUUUGAAGAUUAAGGACUAAAAGUGACAAAAGAAGGAACUUUGGAGGCUUGGAAGACUAAAGAAAAGAAAACCCACGAAAAUAGCUUAAUCAACGUUGUGGACAUCUCUUACAUGACGUGGAAUAGAAAAUUCUGGAAGAUGAGUACACGCAAAGUCAUAAUCCUUGCCCGAUAAGGAUUCUUUCAAGCCCACGACGUGGAGUCCUAAUCCACAACGUGGAAUGCAAUUUCAUGAUAAUUAUAUAUAUCUUUGACACUUACGGGUUAAAAGGUUAGAUGGAGAUUAGAAGUUCCAGAAGACGAAUUUUAGAAAUAAUUUAGAGAGAAAUCAAGCAUUGGUAUUGGAGAAGAAUAUGAAGCUCAUUACUUUGCUUUUGAUUUGGUACAGUUCAUUUGCCUUUAUUAAUUGAACUUGUGUGUUUUAUUUUAGCUAUGAGUAGCUAAAUUGAGCUACUUCUGUUAGCUAGAUGAAGCUAGAACUCAUGAUUUGGUUAUAUUAAUUUAGACUUUCUAGUUGGUUAAAGUCUUGUGUUUGAUUUUUUAUAACUAGCAUGCUUAAUUUGAUAAAAGAUUGCUUUAAGUUUAUAUUAUGUGUAGUUAAUGACCAUUAAUGUACAUGAAUGUGAUUAUCGAGUAAUUUAGGAAACAUUAGAUUAUUAGAGCUCAGAUCAAACCAAUCUUAGAUAAGUAAUUGAAAUAUUGAAUUUAACCAAUCUUAGAUAAGUAAUUGAAAUAUUGAAUUUGGUUGUGCUGGAGAACUCAUAUUAUGAGCAUGGUUGUGUUUGUCAACUCAAUCUUACAUAGCUCCAGUCCUAUCUAAUAAUUGAUUUUGUGUUAAAUUAUGUAUGAUUCAAUUUUAUUAAGAAUUUAAGUUUAUCUGAACUUGCAAAAUUUGAUAAAACCCCCUUUUUUACUUUUGUUAGAAAUUUAGAUUAAUUUAAUAGUAAGUAGGUCAAAUAGUUAAUUAUGUUUCCUGUGUUCGAUACUCGACUUUUGUGCUAUACUAUUUGUAAGGGGUACACUACCUUGGGUCGAAUAGCUAGUAGGAGAGUAGGACAAAUUAGGUGUAGCUAUUUGCGCGCAUCAUAUUUUGUACUUACCUAGUGGAACUACUAUGCAUAAAUCAUAGGCAAAUGACUUGACCUAUGAGACGACUUGAGAAGCACUAAAGAUGAUGCUUACAGAAGUAUACUACAAAAAGAUAAGAUAUAGAAAUUAGAACAAGCACUGGUGGAGGAAAAGAUUGUAAUGAAACAUGUGAAAAUGGGUAUUUUGAGAGAAAUUGAACAAGACUAAAGAAGCAAGAGGUAACGGCUUGAGUCAGAGCAAUUGUGGUCGGAACAAGAAAUGAAAAGCAAUAACCAUUAGUAGCAACUGGUGUGUUUCCCAUUAAUCACUCGUAUAUCGAAGUACUUGUAAUCCAAACGUGCAUAAGCAUCUUCAUGAACCCUAAGUUUAAACAUAUACUAAGUCAUCAACCCAAUAGAUUGGAGAAAACCUACAAAGUUGAGACAACUAGUGAGCUGUCAAAAAUCUAAUUUUGAAAUUUUGUAAAUUUUAUUCUAACACCCUUCCAAUCAUGUUUUCACUUCAAUCUCGUGCGUAUGUCCACGGAAAGUCCAAUAUCAUUGUUCAUAUGAAACAGUUUUGUCUGUGUCGUGCUAAUUCAUUAUACGACCCCCUUUAACUGAUAAAGUAACCAUGAACGAUUGAUCUUUACUCUAAGACUUCAUGCCAAUUCCGAGCUGAAGCUUCGACAUUUUUAUAGGUAUGAAUUGACUACUUCCCCAUUGUGUCUAGAUCUAUACUACAAGAAAGUUGUACAACUAAAUAUACCCACGAGAAAACCAUGGUCAGUUAUGAUGACAAGUCGGAGAAAAACCUAAAGUUUCCUUCCGACCCUAAAAAUUAAACCAUGGAUUGUUGUGAACAUGAAAAGGAAAAGCUGACCAGAACAUGACAAAGAAAUCGUCAGAGUUCACAUGAUGUCGAUCUAUAUCAUCUCUCACCAAGAUAGUAGAUUCAUCUAGCCAUUAUGAAAAUCAUUGCAUUCCUUGAGUGCGCGCUUAGGCAUAACCAUAUCUAUUCAUCCCCAAUGGCUAGACCUCAUGAACCAUCUCGACAUGAGUAAUAUGGUUUGAACCUGUAUGACAGACUUUGGAUAUUGCAAUAAAUUCUCAUUUUCGUUAAUUGAUUUUUUCCUUCAACAAUAGCUAUCACACCACUAUCAAGCGCACACCGUUUAAGGCUUUAUACAGAUACAAGUGCCAAUACUCGUUAUGUUGAAUAAUGAUUAAAGAUGCGAAAUUGAACAAAAAGCGUGUUGGUGAUACAUUUCAUUCCUCUCAAAGAAUCAGUUUUGAGAUUACAAAAAAGAUUGUAUGAACCUGAGAACGAGUGUAGACUGUACUCGAACAACAAGAGAGUUAGGUAAAAGAAAAUGCAAGCCUUUUGACAUCCAAGUCGAAUACUGUGUAACUUUAAACGCUUUCCUUUUGAAGAAUGAUACGACUUAGAGAAUGAGGUAGGUUAUACCUACAACUCAAAGGAUCUUCAAAAUUCAAAAAAAAAAGGUCUUGUUAUUUAUAUGAAUUUAUCUAUAGAGCUUAACCUCAUGUAUGACACCUUUCGUGGGCCAAAACUCAAGAAGUGUAUGUCCGACGACACAAUUACAAUCUCUUUCUCAAUGAAGUGUACUAAGAAACCAUGCUAAUGUUUCAUAUUUUUGAAAGUACACAUGAUAGAAUUGUAUGUAAUAUUCAAUAACCUUUAAAUAUUUGAUUCGAUCGUACUACCUAUUCUAUGUUUAGUUGUGACUUGGGGUAAAGCCAUCUAAUGGAUCGGUUAUCUAAUCUAGAACUAUGCAACUUAAAUCGACUUUAGAAAGACCAUGUAUGGAUCAAGAGAAAUGAAAACACUACCAACUAUUUUAUAAAGGUUUAUCUACACGUUGACUUUCGGGACAAAAUUCCAUUUAACGAUGGGGACAAUGUAACAACUGGUAAAAGUGGGUAGUAAUCAUAACACUAAUGCUAAGCCAUCCACUAUAAUUAGACCUAUCGUACGUCACUACUAUAUUAUAGUAAACAAAUGAGGUUGUGUUACACUUAACUUCUCAUAAAUUAAUAAACUCUAAACUCAGAAUUAUGUCUAGUGAUCGAUUUCAUUUUAACAAUAUUUAUAUCCUGAAUCAUCAUGUUAGACAUGUGAAACUCUAGUUAUUGUUUAAAUAUAAAUUCGGGUAUAGGAACUUCAUUUAUAUGUAUAUUUUGAAUCAUCAUGUUAGACACGUAUGAGAUGAUUAUAGGAAUCAAGUUGAUUUAUUGUAAAUUCAGACGACUGAAAUAACGUAUUNNNNNNNNNNNCAAAUACCAAAUACUCAAAUACAUGUAUGAUAUAUAAUUGUAUUUAUAUAUGAAAACCUAAAUACUUGUAUAUAUAAGAUUAUGUAUUAUGUAUAAUUUCAAAAGACCAUGCUAACAUGACAAUUAUGGCAUCUCUAGUUCCAAAUCUCGAUUUCUCUAUAUAUCAUACACAUAUAUGUAGAUUAAACUCAUAAUACAUUGAAGUAUAUGUAUUGUGUGUAUAUGAUAUUGCUUCAAGUACUUCAAAACCAUUACCCACAACCAUAAAUCCUAAUAGACAUUGUAGCACACCUAAAAUGCCAAAGUAAUGAUCUAUUAGGUACAUGAGAAUUUCCAACUUCUAAUCCUUCCCCCUCAUUCUCGAUCAUUACUCCUCACACACACACUAACACAAUUGAACAUCAAGUUGCACAUGUAUCAAAUCUUGAAUCAAAUUGGGCAUUGCACUUUAAAUCAUAUAUAGAUCACAAUAGUACCUAGAAAUCUUCCAAAAAAUCAAUUAAAAUCUACAUAAGAUCAUCUCAAGUUGUAUCUUCAAGAACUCUUACCUUCUUCCCCGCUCUAAUCUCAAUCUUACUCUCCUCAUUUCUUCUCUUUGGAGGAAAAAUCAAGAACCAAAAAGAUGGUUGUUGUCCCCUUUUCGUUCCAGCUUCUUUCCUUUCCUUUUGAUGUGAUAAACACGCCACAAACACCCUCUGAAAUUUAUGUGAUAACCUGUUCAUUCCCUUUUUCUUCCUUCUUCAAUUUCAAACACAAAAUCCUCUACCAUAGAGAUUCAAGAGGGUUAUACCCCUCUCUCGUUUACCCUUCCAUCUCUUCCUUUCUCAUUUAGUAAAAUUUCAACAAACAAACACCACCAGUUACUUGUUGUCGUGCUGCUUCUAUUCUAUUAUUUUUCAUCGUGUUUUUUGUCGAAUGGAUGUAAGGCAACCAAGAGCUAUCGGAGCAGCCCUCACUAGCGGAUCAAUCAACAACAACCCCCUCCCCCCACACACAAACACACACACUUACUGUUUCAGUUUGUGUUUCUUUUUCCCGAUCAGAUGAGGUUCGAAGACUGAUUCCACUUUUGUCUGAAAUAUCGAACCAUGAACCAUGAACCACCACCACUUUGAUUGACUUUCUUCCUCUUUGAUCGAUCGUUUCAACCCUCUAAGCAACCCCUCGUCACCAUUGUUAGCGAUAGCAGUCGCGUGCUGCUUGCGUCUUCUUUCCCUAACCAGUGUUUGUCGAUUAGCCACCAGACCACCCCAGUUUGCUGCUUCGAUUGUUUUAUCCUUUGCCUUCCCCUAUCUAUGAAGAAGAUGGCGAAGAUCAAACCCACCAAGAGCCGUUGGAGAUCAGCUCUCCCUUCCUCGCGAUCUUCUUUUGCUUAACUAUCGUCGAAGAUCCCGUUGAUUGUCCCCGACAUUGUUUGGGGCUGCUUUUUAGCCUAAAAAGUCCUUUUCAACAAAAGGACUUUUUGUCUUAUAGCUUUUUGAAAAAGAAGAUUUUAAAAAGUGUUUGGAUUAUCUUUUGAGGGAGCAAAGGCUAAAAAGCCAACAGUUACAAAGUGUCACAAUUUCUGGCUUUUAAAAUCACUUAUUUUUUUCUUGCCAAAAAGUCAUUCUAAAAGGAUUUCUAGAAUUGCCAAACACCUUUUCAAACUUUUAACUUUUAGUAAAAACUAAAAUUUUAAAAAGUCAUGUUGAAAAGUAAUCCUAAACACACUCCCCAUUCGAUCGGCUGAUUCCUUUGCUCGAUCUGAUGAUCAGAUGAAGAAGAUGCAUCGUUUCCCAUUUUGUACAUUAGAUGAUUUUGGAAAAACAAGUCCCUUUAAUUGUUGUUUUAAAUUAGAAUUAGCACCUAAAUUGAAAUCCUUACAAACCAAGUCCCAUGUGAUUUCGGCUUUACAAAAAUGGUCCCUUUUGGAUAUAAUUUUUCACAAAAACAGUCCUUUGUGUUAGUAAGAUUAUAAAAUAAUUUUUUAAAUAUAAAAUAUUUCAAAACAGUUCCAUUUGAGUUAAAAUAUUAUAAAAAUAGUCUUGGGCUUUGCUUUAACUCAAAAAGAUGUCAAGAUAGGGUUUCUCCCGUGAGGCUUCACCAAAACAGAACCCAGACUAAGAUCACGCAUCGAAUGUAAGUUUCUAUGACCCCUUUUUUACGGUUUUAAUAUUUGGGGGAGAAUAUAUGUGUGUUUGUUUAAAUUUUAAUGAUAUUUCAAGUUUUAUAUACAAAAUAGCAUCAUACUCUAUUAUUGUUCAAACGUUUGUGAAAUAACAAUAUAAAAAUGUGAUCAAUCACCAAUAAAUCUAUUAAGUUAAAGUAGAUUGUUAAAAGACGAUAUAUUUAUACUUUACGUGAAAUAUGAAUAUAAUUACUAAGAAAAAUCACAAGAUUAUAAGUAAAUUGCUAUAAUAACACAAUUGAUACUAUAAGUCACAAAAAUGAAAAUGACCAAAAAUCUUACUAGCGUGUAAAAUGGAAGUACAUUGUCAUAUUUGGUAGAAAAGUCAAAUUUAUGAAAUCGUACAAUUAAUAGUUAAACUUAUCAAAAUUUAAAUUUAUAUAUAUAUAUAUAUAUAUAUAUANNNNNNNNNNNNNNNNNNNNNNNNNNNNNNNNNNNNNNNNNNNNNNNNNNNNNNNNNNNNNNNNNNNNNNNNNNNAUGAAUGUAAAAUUUAUUAAUAUAUUUUUAUAUUAAAUAUAAAAAUAUAACUCAUUCUACUAAGUUAUAGAUUUUAUUGCAAUACAUAGCAUGAUCGAUUUCAGAACUUAAGAUUCGUUAUUUGCGAAAUAUUAUAUUGUAUUAAUCUCAUGAAAUACAAAUAUUAGGAAAAUUGUUAUUUUCACGUUGGUUGAAACUUGGAAAAUGUUAUAAAAGCAAUCAUUAUGUUGCCCAAAUUUCAUCAUAAUCGACAAUAGAAAUUUAGAAAUCCAUUAAGUAUUGUGUAUCUCAAAUACUUAAAGACUUUAAUAAAAUAUUAUUCCUAAACAAAAAAAAUCAUAAAUAUUCAACAAUAUUAUAACGGGAAGUUUAGGACUAGGAUGCCUAGACACAUUGUUAGGAUCCUGUUGGAUAUUAUUCUUUUUAUAUCAGCUCAGAUACCGAUUGUUGGAAAUAUAAAAAUCUGAUCACUACAACAAAAGGCUCGGAUACCAGUUACUGUGUGACAGAUAUGUAAGUUAAAGAUAUAAGAUGUAGAUAUAUAUAAAAAUAAUAAUUGCGGAAUAAGUAUAAAUAUGAAAGCUAUAAAUGAAUGAAUUGUAUAAUAAUAUAAAUGACUGUAUUUAAAUGACUUAAAGCUAUAAAUAAUAUAAAUGACUGUAUUUAAAUGACAUAAAGAAAUAAUAAAAUAUAUAACUAUAUAAAUAUAUAAAUAUAUGUUAAGUAGGUUCGUCAAUAAAUUGACUGAACUGGACUGAUAGAACGACUGGUCGAUAUUUGGACUCUUGGAACGACUGGUCGAUAUUUGGACUCUUGGAAGGACUGGUCGAUUUUUGGACUCUUGUAUCUUAAUAGACUUUGUUUCUAUUUGUUCAAAGAUCAAUCCGGUGUUUGAUAAGUAACAAAAAGUUCAUUCAAAGCCCGGUUUUAUGUUAAACAACUUGUUUACAUAAAACUUCAAAAUACAUGAGUUUUAGUAUUUGUAUUUGAGGUAUUUUUGGGUAAAAACAUGCACACGGGUCGUGUAAGAUAAGGCACAAGUAACACGGGUCGUGUAGGAAGGUUUAGGAGGGUUUUAUACGGUUUUCUUGAUCAGGAUCCUGAAUACAGGCCGUGUUUGAUUUAGGCUUGGAUUAACAUGGGCCGUGUUGAAGUACCAGAGGGAAACAGAUGAGUACACGAGUCGUGUCUGAUUUUAGGCAUGCCGAACACGGGCCGUGUUCACGCAGAAGUCAAUUUCGGGAUUUUUGUGGGUUGAAGAUAAGGUUUGUUUAUGAUGUUUUGGCUAAGGUAAUUGUGUUAUGGUGUUUUGAGGAUGUUUUCUAGGCUGUUUAGAGGUUGGAAGGAGGUUGAUAUAAGGUGGUGAUGGUGAUGAAAUUUCUAUGAAGAUGACGAUGAAUAGUGAUGGGUUUUGUUGUUGAUCUUGAUACAUAAGGUUUUAGGGUGUUUCAUGGUUGUGUUUUUGUGUUUUGAUGUAAGGGAGGUGUUUUAGUGGUGAAUGGUGUGAUGAAAAAAGAUGGUGAAGAUGAAGAUCCUUGAGUUUUAAUGAAGAAGAUGAAUAUGGUUGAUGGUGUUCUUCAUUUAGCUAGUUGAUGAUCUUGGUGUUCUUCACUUUCUCCAGGGAUUUAUCUUGUUCUUGAAAAAGAUGAAGAUUGUGAUGUUCUUGGGAGUAUUUGGUGAUGUUGUAGGAGGUGUUACAAAAAAACAACAAAUGAACACACACACACACUACAUACUCACGUAUACAUAUAUGAGAAACAAAUAUCUAGUAGUGCACUUGAGUUUUAGUUGAAAGUAAUGGCUGGUGAUGCAAGUUGUGGUAGUAGCUAGGAUCAAAAACGUGGGAAUGAGUUUGCUACUUCAUUUCCUUGACUUUUCUUUGUUUGUUAACUCUUACUUANNNNNNNNNNNNNNNNNNNNNNNNNNNNNNNNNNNNNNNNNNNNNNNNNNNNNNNNNNNNNNNNNNNNNNNNNNNNNNNNNNNNNNNNNNNNNNNNNNNNNNNNNNNNNNNNNNNNNNNNNNNNNNNNNNNNNNNNNNNNNNNNNNNNNNNNNNNNNNNNNNNNNNNNNNNNNNNNNNNNNNNNNNNNNNNNNNNNNNNNNNNNNNNNNNNNNNNNNNNNNNNNNNNNNNNNNNNNNNNNNNNNNNNNNNNNNNNNNNNNNNNNNNNNNNNNNNNNNNNNNNNNNNNNNNNNNNNNNNNNNNNNNNNNNNNNNNNNNNNNNNNNNNNNNNNNNNNNNNNNNNNNNNNNNNNNNNNNNNNNNNNNNNNNNNNNNNNNNNNNNNNNNNNNNNNNNNNNNNNNNNNNNNNNNNNNNNNNNNNNNNNNNNNNNNNNNNNNNNNNNNNNNNNNNNNNNNNNNNNNNNNNNNNNNNNNNNNNNNNNNNNNNNNNNNNNNNNNNNNNNNNNNNNNNNNNNNNNNNNNNNNNNNNNNNNNNNNNNNNNNNNNNNNNNNNNNNNNNNNNNNNNNNNNNNNNNNNNNNNNNNNNNNNNNNNNNNNNNNNNNNNNNNNNNNNNNNNNNNNNNNNNNNNNNNNNNNNNNNNNNNNNNNNNNNNNNNNNNNNNNNNNNNNNNNNNNNNNNNNNNNNNNNNNNNNNNNNNNNNNNNNNNNNNNNNNNNNNNNNNNNNNNNNNNNNNNNNNNNNNNNNNNNNNNNNNNNNNNNNNNNNNNNNNNNNNNNNNNNNNNNNNNNNNNNNNNNNNAUGGGUUGUGGAUGUUAAUUUUUCUUUGUAAUUCCCUGGAACAUCAAACUCUCUGAAUCACCAAACAACAAACCUCAGGAACAUCAAGAUCAACAAGUUAAAUGAAGAAGACCAUCAGUCAUCUUCAUCAUCUUCAUCAAAGGCUCUUCAUUAAACUUUAAGAUCAUCAUCUUCACCACCUUAUAUCAACCUCCUUCCAACUUCUAAACAACCUCAAAAUACUCUCCAAAUACCCUCCUUAAACCUCCUCCAAAACCCUUUCAAAUCACCACAACCAUCACCACCUUGCUGUUUUUCACGACAUCAGAAUCUUCAAGUCAGAAACGAAGAAAACUGGGCUCAGUACAAGCACAAAAAGACUGGGGAGAUUUUCACCUCAAAUUCUUCAUAACCUUAACUACAUCUAAGAAUUUUCGUUGAUGAUUUUGACCACUGAAAACCCCAAAGAGACACGACAGAGAAUUGGCUAUCUGGAUAGAUUUCUGUUUUCGAGUUCAGAAUCUUAAUGUCAGAAAAUAAAAAACUGGGCACAACACAGCCAAGAUAAUACUACAGAGAUUUUCACCACAAAUUCUUUAGAACCUUACCUACAUAUAGGAAUUUUCGUGGACGAUUUUGACCACUGGAAACCCCAAAGAGACGCGAGAGAGAAUUGGCUAUCCAGAGAGAUUUUCUGAAAACUGAAGGUUUUUUUUGCGUGCAUGCAAGGAUUUGCGCGAACACGACACUGGAUGUUUUUUCCUAAGUGAACACGACCCGUGUUCACGAUUUUGACCUUGAAAACCUUCUAAAACGUCCUACAUGACCCGUGUCACUUGUGCCAUAUCCUACACGACCCAUGUACUCGUUUUCAUCAACUUUUCAAGAUUAAACACUCCUACACGACCCGUGUCACUUACCCUUUCCUUUACACGACUCGUGUACAUGUUUUUACCUAGAAAUACCUCAGAUACAAAUACAUAAACUCAUGUAUUUUUUACUUUUAUGUAAACAAGUUGGUUUAAAUAAAACCGAGCUUUGAAUGAACUUUUUGUUACUUAUCAAACACCAGAUUGAAAUUUGAACAAAUAGAAACAAAGUCUAUUAAGAUCUAAGAGUCCAAAUAUCGAGCAGUCGUUCCAAGAGUCCAAAUAUCGACCAGUCAUUCCAAGAGUCCAAAUAUCGACCAAUCGUUCCAAGAGUCCAUAUAUCGACCGGUCUUUCCAUCAGUCCAGUUCAGUCAAUUUAUUGACGAACCUAGUUAACAUAUAUUUAUAUAUUUAUAUAGUUAUAUAUUUUAUUAUUGCUUUAUGUCAUUUAAAUACAGUCAUUUAUAUUAUUUAUAGCUUUACGUCAUUUAAAUAUAGUCAUUUAUAUUAUGAUAGCUUUCAGUCAUUUAUAGCUUUCAUAUUUAUACGUAUUCCACAAUUAUUAUUCUUUAUAUAUAUAUCUACAUCCUAUAUCUUUAACUUACAUAUCUGUCACACAGUAACUGGUAUCCGAGCCUUUUGUUAUGGUGAUCAGAUUUUUAUAUUUCCAACAAUCGGUAUCUGAGCUGAUAUAAAAAGAAUAGUAUCCAACAAUUGGUAUUUGAGCCUUUAUUAGUGGUGAUCAGAUAAUAUAUUUUCAACAAAUAGUAUCAGAGCUGAUAUAAAAGAAUAUUUUCGAACAGAUCCAAGACUCCAGGGUCUCCCUGUAGGUGUCACGUUGUUUCUAGAGCCAUAUGAGUUAGGUUCGUUUCCUAAGCCAUUUUUAAAUAGCAUGAUCAAUUUUCAGAACUUAAGAGUCGUUAUUUGCAAAAUGUUAUAUUGUAUUAAUUUUGUGACAUCCCCAAUUUCACGACCAGAAAAAGACCGAUUUGUUUAUGCUUUGUUUUAAAAUCAGAGUAAUCGUUUAAAGAAAACAGAUGCAGAAUUUGUUCCCAAAACAAAAUGUGAUAAGAAUUUAUCAAAGCAUUUCUUUAAAGAAAUGUAUUUUCACUAAAAACAAAAUAUCGGGAUGUCAUGUUCCAAUACAGACCAAAAGCAUAAACAGUAUAUAAAAUAGAUCUUACAAUAGUUAUUUAUAACUACUGAUCUAUAAUCCAAAAUCUCUCGUCAAGUACACCAACUUAUACUCUUGUGCCAUUACCUGUAAUGCAAAGAAAACUAAGUGGGUCGGGCUUUGGAGCCUGGUGAGCAUAUAGGGUUUUCAACCCACAAUAAUAUAAUUAUUAUAUUUAAUCAUCAAACAAUCAACCCAAUUACCCAUCCCCGUUGUCUUCUUUAUUUCAUAAGGUUUUACCCUAAGAAUCAAGUAUCCUUCCUUCAUUCGUUCCUAAGGAUUGGCCUAAGGAAUUGACACAAAGUCCAUUGUUGCCCAAGGUUCCUAUAACAAACACUAAAUCCAUAGCUGCCAAAGUUCAUCUAUACAAUACUAAAUCCAUAGCCACCAAGGUUCAUCUAUACAAUACUAAAUCUAUAGUUACCAAGGUUCAUCUACAUUGUACUAAAUCCAUGGCUACCAUCGUUUUAUUAUAAGGCACUAAAUCUAUAGCUGUCAGGGUUUUUAGAGUACACCGGUGAACAUCAAGUGCACAACACCUACAAGUUGCGAGCUUGCUAGUGUUCCACAUGACUGUCUAGAAUAGUUUGUGGUUGUCAUCCUUACUCUAAUGAAUGAUAGGGGCCAUCGUUUGGGUAAAAGUUUCACUCAUUUUUCACCUGUCACCCUCAUCUCAUGAUCUAUAUCAUCUUUCGUCUCAUCCUCAAACUAAUCUUUCCUCACACACCAACUGUUUCAUCUACCCAUGUUCUACCCAGCAUAUUUGUAGAUAUAAAUUACAUAUAUAGUUUAAAUCAUUUAAAAACCUAUAUAAAACAUUCAUUCAACAUCCAUCUCAAGUAAACAAACAACGUAUAAACACAUAGCACGUAUUUCAUAGCAAAUACUUCAUAUCUAUGUAAUAGAAGAAAGUAACUACACACUCACUUGAUUAGACGAUGCUCGAACAACACUACGACUCUUCGAGUAGCAAUUCUCCGGUGAAACUGGGAUAUCUUCACACAUCGGGCUUCUCACGGGCAUAGCUUUGGCUUGAAACUCUUUUCUUCUCGGGAUCUUCGGAGCAUCAGGACCCGCAUUGGUAUCGGGGAUGGUAUCGGGGCUUUGGGGGGGUUAAAAGAAGGAUUAAAGAUUAGUAGAGUAAGAGAGAGGUUGAGAAAUUAGCAACCAAACCCGGCUGCCUUUGGUUUCUAUUUAUAAGGCUGAAAUUUCAGAUUUCACGUCGUGAACCAUCAUUUCACGUCGUGGCCUUGGACGUCAUCAGUGCGUAGUCGCGAUGUUUAGUAUGUCAGGCUCUAGAAGAUGUCAACACUGAGUUCACGUCGUGAACCCCUUUUUCACGUCGUGAACUCUGACACAAUGUUGGGGUUCGCGCCCCGAACUUCAGAAAUUCAUAACUUUCAGAUACGAGCUCCGUUUUCGACAUUCUUUAUAUCUACGCAUAGGUGAGAUUAUGCUCUACAACUCUCAUUUAGAUUUCGUCGGCUAUUUUUGAAUUUAAUUUUUAUUAUAUUAGUUUUAGUAGGCCGGUAUAGGAAAACUCCGUUAUAAACUCAUAACUUCUCAUCCGACUUCUGUUUUCGUCUGUCUUUUUACCGUUGUAUUACUAUCAAUGAGAUCUUCGAUUUUCGUUUAGAUUGUUUCGGCUAGAAAUCCUUCGAUCUCAUAUUCGAACUUUGGGCUGCAUACCGCUAAGUUGAAACUUAGAAAAAUCAUAACAUUCUCAUACGAAGUGAGAUUUGGAUGUUAUUUUUAUGCACGCUCUCGGUUUAAUGUAUUCUAUGACUUUCAUUUAGAUCGCUAAGGCCAAAUAUCGCUCUAACGUAAAUUCACUAUUUACAUCGCGAUGUGUCGUGCCGAUUCUGUCGUGAAACUUCGACAGGUCAUAACUUCUUUGUUAUAAUUCGGAUUUCGACAUUUUUUAUAUGUACGAAAUCCUUAUAAUAUAUACUACAACUUAGUUAAGAUUAGUCCAUCUAAAUAAUCUUCCAUCAAAAGUCAUUUUUGACUCUCAUUGUCUCUAAAUUAACUAGCUCUGAUCUACGGGUGUUAAACAUCUCGUGAAAUAUAAAUAUUAUGAAAAUUGUUAUUUUCACGUUGGCUGAAACCUAAAAAAUGUUAUAAAAGCAAUCAUUAUGCUGCCCAAAUUUCAUCAUAAUAGACGAUAGAAAUUUAGAAAUCCAUUAAGUCUUACGUAUCUCAAAUACUAAAAGACUUCAAUCGAAUAUUAUUCCUAAACAAAAAAAAAUCAUAAAUAUUCAACAAUCUUAUAACGGGAAGUUUAGGACUAGGAUGCCUAGACACAUUGUUAGGAUCCAACACUCCAGGGUCUUCCUAUAGGUGUCACGUUGUUUCUAGAGCCAUAUGAGUUAGGUUCGUUUCCUAAGACAUUUUUAAAUAGCAUGAUCGAUUUCAGAACUUAAGAGUCAUUAUUUGCGAAAUAUUAUAUUGUAUUAAUCUCGUGAAAUAAAAAUAUUAUGAAAAUUGUUAUUUUCACGUUGGUUGAAACCUGGAAAAUGUUAUAAAAGCAGUCAUGAUGCUGCCCAAAUUUCAUCAUAAUAGACAACAGAAAUUUAGAAAUCCAUUAAUUCUUGCGUAUCUCAAAUACUAAAAGACUUCAAUAAAAUAUUAUUCCUAAAAGAAUAAUAAAUAUUCAACAAUCUUAUAACGGGAAGUUUAGGACUAGGAUGCCUAGACAAAUUGUUAGAAUCCAACACUCCAGGGUCUCCCUGUAGGUGUCACGUUGUUUCUAGAGCCAUAUGAGUUAGGUUUGUUUCCUAAGCCAUUUGGGUUAUGUUGUUGGGUAUACUAAGACUGUGUGUCUUGGUGGAAAACCCUUUAUUUUCAUAAUCGUUAAUCCGCAGAGAAUGAUUAACGACAAGUAUAAGUGUCAUACUAUUGAUCUUGUACGGUUAGAUCGCCCGAUGGGAGUUGGUAGCUACAACUACGUCUGCCGAGAUAAAUUUUGGCAUUGAUGUUAGUACCAUUGAAGAUUACCAUGUGUUAUAACAAGGGUGAAUAACUUAAUCAUGACCUAUCUGUAACGCACGUGUUUUGAGGCUAAGCAUUAAUGCGAUAAUGUAAUAGUCUAGGUCAACCGUUGUAAACUAUUUUAAAGUAAUAAAUAUGAAUUACUUGAAUAUUAUGUGAAUUAUGUGCUUUCAUGUGAUUAUAUACUUGUUUGUAAAGAUAUUAUAAAAUAAGCUUCAAAAAUAAAAUGAUAGAUAAGCCCGAUGUCUAUGAAGGAAGUUGUAGUGGUCGUGACAAGGAUUCCGGACAAAUGAAGAACACCGAAAUUCGAGUUGUAGUGAAGAAGUUAUGACCUGUCAAAGUUUCACGACAGAACCGGCACGACACUGUGAGACAUAAAUAGCGAAUUUGCGAUAUAGGACUUUUUAGACUUAGCGAUCUAAACAAAAGUCGUAGUGUUCUUCAAACCGAGAGCGUGCAUAAAAAGAACGCCAAAAUCUGACUUUUUAUGAGGAAGUUAUGAUAUUUUCUAAGUUUCGACUUAGCGGUAUGCAGCCCUAUUGGAUCGAACAAUCUCUAGCCGACACAACCUAAAUGAGAAUCGAAGGUCUCGUGAAUAGUAGCACAACGGUAAAAAGACCGACGAAAGCAGACGUCAGAUGAAGAAGUUAUUAAUUUUUAACGGACUCUUCCUGUCCCGGCCUGUUAAAAAUAUAACUUUAAAUAUAGAUUUAAAAUUUGCGGACGGAGUCUAAAAGAAAUUUGUAGAGUAUAGUCUUACCUAUCCGUGGAUAUAAAGAACGUAAAAAAUGGAACUCGUAUGCGAAAGUUAUGAAUUUUUGAAUUCGGGAUGGAAAAUUACGAGGGGUACGCCUAGCGUAUCCUCAGACGCCAAGUGUUCCGGAGUACGCCCAACAUACAAGAAGCGAACACCCUGCUGUUUGACUUCUUCUGUGGUCUGAAGCGCUCCACGAAGCUCCAUCCAAACUGCGACACGUGCCCUUAUGCGCAGCGUACCACCGAGGGUACGCCCAGCAUACUGCAAGGCCUCACGCCUAUAAAGGGUGCGAUGUGCAGCCCCAUUUUCCUCACAUUUUAACCUGUCUUUCACUCACAACUCUCUCUCUCUCUCUCUCUCUCUCUCUCUCUCUCUUUCUAUAGCCUUCCAAAACACCCUCGAAGCCUAGGAAACCUCCCUAACAUUAGAAGAAAGCCCCGGAGCGCCCGAAGGCUCCAAGAAAAAGAGUUUUUCGGUUUAAAACUCUGCCUGCGUAGAGCCCGGUUUUCAAGAAAACCUCCCGGUUUCAUCAAAGAAGAUUAUUUUAAGAAGUGAAGUGUUGUCCGAAUCAUCCCUUAUCAGGUGAGUGUAUAGUCACUUUCAUCUUACACAUAGAUAUGAAGUGUUUUAUAUAAAUUGCGUGCUAUGUGUAUAUAUUAUCCGUUUACUUGAGAUCUAUGCUGGAUGAAAGAUCUAAACCUAUUUAUUUUCAUAUCUGAACUUUUUCCUUCAAAUCUAGACUUUUUCUUUCAGAUCUAAGACUUUUUCUUCAGAUGUGAACUGUAUAUGUAUUUUUUUCAGAUCUAAACCUUUUUCUUCAGAUAUGAACUGUAUAUACAUUUUUUUUUGUCAGAUCUAGACCUUUUCUUCAGAUUUGAACUGUAUAUGUGAUUUUACUUUGAGAUCUAUGUUGGGUGAAAGAUUUGAACUUUGUUUUUUAAGACCUAGACCUUAUAUAUAUAUAUAUAUAUAUACUCAUUNUAUAUAUAUAUAUAUUAUAUCUAAAAAUAUGUUGGGUAAAACAUGGGUAGAUGAUAUAGUUGAUGUGUGAUGAAAUAAAAUGAUGAGAGGCCUUGAUGUUGAUGUUGAUCCAUUCAUCUAGCGGAGUAUGGAUGAUGACCACAGACUUUUCUAGGAAAUUCAGUGUAACGCUAGCACGCUCGCAACCUGUACGUAUUUGUGAACGAUGUGUUCACCGGUGUAGUCCAUCCCCCNNNNNNNNNNNNNNNNNNNNNNNNNNNNNNNNNNNNNNNNNNNNNNNNNNNNNNNNNNNNNNNNNNNNNNNNNNNNNCCCCCCAUGGUUGGCUUACGGACCCUUAUUGAUGAGGAAUCCCCUUAGCAGUAGUGUCCAUCCCAAUGAAAUUCCUUAGGAUAGAUCCCUUAUAAUAGAUACUUUAGGGACGUAAAGUGAGGAUAACAGGAAUGGGUAAUCGGGUUGAAUAAUUGUUGAAAAUAAUAAACUUAUUUAUUGUGGGUUGAAAACCCUAAAUGCUCACCAAGCUUUCCAGCCUGACCCACUCAGUUUCUUGUAUUAUAGGUAGUGGCCAAAGCAUAGUUGGAUGAUCUGACAAGAGAUUAUGGAUUUUAGGCCAAUAGAAAAUUGUACGACCUAUGUUGUUUUGAGGCCAAUUUUGUUUUAUGGCCUGUGAUGUUAUUGUUUUAUGCUUUUGAUAUGUAUCGAUGUUGACAUCCCAAGUCAGUUUGAGGGUCUCUAAGCCAAGUGCACUCAAGGGUUGAAUGUUAAGAAGCGUUAUCUUGGAAUCAAUAGUUUAUACUCGAGCUUGGAACACCUUCAAAGGUGGUUCACGGCUGUAAAGUAGGUUCACGGCCAUGAACCCAUGCUUGGGAUGUGAACCACCCUCCAUAUAUAUGGGAUUCACACAUUUUCUCCUCACUUCUUCAUGCUCCAGCCGUGAACAUCCCCAUUCUCUCUCAACUAUCUUCAACCGUGAUCACUCCUAAAGGCCUCAAAACGUAAGUAUUUCAUCCCUUACUUGUUCAUGCUUAGGAACCCCUUUGUUCAAACCUUGAUUCAUCACUUUUCAUCACCAUCUUCAAGAUCUUCAAGAUUUCAUGACUGUGAACCCUUUGUAAGGGUCGUGAACCCUUCAAAUGAUCUUGGGCCGUGAACACCUCAUGAGGCCGUGAACUCAUAGAGUUGGCCGUGAACCCUCCUUGUAUGGUCAAGAUCAUCAUUCAACCAUCCAUUUGUGGGUCUAGCACUUCAUUUAGAGUGUUUCCUACAUCCAAAUGUUGUUUCCUAUGCUUAUUAGUAGUUAUAAACACUAAUUGUAUGCACAUAUAUGUGAUUAUAUGCCUUAAUAGGAUUCAUUUGUGCUUGAGACUUCUCCUAGUUUGCCAAGCACCCUAUUUUUUUCAUUCAACCAAGUGACUCACAAUCAGGUGAUUUCAUACCCCUACAAUCAACCUUUUAACUGUUUUAAAUGCUCUUUAAGGGGGGGGGGGGAGAUACAAGUUGAACACAAUGAAAUUGUGUUAUUAUAAACCUUUGAACUGUACAACUUUCCAACACUGUUAAACACCAUUUACAAACCAUUUUCAAAACUAUUUCAAAACAUUGUUAAACUUCAUUUCAAAACCCUUUUAAAGCUAAUUUUUAAACCUUGUGCAAACUCUUUUACUCUCAAACCAUAUUCCUUUAUGUAUUCGAGUAUAAAUAGGCUUUAAUGGACUUAGGAUUAUUGUUAAUAACCUUGACUCAUGUUCCUUGUUUCGUUGUGUGCUUAGGAUAGGAUACACUAGUCCGACUGUCGAUUAACUCAUAAUUAUACAUGCUAAAUACAUAUAACAAUAUUAAAUCUUACCUUUAAAGUUAUACUUAAUUCAAUUAUACAUGCUGAGCAAUUGAGUCAUUUCUACAAGUCAAUUACAAAACAAACAUACUAGUAAAUUAUAAUAGGAAUGGUUUAGAGAACACACUAGACAUAUACAUUUACAAGUACAGAAAGGAGCACUAUACAUAUACAUUUACAAGUACAGAAAGGAACAAUAUACAUAUACAUACACAUUUACAAGUACAGAAAGGAACAUACACACUAUACAUGUACAUGACAACUAGAAUGUGAGAUACUACUUCAUGACACAACAAUACAUUGUUAUGCCACGUGUUGUAACUAGUGUAUCCUGGAGGAAGAGUGUGAGUUUGAGUAUAGAUCUAUAUGGGAUUGACCAUCCCACAUCUCGUUGCUAGCUACAGUGGGACAUGCGGGUCCACGGGUGAUCAAAUGUCAUACCAUUUCUGUAACAUCCCAAAAAUCCGUACCAAAGAAUUUUCUUUAAAUCAUUACCAAAGCCAUAUUCAUAAAACAUAUCAUAAGUCAUAACAUGAAUUCAGAGUAUCAUUUCCAAAACAUAUUUUCAUUAUCAGAGUAAAACAUCCCAGGCUGACUAAUCAAUGGUGUGAGCCAUGCGAUCACCCCGAGCUCUUCCCUCCGCUACCGGAAGUACCUGAAACCAACACUGAAAAUCGUAAGAACGAAGCUUAGUGAGUUCCCCAACCUACCACAUACCCUGCAUAAACACAUACAACACAUACUGGGCCACACCUGCUAUUUCGGGCCUCGCCCGCUACAACGACCCCGCCGCUCCAGGCCCCGCCUGGCUUCGAGCCCCGCUCGGAUAAAGAUCUAUUUCACUUAGGCCUCGACUGUCAGUGGGCCUCGCCCACUAACAUAUAAUAGCACAUAAACAUAUCACAACACAUAAGCUAAACAUAUACUAAUGGGUCCUGUCCUAAGGCCUCGCCUAUCUUGGGCCUUGCCCUUGUCCUGCUACUGAUGAGUCAUGGGACCCCGUCGACGCUCCUACUGAUAGUGAGAUACGAGCCCAGCCCACACUCACUCUUUUCCUAACUCGGGCCUCNNNNNNNNNNNNNNUGGGUCUUCCUACUCAUAUCUACAUGGGUCGACAUUGUGGCCUUAGACCCAUUCACACAAAGGGAAACUCACCUGUACUGCUGAACUUGCUGAUAACCCUUUGAUUGUUGAUCGACAAUUCUCUGAACCGCUGCCCCACUAGCUCCCCGAGCUACCAAUAUCAAUAUACAUAACACUUAGAUCCAAACAGAACACUAGAAGUCGACUAAGUCCACUCUUGAAAAAGUCAAAGUCCUGGUCAAAGUCAAUCUUCCUGACUGACUCUACUCGCCGAGUCACCCCAAGACUCGUCGAGUCCAUGAAUUCAGAAACUCCUAUAAUACGACUCAACUCGCCGAGUCAUCCCAAGACUCGUCGAGUUCAAAGAUCUCUGAGUCCCAUCCUGUCCAACUCACUGGGUCACCAUUCAACUCACUGAUCUGAGCCUUAACCAGAAAGGGUUAGUGCUUUGCGACCUAACUCGCCAAGUCCAAGAACAGACUCGUCGAGUCCAUGACAAUCUUCAACAGACUCGCCGAGUUGUUCUUCCAACUCGUCGAGUCCAUGCCCAUCUUCAUCCAACUUGCCGAGUUCACCCAUGUGACUUGCCGAGUCACUUCAGUUCUUAAUCCAUACAAUGGCUUUUCGAGUCAUGCAGGGGCUCCAACUCAUAGAUCCACUCUUCCCAAGUCUAUUCCUCACGUAAAGUUGCAAACUUUAUGCGAAACCAAAGAGAUAUGGGCUUAAAACACUCUAGAGCUAGGGUUUGAGACCAAGGGGCUUCACCAACAACUUAUUGGCAUAAACUUUAUGGCUUUCUGGAUCCUUAAUAGCCUAUAUCUGAGGUAGCAACCUCAGGUCUACUCCAAACUUGAAAUAGAUCUCCUCCAUACUCAAAAUUCCCAAAUCUCAACCAUAAGAUAGAUCUAAAUGCAAUAGGGUCAGCUUAUUACCUCAAAGGAUCUGAAAAUCCACACCAACUGUGUAUCCAAGGUUUCCUCUUGCACCACUAUGAACCUCCUUCUCUUCCAAGCUUCCAAUCACUUCACCAAGGCUAGAUCUUGCUCAAAAACGGAUAUGGUGGCUAGGGUUAGGUAUUCUGGGUGAGAAAGUCUGUAAAUGAACCCUAAGGAAGAGAAUAAGAUGCUUAAAUAGGGCACCAAGUCCCGAAUUUAGGGUUUCCUAAUCCAGACCGGACUCGCCGAAUCCACUCUCCGACUCGUCGAUUCGGUCACUUACUCUCCGACCCGGAUCCCGCUUCGACUCGUCGAGUUCACCUAUGGACUCGACGAGUUGACCCCCCUUGACUUAGGGUUUUCCUUUCCUUUCUUAGUCUUUCUGAUUCUGGGUGUUACAACUUCGGCGUCCGAAUAGAGGCGUGUGUAUACUAGGUCAAUCAAGUAUGGUUAUAACCACAUCACAUUUUAACCUUAAUUGACCAAUUCGGUUUUAAAGGCAAUAAGACUCUCGGAAUUGUAUGAUUCAUUUAGUACGACUAUGAGUCUCAAUUUUUCCGUUUCAUUGAUGAUGUUAUCGCUGGGUUAAAACAUACUAUUUUCCUAUUAAAAGAUAGUAACUAUAUGGAAAACAUACUUUGAUACAGAUAUAAAGUACAAACAUAAACAUUACAUUUUUACAUGAGAACAAACAUACAAACAGUUGAGCUUUGGGUAGAAGGCUACAUUCCAUAAUAAGUAGAAAAUAUAGGAUUUUCUGGGAAAGAAAACUAACAUUUUUACAAAACAAAUGUAAGCAUUUUACUAUAUGGAUACAAACAUUUUACAACACAAGUUUAAGCAAACAACGCUAAAUACUUAUGAACUCACCAACAUUUAUGUAGAUACUCUCUUUCAAAUUAAAUUGUAUUCUCAGGGAACUAGUAGACAAGUACACCCAUUCAACUUUUGAGAAGACGGAGUGGAUUCAAGACUCGUCAUUAUUUUGACUAUAAAUUAUUGGUGUCAUUUAAACUUUACAGAAGAACACACAUGUAUUUAACUAUUUUAUUAAUGCAAUGGAUGUUGUUGGUUGUUUUACUAUUUUUCAUUGUUAUGAUACUGUACAUGACGUUCUCCACCCCCGAAUGUUUCCGCCACUUCGGUUUUGGGGGUGUGACAUGUUAGGCAAUACCCCUUUAUUGCAUAUAAAAUAUUUCAGGGUUGUGAUUCCAUUGCAUUUCCUCUAUGUUGAUUUUCUAAUAUCAAAACCAGAUUUUACUGCAUAUCCUUUAUACCACUUAAUAUAAUCUUUCAUAUCUUUAAAAAUUUAACUCAUAUGAGGUAUCCAACUAGCUUCAACCUCUAGAAUACGAAAGAAAGAACCAUCAGCUCCAAUGAAUUGUUUGCAAGAGCCAUAUUGUGCUAAAACAUUGUCACUUUGAACUACAAAUAAAAGAAUGUGCCACCAUGUUAACAUAUAAUCAGAAUAAUCUAAAUUCAUAUGACUUUAAUUGUAAAACACAACAAUUGUAACAACGGAAAUUUUAAAACAAAAUUUUCAUUUCUAAAAAUGUAUUUUCAUCCAAAACAAGGAAUAAAUAUCCAACGUAUCAUGUCAUAAUACAAUCAUAUAAAUCCCAAGAUCAUAAAUCAUCCAUCAGUGUGUACAGAUCACGCUGGCGCCUUCCCAUGGUCCUCGCUAGUACCUGAAACACAUACGCAACAACUGUAAGCAUAAAUGCUUAGUGAGUUCCCCAAAAUACAACUUACGCACAUACGCCUUUCCAGGCCCUGACCUUCCGGUCCAUGUGUCUCAGGGGACUUCCGUCCCUGCUGGGUAAACCUUCCGGUCCUACCCACGCCAACCUUACGGUCCACAUUACAACGCCUUCCGGCCCAUAACAUAAUGCCUUUCAGCCCAUAUCAAGAAUAUCAUACAUAGCACACAUAACAAUUAACUUAUCACAUAUAACACAUAUGUCUCAUACCAUAUCCGACCUUCCGGUCACACAGUCAAAACCCUUCCGGGUAUAGUAUAGUUAAAAGACUCACCUCGUGAAUAUCGAUAGCUAGCAAAUCCUGGAUUCACACGUGCUCGAUCCUCCGAGCUACAAUCUCCCUAUAUCAUCAUACGUCUCUUAUUAACAUUUUUACCACUAAGGUUGACUACCCUUUUUAAGUUAACACUAGUCAACUCUUGGUCCACGGUCAACGGUCAACGGUCAACUUUGACCGGACUCGGCGAGUGCACUAAGGUGACUCGGUGAGUCUAGACGUUUUCACCAAUCUCUCUAGGAUUCCCUUUUGACACAUCGAGUACUCCCCCUGNCUGGGCGAUCUGAAGGCAAUAUUCAAGCUACUCGCCGAGUCUGAUCAUCGGACUCGGCGAGUCCAUGCCAUGCAAUCACUCAAACUUGCUUCUAAGGUCAGAUCUGUUCCAACAAUUCAUAGAUCUGGCCUUCCUAGACUGAUUCAAUACGUAAAGUCCUUAUCUUGGUGUUCAUAACACACCCCAUGGCUCAUAAAUGGCAUUUUAACCUAAAGCAUAAGUAUUCCAAUCCAAAACCUCCAUUGAUUCACAAAAAGCUUGGGCAAAGGGACACUCUGGACCUCCAAGGGUCCAGAUCUGGUCUAAAUCGCUUAAGGGACCAAGGGGGCACUCGAUCUAGCCACAAAAGGGCUCAACAAGCCCUAAAUCAAAUGAAAACAUCAACAUAGCAGAGGAUAGCUCGAAGAUAUUACCUCAAAUGCGAUGCUCUGGACCCCAAACUCUCAGGAAGUGCCUCCUCUUGCCUUUCCUUAGCUGAUCCUCCCUUUUCCUUGCAAGAUGACACCUCCAAGAUCAAUAAUGGCCUCCUACUAUGCUCGAAACGCUCACACUCGAUUAGGGUUUCACUCAAGGGACUGGUGAGCACAAAUGUCGGCCAUAAGGCCCUUUAAAUAGGUCCCAAACCCGAGAAAUUAGGGUUUCAUUAAACAGCGCGGACUUGCCGAGUCCAUACCUUGGACUCGCCGAGUCCAGGCGCGAACCCGCGUCCAGAACCGCGGUCCUACUUGGCGAGUCUGAGCUCCAAAUCGCCGAGUCCCCUCUCAAAACACCAAAACACAAACAUAAAAGAUACCUGGAAAUCCGGGCUGUUACAAUAAUGUUGUAUGUUCAUUAUUCUAUAAGAAUAAUAUGCAGUAACAUGAACUUAUCAACAACAUCAAGUUAAUAAUUGAUAUUAAUAAAUAUGUGUUAUAUAUUCUAUUAGAAUAACUGAUAUCAGUAACAAAAUUACCUUGGGUUUCCGAUAGAUUUUUCUCAUUAUGCAAAAUCUCUGAAUCACCAUAACUGGAUUGAUGAGUUUCUUCAACAUGAUGAUUAUUUAUGAUGCCAUGCAUAUCUAAAUCAUCCAUAACUGAAAAACAUAUUUAUUGAAUGAAAGUUUAAAAUCAAACAAUGAAACAAAUGAUGUAUUUCCUAAUAAAAUAUUAUAGGUUAAAAUGUGUUGUAGGUUACAUAGAUUAAACAUAUGAUGUUUGAUUGCUGAAAAUCAUGAAUCAUACAUAUAUAAAUUACAGAUAUCACUAAUAGCUUGAUGAUUCAAUCAAUUCAUGUUACGAGGUUAAAAUUUUAAUAAGUUAUAUACAAGUAACAUUGAAAGCAGUGAUAACUCAAAAGUUGAUCAAUUGAAUAGCUCAUGAUACAAAGUAAAAAUUAACAAAUUUGCCUUGGAUAUCUGAUUGAUUUUCCUCAUUAUGAAGAAUCUCUUAAUCAUUAGAACUGAAUUGAUGACAUUCUUUAUCGAAAUGAUUAUUUUCAAUGNNNNNNNNNNNNNNNNUUAUCUAUAUAUAUAUAUAUAUAUAUAUAUAUAUAUAUAUAUAUAUAUAUAUAUAAAUUUACUUCUAGUUUUCUAUAAGAAUAAUAUGCCGUAACAUGAACUUAUCACUAAGAUGAUGUUAUUGAAAAGUAAACAGAUGACACAUUCCUGAAAAACAUAUUGAUUGAAUGAAAGUUUAAAAUCAAACAAUAAAAUAGAUGAUGCAUUGCCAAAUAACAUAUUAUAACUUAAGUUGUGUGCUAUUUUAUACAAAAUCAAUCAAUCAAUAUAAUGUUUGAUUGCAAAAAUCACGAAUCAUACAUAUAUAUAAAUUGGAGAAAUCGAUAAUAGAUGGAUGUUUCAAUCAUUUCAUGUUACUAGGUUAAAAGUCGAAAGCGAUGGAAACUCAAACCUUGAUCAAUUGAUAAAUUCAUGAUGUUGAGUAAAAUUCACUGCUUGAAAGAUCAUAAACAAUUAUAAAAGAUGAAGAGUAGCAGAAGAAGUCAUUGAACACUUGAAACUCUACCUUGGAUGAAAUUGAAGAUCUCGGAGUUAAAGUCGAUCACAAUAUUGUGAUGAAUUGUUGAUGUAGAUAGAAGAACACAAUCCUCAAUCACUCAAAUUAUCAAUUGCAAAUGUAGAAGAAUGAAGAACAUGAACUCGAAAAACAAAAAUAAAUUGAGAUUGUAAAAGCUAUGAUUUAGCAUUGUUCGAUCAAUGUCCAACUCAAAUCGAUUAUCAGUUCAAAGAAUAAAAGAUUCAAGGAGAUAGAAGAUCAAUCAUAAGAGUCAAUUGGAGAACAAAGAAUGUUGAUCAAGUGAAUAUCUUGGUAGAAGAACGGAAGCAGAUGCUUUCUUAAUGACGUGAAGACGACGCUAUCAUUAUAUCACAUAUGAUCAUCUUAAAUUUAACUUUGUGAUUGAUCUACCCCUAAAUAACUAAUUAUGUUAAAACAAAGUUCUAGUAUGAUCGAUAGAUUCUAAAAAAAAACAAGAAUAGUAAUUUAAAGAACACAGGAAUGGCUCAAACGUUGUCCAAUGAUUAAACUUUAACACCUCAGAAGAGCUCGAUUAAGAACUUCGACGUAGAAGUGUUUAGGGUUACAAUGCAGCUAUUAAUGAAAACGAUCACCUCUAAUGCUAUACAUGCAUGCACUAUAAAUAGCUUAACCCUAAACAUAAAUCACGGAUGGACAGGCCCAAUCCAGAUACACAAAUAAUAAGCCCAAUGACCCAACACAAACGAACCCAACAAUCUCCCCCUUUGCGUCAAUUGAGGCGAGAGCUCAGUUCGGUUUUGCAACAGAAGACUUCUUAACUAUCUUGAACACACACGAAAUGAUAGCCAAAAUAGUUUGUCGGAAAGUGAUAUACCACCGAAGCAUGUGUAAUGCCCGUAGAUUAGGGCUAGUCAAUUUAGACACGAUAAGCGUCAAAAACGACUUUUUGAUAGAAGAUUAUUUAGCAUAAAUAAUCUUAACUAAGUUGUAGUAUAUGUCACAAGGUUUCCGUGCAUAUAAAGAACGCCGAAAUCGGAGUUAUAACGAAGAAGUUAUGACAUGUCGAAGUUUCGCGACAGAACCGGCAUGACGCUGAAUGACGUAGAAAAUGAAUUUAUGUUAGAUUAAUAUUUUGGCCUUAACGAUCUAAACAAAAGUCGUAGAGUUCGUUAAACCAUGAGCGUGCAUAAAAAGAACGUCCGAAUCUGACUUCGUAUGAGGAAGUUAUGAUUUUUCUAAGUUUCGACUUAGCGGUAUGCAACCCGAAUACUUGAUUUAAGAUCGAGCGGUUUUUAUCCGAAACAAUCUAAAUGAGAAUCGAAGAUCUUUUUGAUAGUAGUCCAACGGUAAAAAGACAGACAAAAACGGACGUCGGACGAAGAAGUUAUGAAUUUCUAACGAAGUUUUUCUGUCCCGGCCUCCUAAAAACAAAUAAUAAAAAAUAAAGUCAAAAUUAGUAACGGAGUGUAAACGAAAGUUGUAGAGCAUAAUUUCACCUAAACGUGGAUAUAAAGAACAUCGAAAAUGGAGCUCGUAUGUGAAAGUUAUGAAUUUUUGAAGAUUGUAGCACACAUACCAAAGCUUAUCCGAAGCGUACGCCCAGCGUAACCGAAAUUACGUCCAUCGUACUUGAAAAUUACGCCUACCGUACUUGGAAAUUACGCCCAGCAUAAUCCCAAACCCAACAGCCUAUAAAUAGAAUGCGAGAGCUGCCGAUUUCUUUUGUUCAAACUCUUUCUUCUCUCUAGUUUUUGCCUCGAUUUGCGUGCCAAUUAUAUCCCGAAGCCCCGAUUUCAUUCCCGAGCCCCGAAGCAAGUUCUGAAACCUCGAGGAUCCCGAGAAGUGAGAUUCCCGAGNUUACCGAAGAAUACUACUUCUACAAGUCGUAGUGUUGUCCGAUCAUCUUCUAAUCAAGUGAGUGUAUAGUCACUUUCAUCUUACACAUAGAUAUGAAGUAUUUUAUAAAAUACAUGUUAUGUGUGUGUGUGUAUAUAUAUAUAUAUAUAUAUAUAUAUACAUAUAUAUAUAUUGUUGUUUAUAUGCAUGAGUGCAUAGUUACUUUCUUCUAACACAUAAAUAUAAAGUAUUAGCUAUCAAAUACGUGCUAUGUGUUAUAUAUUAAUUGUCUAUUUGAGAUGGACUUGGAUUUGAUGUUUUUAUAUAGGUGUUAAAUGAUUUCAAUUAUGUUUGUAUUUAUAUCUACAAAAAUGUUGGGUAGAACAUGGGUAGAUGAAAUAGUUGGUGACGACGCGACUUCGUGCCUAUUGAGUAAGCCUUGGUGACGAUGCGACUUCGUGCCUAUUUGAUAAACCUUGGUGACGAUGUGACUUCGUGCCUUUUGUGUAAACUCAGGUGACUUUGAUACAUAGUGCCUAUUGUGUAAACCUUGGUGACUAUGAGAUGUAGUGCCAAUUGUAUGAACCAUGGUGACUAUGCGACGUAGUGCCUGUUGUAUAAACUGUGGUAGCAAAUGGACUUUGUGCCAGUUCCUAAGGUAAAUCCUUAGGAAUGAAUGAAGAAAGUAUAAUUGAUUGUUAGGGUAAAACCUUAAGAAAUAAAGAAGAUAAUGAGGAUGGGUAAUUGGGUUUAUUGUUUGAUGAUUGAAUAUAAUAAAUAUAUUAUUGUGGGUUGAAAACCCUAUAUGCUCACCAGGCUCCCAAGCCUGACCCACUCAGUUUUCUUUGCAUUACAGGUAAUGGAACAAGAGUAUAAGUUGGUGGACUUAACGAGAGAUUUUGGAUUAUAAAUCAGUGGUUAUAAAUGACUGUUGUAAGGUCUAUUUUAUAUUGUUUAUGCUUUUGAUAUGUAUCGGAACAUGACAUCCCGAGGUUUUAUUAUUUAAUAAAAAAAUACAUUCUUUUUGAGAAAUAUUUUUGAUAAAUGGUUAUCAUAUUUUGUUUUUGGGACAAAUUCCGCAACUGUUUUCUUUAAAAUAUAACUCUGAUUUUAAAACAAAUCAUAAACAAAUCGGUCUUUUCUGGCCGUGAAAUUGGAGAUGUCACAGUUGGUAUCAAAGCAUUAGUUUAAGCGAACUAGGAAAUCUAUAGGAUUUCUAGACUUAAACUUAGAAUGCUAAGAAAUGAUUGUGAGAUGAGUGUCUACCAUAUUUUAAGUAACGAGCACUAUUAUAUUUUUGGAAAUUUGCCUAAAAUUCUUUUAUGUGCUAAAUGUUAUAUGUUGCCAUAUAUGAUAUUAUUUGUUCGGAUCUAUGGUCUUUUGCCGACCGGGUCUGGAAACUUUAUGUGUUUCGGAUUCUAAACGUAAAACUACGGUAUUAGAACUAGCAUGUAAACAUUUCGGAGUGAUAUGGAGGAUUUAAAUAUCUAUCGUGAAUGAGGAUCUAAAUUCACCUUGUCCGAUGUAUAGAUCAAAAUGGCAAGAACAAGAAGCGGAGUUGGAAAGGCGAACGAGAACAGGAAUCAACCACCCGUGAUUGAGCAAGUAGCUAUUGCAGCAACAGUAACAACUGAGCCAAUGACAAUGGUUGGUGUGCAAGCAAUGAUUUAAAUGAUGUUGGAUCGUCAGAUGGAGGAAACAAGGUGUUUGUUUCGGCAGAAUCGUGAAGAAUUUACAAUACCAAUUUAACAGCCCGAAGCAAAUGGAGGGCAGUCUGAAGGUGGAAACUUUAGUGGGAUCAUUGGUCAGGACGACCCACCGAUGGUAAGGCAGAACAACCAGGAUGGAGGAAAUGACAGACAUGGAUGCAAGUACAAGGAUUUCAUGGCAUCCAAACCACCGUGUCUUUCUGGGAACCUGACACCGGUGUAAGUCAUGGACUGGAUCUCCGAGAUGGAGACAAUGUUUGAAAGUUACGAUUGUAGCAACAGACAGAAGACCACUCUUGCAAUUCCUCUUUUAAAAUCUGGAAUACUUAGCUGGUGGAAGUUAUUGGCUGGUCCGAUGGCCAAGGGGGAAGCUAGCAAGAUGUCUUGGGAAGAAUUUGUGGUGCAAGUGAAAAUGCAAUACUGCUCUGAGCAGGAUCUUCUGGAAAUCAACAAUGAGUUCCAGAAUCUAAGGAAGGGAAAAUUGAGCGUCACUGAAUACGCCACAAGCUGUACGGAAAAGAUGAAGCUUAUUCCAUACCUACUUCCAACUGAACUUUCCAAGGUCAACAAGUUUGCCAAUGGAUUACCAGCGGACUUUGGUCCGAUAGUCAAGCAAGCAACCACUUUGAAAGCCACCAUCUGGGCAGCCAAAAAUGUUGAGACCCAAAUAAAAGAAAAGGGUCUAGAGAGAGCUGAAGUUGGAGAGAAAAGGAAACAUGAAGGAUCUUCAAUAAGCAACAAAGAAACCAAAUUCUCGAAAUCUGGAGGAAGAGAUGAAGCUAAGUGGUGCGAGAAGUGUAAAAAGAAACACUUCAGGAAGUGUAGAGAGGAGAUGAAUUGCUACAAAUGUGGGAAGCCGGGGCAUUACGCCAACAAGUGUGCAUCCAACAAAAAGGUGUGCUACGGAUGUAACGAGGAAGGGCACAUUUCUAGAGACUGCCCAAAGAAAAACGUACCGCCACAGCCAAGGGCAUUACACAUGAUCCUCUACCAAGCGAAUCAAGGAUGAGGAAUUUAUAUCCAAGGAUCAAAUUAUGAUGUAGCCAAUUAAAGGCAUAGUAUAGGGUGAACUUGAACUUUUGUGUAAUCAUUUCAAGUUAUAAUGUAAACCCUGGUUUUGAUAUUUAGAUACUUAUGGUUUUAAUACCUGAUGUGUUAAAUGAUUGUGUGAUUUUUGUAUAGUGACUUGGUUCGACUGAGAGACAAUACUUGGGACAAGUAUGAGUAGGUGUGAAAGGUAGUAGAUGCAUAUACUACCGGAAGCACAAGACUCACACUUAGAUCAGGGAAAGUCACAAGGUUACCAAGAAGCUAGUGAUUGAUCUUGUUUCAUUCAAGUAUGUCGUUACCAUUGUUUCGGUAGUGACUAAGAAGAUGAUUUAUAUUCUGACCCUAGCGGUCAUAUCAAAUUAAGUCCGACUACGACGAGUUUGUUAUGUGGUUCAUAGAACCAAUUUCGAGGUAGCAUCUGACUCAAGUCAGGAGAUUGAAAUCAAUGUGAUCGAUAGAAUCGCGCUCGUUGUUAAGGAAGCUUGUAGCUAGAAACGCUACAUGUAAAAAUGUGAUUAUAUCACAUUAGAAUACGAAGAAAGGUAUAUUCCAUUCCGGAAUUUGACUUUAUGAGACUUGAGUCUAAGCGUUGCAUCAUACGAUGAGGGGUCAUCAAGACAUGACCCAUUGGUCUGUUACAAUAGAUAAAUGAAUGUAUUUAUCCUAAGAAGAAAAACGAGUCCACAAUAAGGAUUUAUUUUAUAAAUUGAAGGUUACGAUUGAAAUUCCAACAUAGUAUGAAGAGCAGAUGUAAGAUUGAACAUCACGGUUAUUAAUUAGGAUGGAAAGUUAACAUAUGGAAUCAUUAUUCAAGCCCUGUUUCGUUGAUGAUUCCAGGACAUAAUCAUCCUAAGGGGGAGAUAAUUGUAACGCCCGUAGAAUAGGGCUAGUCAAUUUAGAGACGAUAUGCGUCAAAAACGAAUUUUUGAUAGAAGAUUAUUUAGAAUAAAUAAUCUUAACUAAGUUGUAGUAUAUGUCACAAGGUUUCCGUGCAGAUAAAGAACGCCGACAUCCGAGUUAUAACGAAGAAGUUAUGACCUGUCGAAGUUUCGCGACAGAACCGACAUGACGCUGAAUGAUGUAAAAAGUGAAUUUACGUUAGAUUAAUAUUUAGCCUUAACGAUCUAAACAAAAGUCGUAGAGUUCAUUAAACCAUGAUCGUGCAUAAAAAGAACAUCCGAAUCUGACUUCGUAUGAGGAAGUUAUGAUUUUUCUGAGUUUCAACUUAGCGGUGUGCAGCCCGAAUACUCGAUUUGAGAUCGAGCGCUUUUUAGCCGAAACAAUCUAAACAAGAAUCGAAGAUAUUUUUGAUAGUAGUCCAACGGUAAAAAGACAGACAAAAACGGACGUCGGACGAAGAAGUGUUGAAUUUCUAACGAAGUUUUUCUGUCCCGGCCUACUAAAAACAAAUAAUAAAAAAUAAAUUCAAAAUUAGCCAACGGGGUCUAAACGAAAGUUGUAGAGCAUAAUCUCGCCUACACGUGGAUAUAAAGAACAUCGAAAAUGGAGCUCAUAUGCAAAAGUUAUGAAUUUUUGAAGAUCGUGGCACACAUACCAAAGCUUAUCCGAAGCGUACGCCCAACGUAACCGAAAUUACACCCAGCUUACUGAGUACGCCCAUUAUACUUGGAAAUUACGCCCAUCGUACUUGGAAAUUACGCCCAGCGUAAUCCCAGACCCAGCAGCCUAUAAAUAGAAUGCGAGAGCUGCCGAUUUCUUUUGUUCAAACUCUUUCUUCUCUCUAGUUUUUGCCUCGAUUUGCGUGCCAAUUAUAUCCUGAAGCCCUGGUAUCAUUCUCGACCCCCGAAGCAAGUUCCGAAGCCCCGAGGAUCCCGAGAAGUGAGAUUCCCGAGCCGAAACCCUGCCUGCGAGGAGCCCGGUUUUUGUAAAGAUCUUCUAGAUCUACGGAUGAAUACUACUUCUACAAGUCGUAGUGAUGCCCGAUCAUCUGCUGAUCAAGUGAGUGUAUAGUCACUUUCAUCUUACACAUAGAUAUGAAGUAUUUUAUAAAAUACGUGUUACGUGUAUAUAUAUAUUGUUGUUUAUAUGUGUGAGUGUAUAGUUACUUUCAUCUUACACAUAGAUNUGUGUAUGUGUAUGUGUGUGUGUGUAUAUAUAUAUAUAUAUAUAUAUAUUCUUGUUUAUAUGCAUCUGUGCAUAGUUACUUUCUUCUAACACAUAAAUAUAAAGUAUUAGCUAUGAAAUACGUGCUAUGUGCUAUAUAUUAAUUUUCUAUUUGAGAUGGACUCGGAUUUGAUGUUUUUAUACAGGUGUUAAAUGAUUUAAAUUAUGUUUGUAUUUAUAUCUACAAAAAUGUGGGUAGAUCAUGGGUAGAUGAAAUAGUUGGUGACGAUGUGACUUCAUGCUUAUUGAGUAAGCCUUGGUGACGAUGCGACUUCGUGCCUGUUUGAUAAACCUUGGUGACGAUGUGACUUUGUGCCUUUUGUGUAAACCCAGGUGACUAUGAGACGUAGUGCCUAUUGUGUAAACCUUUGUGACUAUGAGAAGUAGUGCCAAUUGUAUGAACUCUGUUGACUAUGCGACAUAGUGCAUGUUGUAUAAACUGUGGUAGCAAAUGGACUUUGUGCCAGUUCCUUAGGUAAAUCCUUAGGAAUGAAUGAAGAAAGUAUAAUCGAUUCUUAGGGUAAAACCUUAAGAAAUAAAGAAGAUAAUGGGGAUGGGUAAUUGGGUUGAUUGUUUGAUGAUUGAAUAUAAUAAAUAUAUUAUUGUGGGGUGAAAACCCUAUAUGCUCACCAGGCUCCCAAGCCUGACCCACUCAGUUUUCUUUGCAUUACAGGUAAUGGCACAAGAGUAUAAGUUGGUGGACUUAAUGAGAGAUUUUGGAUUAUAAAUCAGUGGUUAUUAAUGACUGUUGUAAGGUCUAUUUUAUAUUGUUUAUGCUUUUGAUCUGUAUCGGAACAUGACAUCCCGAGGUUUUAUUAUUUAAUAAAAAAAUACAUUCUUUUUCAAGAAAUAUUUUUGAUAAAUGGUUAUCAUAUUUUGUUUUUGGGAAAAAUUCUGCAACUGUUUUCUUUAAAAGAUAACUCUGAUUUUAAAACAAAGCAUAAACAAAUCGGUCUUUUCUGGCCGUGAAAUUGGGGAUGUCACAGCAUGUCUAUGAAGUACUUCUUGUCAGCAGCGCUGUUCUUCUUACACUUGUUCACCAGAUCAAUGAUAUGCUCCAGACAGCAUGUGGAGAACAGAUGUUUAUCAUCUAGGGCAAACACGAACUUAUCUCCUUCUUUCCUUGUAAACAUCACUGUUCGGUACUUCGAAUCAAUCACUCCCAGCUUCAUUAUGUUCGGAUCCUAAGCUUUCCCAAUCGGUUUGAUAGUUGGUCUUUUUCGCAAAACAAAUGAGAUUUCUUGAUCCCUCAAGGAGACUCCAUGAAUAUAACAAGCAAACAUUCGUUUGAGAUAUUCAAUAAUCAGCUCAUACUGUUUUUGAUUGGUAAGCAGAAUGUUAUACAGUAGAAUCCAGUUAUGUGGAUUCAAGUUCGGCGGAUCAGCCAAAGGAAUGAUAUGAACCGACCCCUCUGAUCCUCUUCUUACCUUGAACUUCACGUUGAUGAAUUUCCUAGCAGAAGUCGCUUCAUAACCUUCACAAUUGUAAUCUUUUGAGAACUCCAGGUCAAAUGCUGAGGCUGAGCAAAUUCCAAGUAGUAAUCAACCAAUUCUCUAUCCGUGUUCAGAUCAGGCGAAGGAACGGCAACAGUCGGUUCAAAGCAAUGAAACACAAAAGCUUUCCGAGUGAUUGGCAUAUCAAAUUGGGAGUCCUUACAAUUCUCACGGUCAAAAGAAACAACUGGUUUAAGCCAAUGUGUGCGUGGAGAAUCUAUGGCUUCUUUUAUCAUUCGCUCCAACGUCCAAAAAGGAAAAAGUACUUUGCGACUUUCCAAAAGGUCGUGAGCCUCCUUUUGCUUUUACUCCCUCCCUUCAGCCUCUUUAGCAAUACGAGAGUUUUCAUCCAACUCUCUGUCUCUAUUUAUUCUUUUGAGAGCAGUGUCGUCAUUCUCUUCUUCUUAUUAUUAUUCUUCUUCCAUGAUCCCUUUACCUUUGUCAUGUUUACCAGAGCCCGAAGCUUCAUUACCCUUCGGUUCUAUAGUAUCUUUUGGUUUCGGUGGUUGCUAAGAAGAUUUUUUUGGUUGCUCUUCAUUCUUGUCUCCCCCUUGUUGCGGAGUAGCAACCGAUUCUGGAACACCCACUACUCGGCUCAAUAAAUCAAGACCCAGACGCAAUUUUUCAGCUAGAUGUCUCCGGAUAGUGAUAGUUAGGACCGAAUCAUGAACAUCCAAGAUAUUGGAAAGAAGAUCUUGGACAUCAGAAACGUAGCUUCUCAUGACAGUACACUCAAAUUUGAGCUCAUCAAUAUCCCGUCUUGCCGGAUUCAACCGAAAAGCCUGAGUCUUGAGCAUCGUAGGUUGACAAGCGAGCUCAUCCAUCACUUUAUUUUCAAAUGCCAAAUCCUCUUGCAAUUUUUCAAGGAGAGAAGCAACCGAGGAUUGAAAGGAUGCUUGAUCGGCUUGAAUCUCAGAACGAAGUUGGUCAAACUUCGCUUGUUCAGCCUGAAAAGUUUGGAGAGAGACUAAAUUAUAGCAUUUACCUUAUUGGAGUUAGUUUCAGCUGCCCCUUGAAGUGAUUCUAGAAAAAUCUUGGCAUUAUGAAUCAAUGAUUUUACUUCAUCAACAGCCUUCUUGCUUGACAGAGUCGAAGCAUCAACAGCUUCUGUGGCUCUCUGAAUUGAGGACGCAUGUUUGUUAAGUACUGUUUCCAAAAUUGCUUUUACUGCAGCCUCAGAAUAACCCGAAGAUGAAAAAUAGGAUGAGGCAAUGAGCAUGUCAAGCUUAUUAUGCAAAUCCUUCAAAUGUCGCUUAUUCACAGGAGCAUCUUCAUCGUCAUCGCUCUGGACCCGAUAAGGACUGUAAUAAGUUGACUCAAAGUUAAGAACUUCACCGCCCAGAAUAGUGUCAGACUCGGUUGAUGGUGAGGGUGAUAGGGGAGGUUCAAUUUGUAAGGUAGGUGCCCCCGUAUCAGACACGUUGACACUGGGUUCAGUUGUAGCUUGAGAAAAUAUUGGCGGUGGAAUAGGAGAGCUAACUGGUGGUGCAGUAGAAACUGGAGGUGGACAUGGGGCAAUAGUAAUUAGAAUCGAAGUCUGAGUAGGAGAUGGAGGAGGAGAUGGAACUGAAUCAUGAACUGGUACCUCGUAAGUAGGAGAAGGAGGAGGCGAAUAACCUCUCCUAGCAUCAGAAUGAACAUCCUCACCCCCAUCAUCACCAGAAUCAUCAUGAGGUUGAUCAGAAGCGUUGUAAUCCGAAUCACUAGUCGAUGGAGUGACCGAUUUCCUUGCUGUCUUCUUAACCUUUAGCUUUUUCUGAACAGGUGCUGCAACUUUCUCAGACUUCCUCUUUUUCGAAGCAGUGGCCUUAAUGGAUUGACUUUCCUCAUUAGCUUUCUUUGGAUCACUGCGUUUACCCCUUUUUUGCUGGUUUAUCAGCAUCUUCAAGUCAUUGUUGCAUCUCCGGAGUAUAAACUCUAGGACCAGACUGAGGAGUUUCCUUGUAGGCAGCGAUAAUCGAGCUUGUAGCAGGAACAGAUCCAUACAUGGAUUCAGGAAUUGAACCCACAUAGGAAAAUUUUGAAGGAUUAGCUACGAUGAACUUCGUCGUAUGAAGUGUGGCGAUUGUAGACAUUAAUGAGUCCGCCAUUACUGGAACAUUGAAUCUUACCAUGGCCCGAUGAGUAACUAUCAACCAAAAGCGAGCACACGAGAUCUCACAGUGACGUGAAGAAGAGUUCAAACUCUGUACCUGUUGGGACCAUAGGAUAGAAGCAGAAUCCAGAUGCAUAUGUCUGUAAAGACCAUAGAAGAAAACCAUAAAACCCUUGCUUGAGCCAUCAGAACCUGCAACUUGUUCAGCAAAACUCUUAACAAGAAGAGUAAAAAGACCAUUCCAUUGAGGAGGAAGGCAUGACUUCUUGAACUUAGUAACUAUGGUCAAAAUAUCCGUGUAACCAAGGUCAUAGAACAUUGAGAAGAGAGGUGAUAGAGUAAUCGAAUCUGGGUUCACCAUUGUUUCUUCAUAAGGAAGCCCUAAAAAAGAAGAAAACCUGACCUUAGACACAGAGGUCUUGUGAUUAAAUAUCUCGAAGAAAAUCCUCUCUUGUUUCUUGCCGUACGUUGCAGUAGUGUAGACUUGAGAUAGUAAUGACAUUGGCACUGUUUCAGCCUUCAUCAACGCCAUGGCAAGUGGUGAAUAUUUAAGACCUUCAACCAACUGGAGCAUGCAGACAUCAUAUAGAUGAGGAUCAAGAUCGAUAAUGAGAUUUUGAUUGGGCUUAAUCGUCAGUAGUGUGGAGGAAGCUGUUUGAUCUUGAACUAAUGAAGAAUCUGCCAUUGUUGGUUCACAAGAAGAUGAGAACAGUAGAGAAAGAUAAAUCGUUGGUAUACUUUGAGAAAAUUUGGAAGAGGUAAGGAUACACCUUUAAGAUGAAAAACCUUUUAUACCAUUUCCUGGAGAGAGAAAAACCCGGUAUAAUGAUGACUGAAUCUCUGAAAAGUCUCCAUAAAAAUCACGAUUUGACAACUGUUCCCUAAAAAGUUGUCAGGCGGCGUGAGUGAUUUUUGACGUUUCAAAUUCCCACGCCCAAAUUUCGCCAGAUGACUAGGAUCAAAUUCUUAUCCAGUUACCGGCUCUUCCAGUUAUGAAGUCUUUCCAAACUCGUGGAUGACUCAUCGUUCCGCUUGUGAUUUAUAGUUGUAUAUUUCGGUCUCUAAUUGAGUGCUCAUGGACGACAUAUAUAACCGAACUAGGAAACCUGAAAAGUAACAGUAUUAAACCGAACCAGACUUGGGAAAAUCACGUGGAUUUUCGUGCAAGAGUGUGACAAGAGAAAAGAAAUAAAGGAAAGUGCGUUUGGGAUGUGAGUGAUGUCUUAUCAAGACACGAAGUAGAUGAUCCUGGGCACGAAUCUUCUCCUUCAAAUUCAACAGAGACUUGAAGUGGUUGAGUGGUUUCCUGAUAAAAUAUGAUCGAAUUUUUGUUGAUAAACAUCGAAAUGUUUUUUUUUCAUAUAUAGGCUGUAAAAGGUGGCUUAUCUUCAACUGAACUUCGAUACUUAACACAAGAUCGAAAGUCAGGUGAAGUACUUGUGAGACCGAUGUGGUCUGUUGAACAAGUAGGUUGGAUAUAGUUUGUAGUGACGGGAUGUUUAUUAGAAAUCUCAAAAAUAAAAAUGAAACUAGAUCUUUUGGGAAGAAAUACCUUGGUGUUAGAAAAUUUCAUAAAGAUCACACAAAAAAUAAAAUGAGACUUCAUAAGGUAAAAAGUAACAGCUUGAAUAUUAAGUUUUCAACAUCAAUUCAUUUAUGGUGUUGGAUUUUGGGUGUCACUUAGUACAUGGUGUAAGUAUCUAAGAUCAUAAACACAGAUUUUGUGUAACAAUAAACCUCAGUGGUAAUUUCUGAUAGUCUCAAGGGUUACGUUGGUGGAAUAAAACAUGAUGGAGAAAGUAGAGGAUGCGGUUGAAGAACCGAAAGUACCUCUGCUAAAUAAGAAUGACAAAGCAGAAAACUCUUGACUCAUAUGAGAAGAGUAAGGUAGCUCAUGACUUGAGUGUAUUUAGCAGCCUAAUUGGGAAGAAAUGAUUGGUAUUGACCGAAUAAUUAAGGCUUCACUCAGAGUCUUAGAGGCUUCCGUCUACAUACAGAAGCAUGCUUCUAGGGACACCUAACUAGUUCAUAGAUAAGAAUCUUAUACCUGCCCUCCCUUCACCGCAUGUUCCUUAUGUGUUCUUUAGACCUAAGAAAGAAAAGAAACCACACGAAAUACAAGAAGAAAAUAUUUUUUUGGAUUUUUGCAAUUUUUGAAAAAGAGUAAAAACAGAAAAUAAAAUAUUUUUGUAUUUUUGAAAUUUCUGAAAAAGAGUAAAAAUAGAUAAUAAAAUAUUUAAGAUGAUGAUAAAAGAUAAAGAAAUGUGAGAAAAAUUUACAAGUUAUACAACCGAACCCUAAACUUAGAAAAGAUGAAGUGAAAUAGACCGAGCGUUCGGUUCAUUUCGGUUCCCUAAAAUUCCGAAGCCGAAAUAGACCGAGCCUUCGCUCUAUUUCGCUUGUCUAUUUUUUAGAGAGAAGUAGGGGGUUUCGGUACCAACUCUGCUUCCAUCAUUCCCAAGCCUUGUAAUAUUCUAUUAAAACUUGCUUCUGGUAAGGCCUUAGUAAAGAUGUCAGCAAGUUGAUCAGUGGACCGAACGAAAUGAACUUCCACAUUACCGUCUUCAACAUGGUCCUUGAUGAAAUGGUAUCGUAGUGUAAUAUGUUUGGUCUUGGAGUGUUGCAUUGGAUUGUGGCAAAUCCUUAUUGCACUUUUUGAGUCACAGUAGAGAGGAAUCUUCUUCAUACUUAGUCCAUAAUCUCUAAGUUGGCUUUCUAUCCAUAUGACUUGUGAUGUACAGGAUGCUGCUGCAAUAUACUCAACUUCGGUUGUUGAAAGAGACACACAGGUCUGAUUCUUGGACUGCCAACUGACAAGUUUACCACCAAGAAAUUGGCACCAUCCAAUUGUGCUCUUUCGGUCCAUACCACAUCCACCAAGAUCUACGUCAGAAAAGGCUUGAACAAAGAAUCCGAAUCUAGCUGGAUACCAGAGACCGAGAGACAAGGUUCGCUUCAGAUAUCGGAAAAUAUUCUUCACUGCAAUCAUAUGAGGUUCUCUUGGAUUUGCUUGGAAUAUGGCACAAUAGCACAAAGAGAACAUAAUAUAUGGUCUACUAGUUGUUAGAUACAUAAGAGACCCUAUCAUUUAACGAUAGAGAAUCACAUCAACAGCCGGUUUAUCCAGAGACGGUGAUAGCUUCGUGCCAAACUCCACGGGAACCUUCACUUUAGAAUCCCCCAACAUGCCAAACGUCGCCAACAAGGUCUUGGUAUAAGCCUCCUGGUUAAUAAAUAUGCUUCUGGUCCGUGUCUAAUAUUCAGUCCAAGGAAAAAGUUAAUUGGACCCAUUACGCUCAUUUCAAACUUAGUCUCCAUCAACUUCCUGAAUUUAGCUAUUAAGCUAGGAUUCAUGGAGCCAAAGAUGAUGUCAUCGACAUAAAUUUGAACUAUCGUUAAGUGUUCGGCUUCUUUCUUGCGAAAGAAGGUUGGGUCAACCGAACCUUGCUUAAAUUUCGACAUUUUGAGAAAGCGAUUUAGAGUUUCAUACCAAGCUCUCGGUGCUUGCUUCAGACCAUAUACUGCUUUAUCAGAACAUAACAAUGAUCAGGAUACUUCUCGUUCACAAACCCAGGUGGUUGCUCAACAUACACCGUUUCUUCUAGUUCUCCAUUGAAGAAAGCGCAUUUUACAUCCAUUUGGAAAACUUUGAAGUUUUUAUGUGCAACGUAUGCCAGAAAAGUUCUUACAGAUUCCAACCGUGCUAUAGGAGCGAAGGUCUCCUCAUAAUCUAUCCUUUCUUCCUGACAAUAUCCUUUCACUACUAGUCUCUCUUUAUUGCCAAUGACGUUUCCCUCUUUAUCCAGCUAAUUCCUGAAGACCCAUUUCAAACCAACCACCAAUGCAUCCUUUGGUGUGGGAAUCAACCUCCAAACACGAUUACGUUAAAACUCAUGGAGUUCGUCUUGCAUCGCUUGUACCCAAUCAGAGUGAUCAUGGGCAGCAUUGACCGUUUUCGGUUCAGUCUUGGAGACAAACGAAUUAAACAUGCAAUAUUCAACUUGUGAGAAUAGAGCAGUUUGUUUCACUUUAAGUUGGGAGAGUGUUAGAACCCGCUCAGAUGAUUCACCAAUUAUUUGUAUUUUAGGAUGAUCCUUUGUCCAUUUCGUAAGAGGAGGGUAGUUCGGGUCAUAAACAGGAUCCAACUCAGCAUUUACUUCUUCUUCAAGUUUUGAUUGAUCGCCUUUGUCAUUUGCAUUUUCAUUCGCCCACUCAAAUGGCGAAGCGUAUUCCAUAUCGGGUUCAGGACUCUCCCCCUUGGUUGGACCAUCAUUGGUUGGGUUAGGAGUUGGAUUCUCACCCUCGAAAGGUAAUUCGGUUGUUUUAGAAACAGAUGAACCCUCCCCUUUUAAUGUAGAACAAUCACUUGGAGGGUCAUUUUUGGGUUGGUUUCGGUUGGUGUGGGAUGAUCACUUUCCAUUUCCUUUGUAGCAUCAUCGAUGAUAUUUUUCAAGUUGUCGAUGUUGUUUUCUGCUACUUUCGCUUUUGAGUGUAUUGCCUUCUCUGGUUCAUCAAAGAGUAGCAUAUACUCUUCAAACAUAUUGGAGAUUGGAACCGAGACUUGACCUGAUUCAGGAAAGAUGUGUUCUACAGUACCUUCGCUUGUUUGAAUCUUCCUCAUAUAAUUAUCAUCAAAAGUCACAUAGUAAGUUUCUUCAAUCUUCCUAGAGCGUUUAUUCAAAACCCUAUAUGUCAUCGAUGUAAGCAAAUAACCAAGAAAUAUCCCCUCGUCUGCUUUGACGUCGAACUUGUUUCGGUUCUCUUAGGAGUUGAGAAUAAAACAUCUUGAACCGAACACGUGGAAAAAAGGGCUUAUGAUUGUUCAGUAUCUCGUAUGGAGUUGUUGAGAAUCACUUGUUGAGGAAAGAUCGGUUCUGAGUGUAGCAUGCAAAUGCAAUGACAUCAGCCCAGAAAUAAAGCGGAAGAGAAGCGAAGCUCAACAUGGUUCAGGCUGCUUCACAUAAGGAACGGUUUCGCCUUUCAACGAUCCCAUUCUGUUGUGGAGUAUAGGGAGCAGAAAAAUUGUGAGUUACUCCCUUUUCAGCCAGAAAGUCGUCAAACUCUUUAUUCUUGAACUCAAGCCCAUUGUCGCUUCUUAUGUUCCUCACCACCUUUCGCAGUUGCAGUUCCACUUGCUUGAUGAAUGCUUCCAACUUGGGAGUUGCCUCUGAUUUCUGUUUAAGAAAGAAAACCCAAGUGAAGCAUGAAAAUUCAUCUACUAUUACAAGAAUGAACUUACUACCACCGAUGCUUUUGAUAGCUGAAGGCCCACAUAAGUCGAUAUGCAGAAGUUCAAGCGCUUCGAUGAUCUUUGUGUUGAUACGAGUAGGAUGGCUCUUUCUGCUUUGCUUGCCCAUCUCACAUGCUACACAUAAGUGUUCCUUAUCAAACAUGAGAAGAGGAAGACCUCGAACAUGAUCACCAAGCAUAAGUUUAUUAAUGUAUUUGAAGUUCAGGUGCGAAAGUCGUCGGUGCCACAACCAGCUUUCGUCAGAUUUCGCCUUCGUCAGCAGACAUAUGGCUGGUUUACCCCGAAUUGGGUUGAGAUUGAGAGGAUACAUCUCUCCCUUGCGUUCAGACUUUAACAUAACCUUUUUCUUUUUCUUUUCAAUUAUCUUCGAGCCCUCAUCAUUGAAUAAAACUUUCAAACCGGUUCCCACAACUAGUUGAGAAACACUGAUGAGGUUGUGCUACAAUCCUUCCAUGUAAGCUAAUUUUCUUAUUGAGAAUUAUCCGUUGGUAAUCAUUCCAUUCCCUUUGAUCAUUCCAUAAGAGUUAUUUCCAUACUUGACACAACCACCAUCUUUAAGGGACCAAAACUCCCUUAAUUCUUCCCUCCUUCCUGUCAUGUGACGAGAGCAGCCACUGUCUAUGUACCAUUCGUCGUCGAACUGCUCGUCACUAAUCACCUGUAAAUUCAAGCAGAUUUAGGAACCCAAAGUCUCUUAGGCCCUGGUGAGUCUUUUACACAAAAGGGAAUAGCAACAGAAAGAUCAACCAAAUAUGUUCGUUUAAUCAAAUUGGUUUUGUGUUUUCUUUUGAUUGUAUAAACAUUGAUUUUAUUUUUAUCUUGUUUUAGUUGUGGUGUAUCAGAUGGUUUCUUGUUAGAUGCUUUUUCAGGUGAUGUUUUCUUAUGAGUCCUAGGGUUAGUUCACUUUUCUUAUCAUUGACUUGAGAGUUCGAGACCAUAUUUCUCUUUCCUUUGAUAUCUUUCUCAGAGUUACUCUUUGGUUGAGAGUGAGGAAAAUGGGUUUUAUGACCGAAACCAGACAUUCGGUUUUGAACUUUGUCUUUGGGACCGAGACUGGGCUUUCGGUUCUGAACUUUGGAGUUAGGACCGAAACUAGGCUUUCGGUUCUGAGAGUAGAAAGAGUUGGGACCGAAACUGGGCUUUCGGUUCUGUACUUUUGAGUUGGGACCAAAAUUUCCCUUUUGGUUCAUUUGAAGGUUUGUGGUGAUUGUGUGAAGGAGAUUAGAAUCCGGUCUUGUCACACGAUUUGACAUUAGUCUUUUUCUUGGUUGGGACAAAGUCAGGAUUUUGUGACUGUCAAAACUGUUUUCGCUCAUUAGGUUCUUCAUGUAUCUCCGGUUCCUUUGGCGUUUUUGUUCUCCAGUUACUCUUGAGACUUAUGAAUAUUGAAUCUUCGUUUCGGUUUCUCCUUAUGAGCUUCGGUUGUCUUGGAAGAUACACUUGAUGCCUUCCUUGAUUUUUUUGGUAUCUCUUUUGAUCCACUCGAGCUUGGUUUGUCAAAACUUGAGGGAUUGUUAAUGGGUUUGGCAACAUAUUUACCCUUUACCCUCCAUGAGGUUCGCUCCGAUAUGCCGACGGUUUUGUCUGCAUUAUCGAUAGGGGUGGACUAGAAGUAAUUGUCGCACCCUUCAGUGUUAUCUUUGUCGACCAAGGUUUUCAACUCUGCCGUUUGUUUCUUGGUAACUCCUUCAACAACAUAUACUUGAUUUGGCAUUGUUUGAACUUUUUGAUAGACAAGCGCCUUUUCUUGGAGCUUCUUUAAUUUGUCCUUUAACAGGCGAGCAUAUUCAACCGAGUUUUCAGAUAUGAGGGGUUUUUCAUUCUCGGUUUCGUUCUUCAGAUAUUCAGAACAAUCAACCACAUCAUCCACCGAGAUCUCGCUCAUCUCACUUUCCUCAUCAAAUUCAUAUGUGUUUUCUACAUUCAUUUUAUGUUCUGAACUUAAUAUGGCAUUUGACGAGUCAAAUGUUUGUAUGGUCUUGGACUUAAUUUUUAACCUAUUAUUUUCAUCCAAAAGAUACUUAAGCAUGCAUUUGCGUUCCUUGGAGUCAAUGAAGGUCUCAAUCUUGUCUAGUCCAUAUUUGUAAGUGACCGAAAUCUCAACUGAGGAGAUUAUUGAUUCAAAUUCUUCAAUGACUUCAUCCUCCUUGAAUUCAAGGAAGGGUAAAAUCAUCUUAAUGAACCUUUUUCCCUAUUUCACAAUCUAAGUGCAACUGAGUAAUAUUCAUAUAUAACCGUUUUGCAAUUAAACAAAAAACAUUUCGUUGCUUAAAAACUUUCAAUUUUCUCGUUGUAAAUAAAUAAGUUCGUCCCUAGCCCUAACUAACUCUUGUUCCUUCAGCUGUAUCCACAUCCUCCUCUCCUCACUCUUGGAAGACUCUCUGCUGAGUUGGUCAGUUAGGUUAGAAUUUGCUAGGUGAGUUUGCAUGAAACUACCGCUUAAGUUAGAGAAUUUGAAUUUUAAUUCAUUUAAUUCUUUUUCACAAUCUGUUACCGGAAUUUUAAGAGAUUCAAGGAUGGAUUGUACAUUUUAGAUCAACCGAUCACAGUUGUUGAUCCUUUCACUGACGGACUUGGCUGCAAAACAUUUAUCUUCAUACAUGUUCGGUUCCUCACGCUUACCUUCGGUUGAAAUUUCAGCAGUCACCAUCAAGUAUUUCCCAUCCGACUUAACAUCCUCCUCUCGUGCCACAAAAGCUCUUCCAUGUGUAGGUUUUCUCACAUCCGCAUCCUCAGAAUCUGUGGACCAAACUUCGACACCACCGAACUCAUUUUCAUCAACGUUUUCGUAUACAAUCAAGGCGUUCAUAGGACUGUUAGCUGCUUUCUUUUUCUUUAUUUCUUCAAGAUUUCGCAUGUAGUAUGCUUCGUCAUCUUCCCCAUCCCUUUUCUCAGCCAUCUUCCUCAGCAUACAAUCCUAGCAAUGUGGUUCUUGACAUGACAAUAGUUGCAAUCGUACCCUGAGUCUCCUACAAUCUUGUUAUCCUUCUUUUCAUCAUCCUUCUGAGAAGUGUUCUUUGUCUCUUCUUUCACCUUCUCCGAACUAUAGCUUCCUUGCCAGUUUUGGUUCUUAUUGACAGGGAAUUUCCUUAGAGAAAACUUCUUUGGGUUUGUGACCAUCAUUGCGUAUUCUUCACUGGUUAGAUCACAUUCUAACAUGUCAGAUUCUUCCUCUUCGUCUGCCACAUUUUUUUCUCUUCGAAACAAAAGCCAAUGAUCCCACACCCGAAACUACCUUCGCUUCUUUUGUCACCAUGCUUUCAUGAGAUUUUAAAAUACCCAUUAGUUUCGCCAGUAAAUAUGUUUUAAAUUGUUCAUGAGCCUUCACAGUUGAGACCACUGCCAUCCACUCGGGUCUCAGGCCAUUCAUGAACGUAACUUUCUGUUCAGUCCCUUUUCUUUCAAGACCAUGCUUCAUCAUCUUGCUAAGCAGAUGAUUGUAACGGUUUAACGUCUUGUCACAACUAGGAAUUUUGAGGCCUUGUAACUACAACACUUAUAACAACUAUAAAUCAAUAACAUGAAAGCCUGCAUGAUGCUUAUUCUAUAACAACAAAACUUCAUCAAAUACUUCAUUCUAGCACUACAAAUGGUCAACAAAGAAUUGGAAACCUUUGAAAACACGAUUUAAGUCCAUUUUGGACUAGGAUUUCCUUAUUGGGCCUAAUGGACUAAUAAAUCUCCAAUUUGUCAAUCUGGAACCUAGAAUUCUCAAAUGGACCCUAGUUGGACCCAUAUACAUGAAACUUAAUACUUUUGGGCCUUAUGAGCCCAAAAUAUACAAGGUUAACUUUAGUUGGCCUUAAUGGGUCACAACCAACUUAAUUCAUCCCUAAUAGGUCAUAAAAAUUACACUAUGAUUUAUUUGGGCCAGACAUCAUCAAAAGUGAGUCAUAAUAUAGGCUAAGCACUCAAGACCCAAUUCUUUCUCUUUUCCUUCUCCAUUCUCGGCCCAAGCCCACAAAGAAGAAGGAGUUGACUUUGUGUGUGCCACCUCAUUUUUACUUAAUGGUCUUCCAUGCAUUCUCCCAUAUUUCCAUGCAACCAUGUCAUCAACCUUCUCUCUUCUCUCCUCUCUUCUUCUCUUGGCCGUACACAACACACACACACACACUCACAAAAUUCAUUUCCAUUCUCUCAAACUCUCCCUAGAACAUCCUUACACUCAUUCAUCAAGCUUUCGAUAAUUAGGAAGCUUUCAAGGAGAUUUUUCACACAAACACAUCAUCUAAGGUAAGUUGAUGUUAAAUCCAUGAUCAAGCUACUUCAUUUCAUCAAAAAUCUCUUCUAAAUCUAUUCCAACUUGUGAUCUUGCACCUUAGAAGCCACUAAACUCGAGAUCUACCAAGAGGACUUGCUAGGAUCGAAAUUUUCUUUUUCUCUCUUCAAAACCGAAACUACAACUCAAGGUGAGCUUCAUACCCCUCUCUUUUCGGUUUUCAUAUGUUUUAUGGGGGAGAAUACAAGAAAAUGAGUAGAUCUAUGUGUAUGUGUAUGCUAUGUGUGAUUUUAUGCAUGUAUGUGUGUGAUUUUAUGUGUUUUUUGAUAAAUAUGUAAAGAAAAGAGGUGUUAACUCUAGAUCUAUGACUUAAGAAAUGAAACAAACAUAAUCUAAAUUAUUUUACACUAAACAAGUCAAGAAAAAAUAGCUUACAAGGUUAUGAGAAACAUAUUCUAACAUAAAACCCAUUUUAGGGCUUAAAUUGUCAAAAAUACAAAACUUGGGUUAAAAACUGUCAAGUCACGGUUUCUAGAGUCAAAACAGUUUCUAUAAUCAUUUUUUUGAAAAUUAGAAUUUUCAAAGAAAUGCAAAAAAUUAGCUUAAUGGGCUAAAUUUGGGCUUUUCGGCCCAAUAAGCCAUAAUUGCNCUUUUCGGCCCAAUAAGCCCAUAAUUGCGAAAUUUGAAGUUUAAAGGGGCUGAAAUGUAACAUUCUGCAAAACAGGGGAUAAGAAGUGAAAUAAAACUAUUUCAAAGGUCAAAGAUGCUUUUCAAUUCCAAAAAGGAUCAAGAAUGUAAACUUUUUAUAUUUUGGGUCAAAAAUGUAAAAGUUGCGAAAUAUGGGGUUCUAACCGAGAAGCUCCAUUCUGGAAGGACUAAAGUUGUUUACUAAAUAAAUUUUGGGUUAAAACUGUCUUUUCAAGAAGUUUAUGAUACAAAAGUGACAAGAAAAUGUUUUAAGGACUAAAAAUGAAAUUCUUUUAUAUAAAGGACUAAAAGUGUUAUUUUUAUAAAAGAAAGGUAGUGAAAAGGUCAAAUCCCAAUUUUAAACAAAUUAACUCAUUAAGAUAAAAUACAAGAUCCACGACUACCGACAAAACGGAAAACAAAUACACAUUCAACACCAAAUAUCGUUAUAAACGAAUUGAUUCGGUCUCGAAUCAAUACAAAACAACAAUCGUUAAAUCAAAACACUUCAAUAGACACGUGAGGACUACAAUGAGUAAAUCUACAAACUUUGGGCUUGUGAGUUUCAAAUCAUACUUGUUGGGCCUUGCAAGACCACCAACAUGAUCUUUGGGACCAAAAGGAUAACGCUUAUAUGUUAUUGGGCCUUCAAUGACCCAAUAUUUUAUAAAAGAACUUCAAAUUGCUUUUAUGUGCUAGUGGGCCAAAGUGUCCCAUUAGAAAAGCUAAUGACGUCACAGUAAUCAAAUGCGAGUUCGACCAUCGUGUCUUUUGCAUCCACGACUGCCUAAGGUACUUACGGUAGUAGUAGGACAUAAUGCUCCCCUUCUCUUCGUUCGUUAAGGCUUACGAGAAAUCAAAGUAGACAAAACUAGGAUGAUAUACAAUGUGGGUUAAUCAAUAUUCAUUCGUUAAGACAAUACAAAAAUCAAUAACCAUGAAUACAUUUCAACAUCGGAAAACAUCGGGUUUUCCGGGGAAUUCAAUACUACUCGCUCGAAAUUUUAUAACUAUAAUACAAAAUACCCUUCAUAUAUAUGUUUUUUUGCAAUCACUCAUGCAUCAACUUAUGGAUCUUCACACUUUGAUAAACAAAAGUCUUUUCAGAAAAUAUCAGAUUUUCUGGGUUUUACAAACUAUACAAAUCAUUUUAUCACAACAUUGCUUAUGAACUCACCAACAUUUCAUAUGUUGACGUUUUUCCAAAAUAACUUGUAUUCUUAGGUAACAGGUAAGCGGAAGAGUAAUAUGAAGUAAUGUUAGAUGUUAUGUUGUUAAAAGCACUCAAACAAUUUAUGUUAUGAAUGUGAAAUGUUAAAACAAUUUACUUGAUGUGAACAAUUCCAGUUGUAAUAUAUUGAUGCAUGGUGACGUUUAUGCUAUGAUUCAUGUAUAUUCAUUGUGAUGAUAAUCAAUUAAAGUCACGCGAUCCCUCGGACGUUUCCGCCGUCUGGUUCGGGGGUCUGACAGGUUGGUAUCAGAGCAUUGAUUAUAGUGAACUAGCAUAUCUAACCACACAUUGAUAUGCAACUAUAAACCAAAAAGGGGCUAACCCAACUCUGAACAAAACAAAACAAAUAAAAACACAACUAUAAAACAUCUUUGCCUGUGUGAAUUAGGAAACAAAAUAUAAUGCCAAACCAAAAAAGAUAAUGCUAUCAUCUCGACUAAGUCGGGACUGUACAUGGUUGUAUCAAGGAGAGGAUGUGGCCUUAUCAACUACAUUUCCUCCAAGGUGCAACUAUCACGUGUCCCGAGGAAAUCGCGAUGGUAGGAAAACCUAAAAAAAACAUACCCCUUUUAUCACCAAAAAGAGAACAACAACUUAAUCUAUACAAUAAUAGAAGCGUCAUAGGUGUAAUGAUAGUUACUCGCAUUCCCCUUCUCAAGUCGACAUGGAAGGAGAACACCAGGGCCCUCAGUUUCAUCAAGUCCUAGUAACCCACAGGAGGAUCAAGGAUGAGUCAGAGGUAGGUCAAGGAGGGGCACACGACAUUGAACCUGAAGAGGAACAGGACGAAUACGUAAUAGUUGAUUUCGAUUAUGAUGAGCUGGACCAGGAGCCAGACGAAGAAAAGGGCGUAGAGGAGGCACGCAAUGAACACCACCAGUCGGAAACCCCGCCAGAAUCUCGUGCAUUAAAGCACAGAAGUACUUACGAAAGAAGGGCUUGACGUUCUUGGCUCACAUAGUAGACAAAUCCAAGAAAGAGGUCAACAUUCAAGACAUUCCAAUAGCUUGUGAAUUCCCAGAUGUCUUUCCUAAUGAUCUUCCGGGGAUACCCCCAGAAAGACAAGUCGAGUUUCGAAUUGACCUUGUACUAGGAGCUACCCCAAUCGCCAAAGCGCCCUACAGAUUGGCUCCUGCGGAGAUGCAAGAGUUGACCCGUCAACUCAGUGAGCUUUUGGAUAAGGAUUGAUCCGACCCAGUUUCUCACCUUGGGGAGCUCCAGUUCUCUUUGUCAAGAAGAAAGACGAUACAUUCAGGAUGUGCAUCGACUACAAAGAACUUAACAAGCUCACUAUCAAAAACCGAUAUCCACUUCCACGAAUCGACGACCUAUUCGACCAGCUCCAAGAAGCUAGUCACUUCUCAAAGAUAGAUCUACGAUCUGGAUACCACCAACUCAAGGUCUGGGAGGAGGAUAUUCCAAAAACCGCCAUCCGAACUCGUUACGGACAUUAUGAAUUUGUCGUAAUGCCCUUCGGUCUAACGAAUGCUCUUGCCGCAUUCAUGGAUCUAAUGAAUCGAAUCUGCCGAACUUUUCUUGAUAACUUCAUAAUCGUUUUCAUCGAUGAUAUCCUCGUAUAUUCUCGGAGCGAAGAGGAACACGACCAACAUCUUCGACAAAUCCUGGAAACCCUGCGAACCGAAAAGUUAUACGCAAAACUCUCCAAGUCCGAGUUUUGGCUCCGAAGCAUGAAAUUUUUGGGACAUGUUGUUAGUCAGGAAGGAAUUCAUGUGGAUCCUUCUAAAAUCCAAGCUAUCAAAGGAUGGGCAAUUCCAAAAUCACCCAAAAAAAUUCGCCAAUUUCUAGAUUCAUCCAAAACUUCUCUAAGGCAGCCAAACCGCUUACCAUGCUCACACAAAAGGGCGUACCCUUCAUAUGGACGGACAAACAGGAAGCCGCGUUUCGAUCUCUGAAGCAAGCACUUUGCAGUGCGCCGGUGCUAUCGCUACCUGAAGGAACGGAAGACUUUAUUGUCUAUUGCGAUGCGUCAAAUCAGGGUUUAGGCUGUGUACUCAUGCAGCGAAGAAAAGUGAUAGCUUAUGCGUCCCGACAACUAAAGACUCACGAAGUGAAUUACACGACCCACAAUCUGGAGCUGGGAUCAGUGGUCUUCGCUCUGAAGAUUUGGAGACACUACCUUUACGGUACCAAGUGCACUAUCUUCACUGACCACAAGAGUCUCCAGCACAUCUUGAAUCAAAAAGAGCUAAACAUGAGGCAACGAAGAUGGGUCGAACUGCUAAAAGACUACGAGUGCAAAAUCAAGUACCACCCAGGAAAGGCUAACGUGGUAGCCGAUGCCUUGAGUCGAAAAGAAUACUCAAAUCGUCGUGUGAAAACUCUCUCGAUAACCAUCCAAUCCCACCUGAUCUCACAAAUCAGAACAGCCCAGUCAGAUGCCAUGAAGGCGGAAAACAAAACAAGUGAAGCGCUACGUGGAAUGGAGAAGAACUUGGAAGUGAAGGAAGAUGGAACAUAUUGUUGGAUAAGGUGUCUAAGUCCAUAACUAUUUCUGGUAAGUACUUGACCCGACCUGACAUGGUCCAUUUGGGUUCCAUGGCACCAUGCAAUUGGAUAGACUAAAUGAGAGAAAUAACACGUGGAGAUUAUUAAUAUAUUAUAAGUUCUAAUAUAUUAAUAAUAUUAUUUGAUUAGUUGAUCAAAGAAUUAAUUUGGAAUUAAUUAAGUGAUCAAAGGAUAACUAAUUAAAUAUAUGGGUUGAUUAUGUAAAUCAUCCAUAUCUUGUAUAGUGGGCUAAGAGGCUCCAUGGAUUAUCAAGUUGGGUUCUACCCAUAGGAUGCUCCAUGGAUGCUCCAUGGGAGUUACAAACCCAUGGGUCAUGGAAAUGAAGAGUCAUGACACAUUAGGGUUUACAUGGUGUAACCCUAGAUGUGUCAACACUAUAUAAGAAUCCCAUUCUCCACCAAAAUCGGCUACACAUAUGAAACAAGAGGGCUAGGCUGGUUUUAAGAAGUGUGUGUUCUCUCAAAAGUCUUUCCAAGACAAUUUGGUGUUGUGUGAAGCAUUUGAGGCAUCACACUUGGGGUGCUAGGCUCACAAGGUUUCAAGGAAAAUAAGCAACAAGGUAAGUUAUUCUAUCUUUCAUUCAAGUUAAAAUUGUUCCCCAUGUAUGCUAGAUAGGAAUAUAACCUUGGAAUUCAACUUUGCAUGAUAAUUAGACAAACAUAGAUCCAAGGUUAUUAGGGUUGCAUGUACACUUAGGAAGUGUUAGAAUGCUCAAAACCCAUCAGUGGUAUCAGAGCCUAGGCUUGUUUGUUUGUUAUUUGUGCAAAAUUGUUGGAAAAAGUCGAUAUUGUGCAAUCUGCCUGAUGAACUCGCCGAGUAGGUUCGUGUGUAAAUUCAUCCUACUCACCGAGUUCAUUGGGGGACUCGCCGAGUUCAUGUGUAAAUUCAUCCUACUCGCCGAGUAGGUUCGUGCACUCGGCGAGUAGGAGCCUCAGAAUGCAGAUUUUCGACUUUUGCUGCUGGAAAUGGACUAGAAACAUUAUCCUAAACUGUUUUGGUACUUGAAAACUUGUUUUAGAUGGUGUAAUGUUCAUGUUAAUCAAUUUACAAUGACAAUUAUCAAAAAUACGNCGGCGAGUCCAUGGGGAGGACUCGUCGAGUUCAUGUGUAUCUUCAACCUACUCGGCGAGUAGGUUUAUGCACUCGGCGAGUAGGGUCGACAGAGUGCAGAAUUUCGACUUGAGUUGCUGGAAAUGGAUUAGAAUCAUUACCCUAAAAUGUUUUGGUACUUGAAAACUUAUUUUAGAAGGUGUAAUGUCUUUUCUAACUCAUUUACAACAACUAGUUAUCAAAAUUACAAAGAUUAAAUGUGAUUUUGAUUCUUGAAAGUGUUCAUAUUCAUAUUCUUGUUCUUAUGAUGUUUAGAUGAUCAUAGGAAUUAUUUGUAACCUAUGUGGUAGAUUAAUUCAUGAUCAUAAUGUGUUUUAAUGGAGUCCAUAACUUGUCCUCAAGUUAUGGAAAACCAAAAGUCUCUUGGAUUAAAAACCAUUAAAAGAACACAAGAGUUAGGAAAAAUGAAAAGUCCUCAUUUUAUUACUCUAUUAAACUCAUAAGUUACAAGAAAUGAAAAGUUUUGAAAGUUUACAAAACUUGCCCUCAAGUUUUGGAACAAGUAAAGUUAAGUUAAAACUUUAGUUCCAACCCCUAGAAUUUUAAAAGUUAAAAUUCAACCCUUAUACUUAUAUUAUUAUGAUUUAAUAAUUAUAUAUAUAUGUAUAAGAACAAAGUCGUCUUACCGCUAGUACGCCUCAUUCACGAAGCCGGUCUAUAAGGUGGGUAUAAGGUUGUUGCCUAUAAAAUGGUGACUUAAUGGGUGUCCACUCUCACCCACCGCUUGCUUGAUCGGUGGAGGGUCGUUAGCCGAACGGGUAAGACAAGGACUUAUUAAUUCUCAUUCAAAGUAUGAUGAAUAUUAUAAAGUAACUAAAUGUUUUAUUAAAUUCCCAAUCUUAGUUACUUUAGGAAAAAUGUGAAUAAGGUGCUAUUCCAUGAAAUUACACUUUACACUUUGAUUAAGUCGUUGGUGGAGCGUGUGUGGUUAACCGGCACACUAACUUGGACUUAACAAGGUAGGUAAAGGGUGACUUAGGGUUUAUUAUAGUAUCGAUGGAGCGUGUGUGGUUAACCGGCACAUCGAUUGAGUGAUAAACUUUAAGGGUACCAAGUGAUUUGCAUGGUUACUUCACACCUCGUUUUGUGAUCCUCGGUAUCCCAGUCACAAAACUUGGAGGGCACACUCGAGAUUGAAACAUGCCUUUGAAAAGUUCAUUGAAUCUCAAAGAAUCUAGGAAUUUCUAAGAACCAUUCAAAAACCUAAUACUAUAAUAUUGCGUUUUUCGUGGUGGAAAUUGGUGAAUCGUCAUUCACCUACCUUUCAAAUAUGAUAUAGCUUAGAUUACGGAGCAUACCACUUCUAAGUUAUAAUAUUGUGAUUGGAUCCUAGCCUUAAUAUUACAUUUGGGUGUUUUAUUAAGGACUCUCUUAGUAUCUAAACUAAUCUUGUCCUCUUCCUUCAGAUGUCUUCAAACAAUGUUGCUUCUGGCCAAUCCUAAUNNNNNNNNGCUCCUUUACCCUUAUGAACUUGUGUGGGAAAGUCACUUUUGAUGGAUCCAACUUCAAUGAAUGGAUCAGAAACAUCAGGAUGAUUACCCGCUACGAGGACAAAGAAUAUGUCCUCGACAAGGAGAUUAAGGAGAUUGAUGAGACCACUGCAACUCCCCAGGAGAUCGCUAACUUUCAGGCACAUGAAAGGGAUGCUACCAAAGUGGCAUGCAUCAUGAUGGCCACGAUGACAACGGAACUCUAAAAGUCCUAUGAGGACUUCUACCCUUUGGAAAUGCACUAAGAUCUGAUAGAAAGAUACCAUCAAAGUGCACGACAAGAGAGGUAUGAAAUCAUCUGCUCCAUGAUAACAACCAUGAUGAAGGACGGGGAAUCCGUCAUGAGCCACAUGCAGAAAAUGCAAAGGUAUGUGGAUCGGUUGCUGAAGCUUAAUGUGAACUUCCCAGAGGAGCUUGCAAUAGAUAUCAUUUUGCGCUCCUUACCAUUGUGCUAUGAUCAAUUCCGCAUGACAUAUCACAUGAAUAACGAAGAGGUCACACUCAACAAACUUCAGGGUCUUCUCAAAACCGCAGAAACAGGUCUUAAGGGGAAGUCGGUUGUUAACACUCCUACCCCAAACUCCGCCCCGGUUUUGGCAAUCGGAAAAAGUUGAGGGAAGAAGAGAAAGAGCUCGUCAAAGGGUACCAAGGCUCGGACCCUUGAUGGCUCUUCUUCAAGUGGAACCAAGAAAGGUUUCUUCACUCUUUCUUCUGACCUAAAAGAGACUGAAUGCUUCUAUUUCCAUGAAAAAUCACAUUGGAAGCAGAACUGCCCAAAAUACCAGCAAGAUGUGAAGGAUGGGAAAGUUAAACCCAACCAUGCAGGUAUUUACACUAUCUUAUCUAAUAACUCACCCCAUUCUAACUCUUGGGUCCUUGAUAACGGUUGUCGUAUUCAUAUAUGUUCUAAUUUGCAGGGACUAAGAAGAAGUGAGAAUGUGGAGCAAGGAAGAAUAAACUAAAUCAUGGGGAAUAGGAAAGCUUUACCUGUCACCAAGAUUGGAGUUUAUACUUUAUCGCUAAGUAGUGGGUUUAGUUUAGAUUUGAAUAAGUGUUGUUAUUCGCCAGAAAUGGCAAGAAAUAUUAUUUCCUUUCAUGCAUUGUAUAAACAAGGUUUCACCUUUUCAUUUGAUAAUGAAGUUGGUUCGAUUAAUGCUUUCUUUAAUAAUGUUCUUUAUUUUAAAGCAUUACCUUGUGAUGGCGUGUAUGAAACAGUAUCUGUGGUUGAUAACUUAGGAAAUAAUGUAUUGUGUAUUGAUUCUGUUAAUAAUAAUAACUUGGAUAAAGCAUCAUUAUGGCAUUGUCGUCUUGUACAUAUAAGCAAGAAAUGCAUAGGCCAACUCCAAAAGGAUGGAGUCUUGGAGUCAUUUGACCUCAGGUCAGAUGAUAGUUGCGAAUCAUGCUUACUUGGAAAAAUGACAAAGUCACCCUUCACAGGUGUUGUGAGAGGGGUGAAUGUUUGUUGGAUCUUGUACACAUAGAUGUGUAUGGACCCUUCAAACAUGCCACAAGGGAUGCUAAUCGUUAUUAUCUGAAUUUUACUGAUGAUUACAAUACAUAUGGAUAUGUCUACUUAAUCAAGCAUAAGUCGGAGACUUUCGAAAAGUUUAAGGAAUUUAAACAAGAUGUCGAGAAUCAAUUGGGCAGGAACAUUAAGAUGCUUCGAUCCGAUCGUGGUGGUGAGUAUCUUAGUUCAGAGUUCCUUGACUAUCUAAGGGAAUGUGGGAUAGUCUCACAAUUGACACCUCCCAGGACACCACAGUUGAAUGGUGUGGCUGAGAGGCGUAAUCGAACCUUGUUAGAUAUGGUUCGUUCCAUGAUGAGUCGAGCUUCGCUACCAAUCUCAUUUUGGGGGUAUGCCUUAGAGACUGCCGCCCAUAUCCUUAAUCUAGUCCCUACAAAGAAAGUUGCCAAAACUCCUCAUGAGAUGUGGACUGGCAAAGUACCCAAACUAGACCACAUCAAGAUUUGGGGUUGCGAGGCUUUCGUGAGACGCGAGACUCAUGAUAAGCUCGAACCUCGAAGCGAGAGGUGUAUUUUCAUCGGUUACCCACAGCGAUCCUUUGGUUACCUCUUCUACAGACCUAGUGACAAUGUGGUCUUUGUAGCAAGAAGAGGAGUCUUUCGAGAAAGAGAGUUUAUAAGCCAAGGAGACAGUGGGAGGCAAAUUGAUCUUGAAGAAAUUCAAGAAUCAAGCGGUGAAGGAACUUCAAACUCUAGCCCUCAACUUGAGGAGGAAACUCCUGUUGAGCCAAUUGACAAAUCUGUACCUCUGAGACGUUCCACGAGAGUUAGGAGUGCACCUGAGCAUUACUAUGGAUUCCAUAUUACUGCAGAAGGUGAGACACUUAUUAGUGAUGAGACACUAGUAAGUCAAGAUGACCCUAACAGCUACGAGGAAGCCAUGGCAGGCCCCGAGUCUGCUAAAUGGAAAGAGGCUAUGGAUAGCGAGAUACAAUCCAUGUAUGACAAUCAAGUUUGGAACUUGGUUGAAAAUGUACCAGGUCGUAAGACAGUAGGGUGCAAAUGGGUCUUCAAGAAGAAGACCGACAUGGAUGGUAAAGUACACACUUAUAAGGCUAGACUGGUUGCAAAGGGCUUCUCUCAAAUUCCUGGAGUGGAUUAUGAUGAGACCUUUUCUCCGGUAGCCAAGAUUAAGUCUAUUCGGGUUCUGUUAGCCAUAGCUGCAUUUCAUGACUAUGAAAUAUGGCAGAUGGAUGUCAAAACCGCUUUCCUUAAUGGAAAGUUGGCUGAAGAUGUUUACAUGAGUCAGCCAGAGGGUUUUGUCAGCAACGAGUACCCUAAUAGAGUGUGUAAGCUUGAGAAAUCCAUUUAUGGAUUGAAGCAAGCACCUCGCAGAUGGAAUCUUUGCUUUGAUGAAAAGGUCAAGGAAUUUGGCUUUUCUAGGAGUGAAGAUGAAUCUUGUGUGUAUGUCAAGGCUAGUGGGAGUAUAGUUAGCUUUUUGGUAUUGUAUGUGGAUGACAUACUACUCAUAGGAAACGACAUUCCAACCCUGCAGGAAGUAAAGUCCUGGCUUGGGAAGUGUUUCGCUAUGAAGGACCUUGGUGAAGCUGCCUAUAUUCUAGGGAUAAGAAUCUUGAGAGAUCGGAGUAAAAGACUAAUUGGACUUAGUCAGAGUACCUACUUGGAUAAGGUGCUGAAGAGAUUCAGCAUGCAGGAUUCCAAGAAAGGAGAGUUACCCAUCCAGAGUAACACCAGAUUGAGUAAGACACAAAGCCCUAGCACUGAGGCUGAGAUAGCAGAAAUGAGUCGAACACCUUACGCUUCGGCUGUAGGAUCGAUCAUGUAUGCUAUGACGUGUACUCGACCCGAUGUAGCUUUUGCCUUGAGCAUGGUUAGCAGGUAUCAGGCGAACCCUGGCAAGGCACACUGGACUGCGGUAAAGAAUAUCCUCAAGUACCUACGGAGGACUAAGGACUGGGUCCUUACCCUCGGUGGGAGUGAUGACUUGAGAGUUGUAGGGUAUAGUGAUGCUAGCUUCCAGACUGAUAGGGAUAAUUUCCGCUCUCAGUCGGGCUGGGUCUUUACCCUAAACGGAGGAGCAAUUUCUUGGAAGAGUUCCAAGCAAGAGACAGUGGCAGAUUCUACUUGUGAAUCAGAGUAUAUUGCAGCUAGUGAAGCAGCAAAGGAGGCGAUAUGGCUGAAGAACUUCAUUGGAGACCUUGGAGUUGUACCAGCUAUUAAAGAGCCAAUGGAAAUUUUCUGUGAUAGUGAAAGUGCUGUUGCCUUAGCCAAGGAACCAAGGGAUCAUGGGAGAUCCAGACACAUCGACAGAAAAUACCAUUUCAUUAGACAUCGGAUCGAAGAAGGACUCCUCGUGGCAAAGAGGGUAUCAUCGGAUGAGAACCCAGCAGAUCCCCUCACGAAGGGACUGAGUAGGGUUAAGCAUCUCCAGCAUGCUCGGAGCAUAGGGCUGAAGGAUGAUAUAAGUUUUAGUAGUUAGAUAACCCAGAAAUUUGUAAAGUGUAAUUGACAUUUGAUGAUGAAUAAAAGGUGUUUUAUUUAUGAGUAAAGUGUUGCUAUCUCUUGUCGAUCGUUUACUAUAUUUCUUUUGCAUGUUUUGACUUCCAGAAUAAUUUUGUUUGGUAUAACAUAUUAUUCAAACCUCCACAGUCGGUCAUAUGUCGGAAGUAGGUAUGAAUCAAGACUGUCAUGAUGGGUUGUAGAGGUCUAAGGUGUUGGACAAGGCUACAACAAUCAUGAGUGCUCAUAAGUUCUGAGCAUUGGACUCAACCCACGCUCACUGGAAUCACUUCAUGGAAUUCUAUCUCGAGUGAUCGUGAGACGGUAAUAUCAUAUAAGUCUUCAAACCUAGAGAUAUGAUUUGUUACUUACAAGUUGGUUAUGCAUUGACUGUACGAAACCGCAUUGGUAACUCGAUGUUAUAAAACGUACUUUUGUGUGUAAUUCAAUGAGUGGUAGAACAAACAUAUGAGUCGAAGUUUAUCUGUUCCUUCUUGGAUUAGAAGCUGAUAUCUGGGCCCCUCGAUGAUUUUGUUUUGACCCAUGUACCGGGCCCGGUCAGAACUAAGUUGAUGUGUUCAAUUAAGUUCUAUGUCAAACAAAUCGGAAAUCGGGAAACAAACUGCUGGACAAUAAGUAAGACAUUGUUCCAUGUAUUUGUCCGGCUGAUAUCUAGAACGGAGGAUUAUAUGAUCACUUAUCUUAAAUGGCGUACCAUCAUCUUCUCAGUUCCGAGAGACCUUGAAAGAGCUACGAUUGCCGGUCGGUUCCUGAAGUACUAGAGAUAUAGUUAUUAGACUUAUCCAAGUGGGAGACUGUUGGAUAAGGUGUCUAAGUCCAUAACUAUUUCGGGCUUGUACUUGACCCGACCCGGCAUGGUCCAUUUGGGUUGCAUGGCACCAUGCAAUUGGAUAGACUAAAUGAGAGAAAUAACACUUGGAGAUUAUUAAUAUAUUAUAAGUUCUAAUAUAUUAAUAAUAUUAUUUGAUUAGUUGAUCAAAGAAUUAAUUUGGAAUUAAUUAAGUGAUCAAAGGAUAACUAAUUAAAUAUAUGGGUUGAUUAUGUAAAUCAUCCAUAUCUUGUAUAGUGGGCUAAGAGGCUCCAUGGAUUAUCAAGUUGGGUUCUACCCAUAGGAUGCUCCAUGGGAGUUACAAAUCCAUGGGUCAUGGAAAUGAAGAGUCAUGACACAUUAGGGAUUACAUGGUGUAACCCUAGAUGUGUCAACACUAUAUAAGAAUCCUAUUCUCCACCAAAAUCGACUACACAUAUGAAACAAGAGGGCUAGGCCGAUUUUUAGAAGUGUGUGUUCUCUCAAAAGUCUUUCCAAGAGUAUUUGGUGUUGUGUGAAGCAUUUGAGGCAUCACACUUGGGGUGCUAGGCUCACAAGGUUUCAAGGAACAUAAGCAACAACAAGGUAAGUUAUUCUAUCUAUGAUUCAAGUUAAAAUUGUUCCCCAUGUAUGCUAGAUAGGAAUAUAACCUUGGAAUUCAACUUUGCAUGAUAAUUAGACAAACAUAGAUCCAAGGUUAUUAGGGUUGCAUGUACACUUAGGAAGUGUUAGAAUGCUCAAAACCCAUCACAUAUUACUUCAUGAACCGCAUAUCGGUCACUAAACUUGGGGGAUUCAGAGAAGUAGUCAUGAACAAAGCCCACAAGACGCGAUACUCCAUCCAUCCGGGUUCAGACAAAAUGUACUUGGAUGUUAAGCAAAAUUAUUGGUGGCCAAAUAUGAAGGCAAAGAUUGCCACUUACGUGAGCAAGUGCCUCACUUGUGCUAAAGUAAAGGUGGAAUAUCAGAAGCCCUCUGGAUUACUACAGCAGCUAGUAAUUCCCGAGUGGAAAUGGGAAAGGAUUAUCAUGGAUUUUAUGACCAAACUACCCAAGUCGACGGAUGGUUUGGACACAAUCUGGGUAAUAGUUGAUAGACUAACAAAGUCCGCCCAUUUCUUGCCAAUAAAAGAAUCCUACAAGAUGGAGCACCUGACAAGAAUCUACAUCAAGGAAAUCGUGAGACUCUACGGAAUACCUGUAUCUAUCAUCUCAGAUAGAGAUAGUAGGUUUACAUCCCACUUUUGGCAAUCGCUUUAGAAAGCUAUGGGAGCACAAAUCGACAUGAGCACUGCCUACCACCCACAAACGGAUGGCCAAAGCGAGCGAACCAUCCAAACGCUAGAAGAUAUGCUUCGUGCGUGCGUAAUAGACUUUGGAAAAUCGUGGGAUACCCACUUGCCUUUGAUCGAGUUCUCGUAUAACAACAGUUAUCACUCGAGUAUCAAAGUUGCUCCUUUCGAAGCAUUAUGCGGGCGUAAAUGUAGAUCACCAUUGUGCUGGGCUGAGGUAGGAGACACCCAGCUAGCGAGAGGGCAAACGCCAAACAAUGCCUUAAAGGGACCGGAAAUCAUACGCGAGACGACCGAGAAGAUAAUUCAGAUCAGAGCACGACUGCAAUCGUCACGAGACAGACAAAAGAGCUACACCGAUAAACAAAGAGAGCCCUUGGAAUUCGAAGUUGGAGAUAGGGUGUUACUAAAAGUCUCUCCUUCGAAAGGAGUGAUUCGUUUUGGGAAGCGGGGCAAACUAAACCCUCGAUACAUUGGACCCUUCAAGAUUCUUGCCCGAAUCGGUCCAGUGGCUUAUAGAUUGCAACUACCCGCCGAGCUCAGCAGUGUACACCCUAUGUUCCACGUCUCCAACUUGAAGAAGUGCUUAUCCGAUGAGACUCUCUUCAUUCCAUUAGAGGAAAUCGAAAUCAAUGAGAACCUUCUGUUCAUCGAAGAGCCAGUUGAAAUCAUGGACCGAGAGGUGAAGCGUACCAAGCAGAGCCGCAUUCCAAUUGUGAAAGUUCGAUGGAACGCAAGACGCGGACCAGAAUUCACAUGGGAACGAGAAGAUCAAAGGAAGCAGAAGUACCCUCAUAUAUUAUUGCAUUCUCAAAUCUAGCUUUCAAAAGAAUUUCGGGACGAAAUUCCCUCUAACGGGGGGAUGAUAUCACAACUAGGAAUUUUGAGGCCUUGUAACUACAACACUUAUAACAACUAUAAAUCAAUAACAUGAAAAGCAUGCAUGAUGCUUAUUCUAUGACAACAAAACUUCAUCAAAUACUUCAUUCUAGCACUACAAAUGGUCAAUAAAGAAUUGGAAACCUUUGAAAUCACGAUUUAAGUCUAUUUUGGACUAGGAUUUCCUUAUUGGGCCUAAUGGACUAAUAUAUCUCCAAUUUGUCAAUCUGGAACUUAGAACUCUCAAAUGGGCCCUAGUUGGACCCAUAUACAUGAAACAUAAUACUUUUGGGCCUUAUGAGCCCAAAAUAUACUAGGUUAACUUUAAUGGGCCUUAAUGGGUCACAACCAACUUAAUUUAGCCCUAAUAGGUCAUAAAAAUUACACUUUGAUUUAUUUGGGCCCAAACAUCAUCUAAAGUGAGUCAUAAUAUGGGCUAAGCACUCAAGACCCAAUUCUUUCUCUUUUCCUUCUCCAUUCUCGGCCCAAGCCCACAAAGAAGGAGGAGUUGACUUUGUAUGUGCCACCUCAUUGUUACUUAAUGGUCUUCCAUGCAUUCUCCCAUAUUUCCAUGCAACCAUCUCAUCAACCUUCUCUCUUCUCUUCUCUCUUCUUCUCUCGGCCGUACACAACACACACUCACAAAAUUCAUUUCCAUUCUCUCAAACUCUCACUAGAACAUCCUUACACUCAUUAAUNCCAUCAAAUUUUCGAGAAUUUGAAGCCUUUUAAGGAGAUUUUUCCAACAAAUUCAUCAUCUAAGGUAAGUUCAUGCUUGGAUAUAUGAUCUAGAUUCUUUAUUUAUCAAAAACCUAUUCCUAAUCUAUACAAAAUCAUGAUCACUCUCCAAGAAAUCAUCUAAGUUCGAGAUUUACCAAGAGGACUUGCUAGGAUUGAAAUUUCUUCAUUUCCCUCUUGAAAACCGAAACUACAACUCAAGGUGAGCUUCAUACCCCUCUCUUUUCGAUUUUCAUAUGUUUUAUGGGGGAUAAUACAAGAAAAUGUUUAGAUCUAUGUGUAUGUGUAUGCUAUGUGUGAUUUUAUGUAUGUAUGUGUGUGAUUUUAUGUGUUUUUGUGAUAAUUAUGUAACCAAAAGGGGUGUUAACUCUAGAUCUAUGACUUGAGAAAGGAAAAAAACAUAAUCUAAUUGAUUUUACACUAAACAAGUCAAGAAAAAAUAGCUUACAAGGUUAUGAGAAACAUAUUCUAACAUAAAACCCAUUUUAGGGCUUAAAUUGUCAAAAAUACAAAACUUGGGUUAAAAAUUGUCAAGUCACGGUUUCUUGAGGGUCAAAAGAGUCAAAAUAGUUUCUAUAAUCAUUUUUUUGAAAAUUAGAAUUUUCAAAGAAAUGCAAAAAUUUAGCUUAAUGGGCUAACUUUGGGCUUUUCGGCCCAAUCAGCCCAUAAUUGCGAAAUUUGAAGUUUAAAGGGGCUGAAAUGUAACAUUCUGCAAAACAUGGGAUAAGAAGUGAAAUAAAACUAUUUCAAAGCUAAAAAAUGCUUUUCAAUUCCAAAAAGGAUAAAAAAUGUAAACAUUUUUAUAUUUUGGGUGAAAAAUGUAAAAGUUGCGAAAUAUGGGGUUCUAACCGAGAAGCUCCAUUCUGGAAGGACUAAAGCUGUUUACUAAAUAAAUUUUGGGUUAAAACUGUCUUUUCAACAAGUUAUGAUACAAAAGUAUCAAGAAAAUGUUUUAAGGACUAAAAAUGAAAUUCUUUUAUAUAAAGGACUAAAAGUGUUAUUUUUAUAAAAGAAAGGUAGUGAAAAGGUCAAAUCCUACUUUUAAACAAAUUAACUCAAUAAUAUAAAAUACAAGAUCCACGACUACCGACGAAACGGAAAAUGAAUACGCAUUCAACACCAAAUAUCGUUAUAAACGAAUUGAUUCGGUCUCGAAUCAAUACAAAACAAUAAUCGUUAAAUCAAAACACUUCAAUAGACACGUGAUGACUAUAAUGAGUAAAUCUACAAACUUUGGGCUUGUGAGUUUCAAAUCAUGCUUGUUGGGCCUUGCAAGCCCACCAACAUGAUCUUUGGGCCGAAAGGGAUAACGCUUAUAUGUUAUUGGGCCUUCAAUGACCCAAUAUUUUCCAAAAGGACUUUCAGUAGCUUUUAUGUGCUAGUGGGCCAAAGUGUCCCGUUAGAAAAGCUAGUAAGGUCACAGUAAUCAAAUGCGAGAUGGAUAAUCGUGCCUUUCGCAUCCACGACAGCCUAAGGUACUUACGGUAGUAGUGGGAGAUAAUGCUCCCCUUCUCUUCGUUCGUUAAGGCUUACGAGAAAUCAAAGUAGACAAAAUUAGGAUGAUAUACAAUGUGGGUUAAUCAAUAUUCAUUCAUUAAGACAAUACAAAAAUCAGUAAUCAUGAAUACAUUUCAACAUCGGAAAACAUCAGGUUUUCCAGGGAAUUCAAUACUACUCGCUUGAAAUUUUAUAACUAUAAUACAAAAUACCCUUCAUAUAUAUGUUUUUUUGAAAUCACUCAUGCAUAAACUUAUGGAUCUUCACAAUUUGAUAAACAAAAGUCUUUUCAGAAAAUAUCGGAUUUUCUGGGUUUUACAAACUAUACAAAUCAUUUUAUCACAACAUUGCUUAUGAACUCACCAACAUUUCAUAUGUUGAUGUUUUUCCAAAAUAACUUGUAUUCUCAUGUAACAGGUAAGCGGAAGAGUAAUAUGAAGUAAUCUUAGAUGUUAUCUUGUUAAAAGCACUCAAACAAUUUAUGUUACGAAUGUGAAAUGUUAAAAGAAUAUACUUGAUGUGAACAAUUUCGGUUGUAAUAUAUUGAUGCAUGGUGACGUUUAUGUUAUGAUUCAUGUAUAUUCAUUGUGAUGAUAAUCAAUUAAAGUCACGCGAUCCCUCGGACGUUUCCGCCGUUUGGUUCGGGGGUGUGACAUGUCUGAAGUAGUUUCUCUUCAGUUUUUUGUGCAAAAGCUCCAAACUCAGAGAGUAGUAAGGUUUCGAUCGAGUGCUCUAGAUCCUCAUCGGUUGAAUACAGUUCUUUCAAGCUGUCCCAUAUCUCUUUAGCGGUAGUGCACAAACUUACCAGACGAAAAGUGUCAGCUUGUAAGGUAAAUCUGAUCAUUCUUAAAGCUUUAACAUUGCAUAACAGCUUGUCUUUCUCAUUUUGAGGGAUCUUCUCCACGUCCACGAGGAGUUUAUUAUACUUUUUUUUGAGUCUUUACUAUUCUAUUCGUUCCAGAGUGAACAAACGGACCCAAAGUGAUUGCUUCCCAGAUGAGAUAACCAUUUUCUUCAGAUCCAACUACGUAAUCUUCAAAGUGAUGCGCCCAAAAUUCAUAGUCUUGAGUGUAAAGAAUGGGAAUCCUUGUAGUGGAUCCAAUGCUGUUGGAGAUGGGAUUAGUUUGAGAUUCUUCGUGAGACAUGAUGAGCCUUUCCUUGAUACUACUAAAAUCAGACCUGUAAACUUGAGAUUAGGGUUUUAUCAAACACAAGAGUUACCGUCGACAGUGUGACAACCCGAUAUUUCGAGUCAAUGUAAUGUAAAACCGAUCAAAUUUAGGUCAAAAUGUAACCUUCCUAAAAUCUUGUUCGGAUUAAAGAAAGUAGUAGGAAUCAUAUCAAGGUUUGCGUACAUAAAAAGAACGUCCAAAUCUGACCUCGGAUGAGGAAGUUAUGAAAUUUUGAAGAAAUUCCUUAAUCACGUCAUUUUAAUAAAUAAAUAAUAAAAAUAAUUUCGGAAUUAGCCAACGGAAUCUAAACGAAAGUCGUAGAUCAUGGUCUCACCUUCGCGUGAAUAUAAAGAACGUCAAAAACGGAGUUCGUAUGAGGGAGAUAUGAAUUUUUGAAGUUUAUUUAUAAUAAAUAUAAAUUUAAUUAUAAAUUCCCGGUAAUAUCCGAAGGGGAGUCAUCGGAUUGGACCGAAGUACGCCCUGCGUACCUUCGUACGCCCCGCGUACUGAGAUCGAGGGUCUCGGAUCGUCCACGUCGCNNNNNNNNNNNNNNNNNNNNNNNNNNNNNNNNNNNNNNNNNNNNNNNNNNNNNNNNNNNNNNNNNNNNNNNNNNNNNNNNNNNNNNNNNNNNNNNNNNNNNNNNNNNNNNNNNNNNNNNNNNNNNNNNNNNNNNNNNNNNNNNNNNNNNNNNNNNNNNNNNNNNNNNNNNNNNNNNNNNNNNNNNNNNNNNNNNNNNNNNNNNNNNNNNNNNNNNNNNNNNNNNNNNNNNNNNNNNNNNNNNNNNNNNNNNNNNNNNNNNNNNNNNNNNNNNNNNNNNNNNNNNNNNNNNNNNNNNNNNNNNNNNNNNNNNNNNNNNNNNNNNNNNNNNNNNNNNNNNNNNNNNNNNNNNNNNNNNNNNNNNNNNNNNNNNNNNNNNNNNNNNNNNNNNNNNNNNNNNNNNNNNNNNNNNNNNNNNNNNNNNNNNNNNNNNNNNNNNNNNNNNNNNNNNNNNNNNNNNNNNNNNNNNNNNNNNNNNNNNNNNNNNNNNNNNNNNNNNNNNNNNNNNNNNNNNNNNNNNNNNNNNNNNNNNNNNNNNNNNNNNNNNNNNNNNNNNNNNNNNNNNNNNNNNNNNNNNNNNNNNNNNNNNNNNNNNNNNNNNNNNNNNNNNNNNNNNNNNNNNNNNNNNNNNNNNNNNNNNNNNNNNNNNNNNNNNNNNNNNNNNNNNNNNNNNNNNNNNNNNNNNNNNNNNNNNNNNNNNNNNNNNNNNNNNNNNNNNNNNNNNNNNNNNNNNNNNNNNNNNNNNNNNNNNNNNNNNNNNNNNNNNNNNNNNNNNNNNNNNNNNNNNNNNNNNNNNNNNNNNNNNNNNNNNNNNNNNNNNNNNNNNNNNNNNNNNNNNNNNNNNNNNNNNNNNNNNNNNNNNNNNNNNNNNNNNNNNNNNNNNNNNNNNNNNNNNNNNNNNNNNNNNNNNNNNNNNNNNNNNNNNNNNNNNNNNNNNNNNNNNNNNNNNNNNNNNNNNNNNNNNNNNNNNNNNNNNNNNNNNNNNNNNNNNNNNNNNNNNNNNNNNNNNNNNNNNNNNNNNNNNNNNNNNNNNNNNNNNNNNNNNNNNNNNNNNNNNNNNNNNNNNNNNNNNNNNNNNNNNNNNNNNNNNNNNNNNNNNNNNNNNNNNNNNNNNNNNNNNNNNNNNNNNNNNNNNNNNNNNNNNNNNNNNNNNNNNNNNNNNNNNNNNNNNNNNNNNNNNNNNNNNNNNNNNNNNNNNNNNNNNNNNNNNNNNNNNNNNNNNNNNNNNNNNNNNNNNNNNNNNNNNNNNNNNNNNNNNNNNNNNNNNNNNNNNNNNNNNNNNNNNNNNNNNNNNNNNNNNNNNNNNNNNNNNNNNNNNNNNNNNNNNNNNNNNNNNNNNNNNNNNNNNNNNNNNNNNNNNNNNNNNNNNNNNNNNNNNNNNNNNNNNNNNNNNNNNNNNNNNNNNNNNNNNNNNNNNNNNNNNNNNNNNNNNNNNNNNNNNNNNNNNNNNNNNNNNNNNNNNNNNNNNNNNNNNNNNNNNNNNNNNNNNNNNNNNNNNNNNNNNNNNNNNNNNNNNNNNNNNNNNNNNNNNNNNNNNNNNNNNNNNNNNNNNNNNNNNNNNNNNNNNNNNNNNNNNNNNNNNNNNNNNNNNNNNNNNNNNNNNNNNNNNNNNNNNNNNNNNNNNNNNNNNNNNNNNNNNNNNNNNNNNNNNNNNNNNNNNNNNNNNNNNNNNNNNNNNNNNNNNNNNNNNNNNNNNNNNNNNNNNNNNNNNNNNNNNNNNNNNNNNNNNNNNNNNNNNNNNNNNNNNNNNNNNNNNNNNNNNNNNNNNNNNNNNNNNNNNNNNNNNNNNNNNNNNNNNNNNNNNNNNNNNNNNNNNNNNNNNNNNNNNNNNNNNNNNNNNNNNNNNNNNNNNNNNNNNNNNNNNNNNNNNNNNNNNNNNNNNNNNNNNNNNNNNNNNNNNNNNNNNNNNNNNNNNNNNNNNNNNNNNNNNNNNNNNNNNNNNNNNNNNNNNNNNNNNNNNNNNNNNNNNNNNNNNNNNNNNNNNNNNNNNNNNNNNNNNNNNNNNNNNNNNNNNNNNNNNNNNNNNNNNNNNNNNNNNNNNNNNNNNNNNNNNNNNNNNNNNNNNNNNNNNNNNNNNNNNNNNNNNNNNNNNNNNNNNNNNNNNNNNNNNNNNNNNNNNNNNNNNNNNNNNNNNNNNNNNNNNNNNNNNNNNNNNNNNNNNNNNNNNNNNNNNNNNNNNNNNNNNNNNNNNNNNNNNNNNNNNNNNNNNNNNNNNNNNNNNNNNNNNNNNNNNNNNNNNNNNNNNNNNNNNNNNNNNNNNNNNNNNNNNNNNNNNNNNNNNNNNNNNNNNNNNNNNNNNNNNNNNNNNNNNNNNNNNNNNNNNNNNNNNNNNNNNNNNNNNNNNNNNNNNNNNNNNNNNNNNNNNNNNNNNNNNNNNNNNNNNNNNNNNNNNNNNNNNNNNNNNNNNNNNNNNNNNNNNNNNNNNNNNNNNNNNNNNNNNNNNNNNNNNNNNNNNNNNNNNNNNNNNNNNNNNNNNNNNNNNNNNNNNNNNNNNNNNNNNNNNNNNNNNNNNNNNNNNNNNNNNNNNNNNNNNNNNNNNNNNNNNNNNNNNNNNNNNNNNNNNNNNNNNNNNNNNNNNNNNNNNNNNNNNNNNNNNNNNNNNNNNNNNNNNNNNNNNNNNNNNNNNNNNNNNNNNNNNNNNNNNNNNNNNNNNNNNNNNNNNNNNNNNNNNNNNNNNNNNNNNNNNNNNNNNNNNNNNNNNNNNNNNNNNNNNNNNNNNNNNNNNNNNNNNNNNNNNNNNNNNNNNNNNNNNNNNNNNNNNNNNNNNNNNNNNNNNNNNNNNNNNNNNNNNNNNNNNNNNNNNNNNNNNNNNNNNNNNNNNNNNNNNNNNNNNNNNNNNNNNNNNNNNNNNNNNNNNNNNNNNNNNNNNNNNNNNNNNNNNNNNNNNNNNNNNNNNNNNNNNNNNNNNNNNNNNNNNNNNNNNNNNNNNNNNNNNNNNNNNNNNNNNNNNNNNNNNNNNNNNNNNNNNNNNNNNNNNNNNNNNNNNNNNNNNNNNNNNNNNNNNNNNNNNNNNNNNNNNNNNNNNNNNNNNNNNNNNNNNNNNNNNNNNNNNNNNNNNNNNNNNNNNNNNNNNNNNNNNNNNNNNNNNNNNNNNNNNNNNNNNNNNNNNNNNNNNNNNNNNNNNNNNNNNNNNNNNNNNNNNNNNNNNNNNNNNNNNNNNNNNNNNNNNNNNNNNNNNNNNNNNNNNNNNNNNNNNNNNNNNNNNNNNNNNNNNNNNNNNNNNNNNNNNNNNNNNNNNNNNNNNNNNNNNNNNNNNNNNNNNNNNNNNNNNNNNNNNNNNNNNNNNNNNNNNNNNNNNNNNNNNNNNNNNNNNNNNNNNNNNNNNNNNNNNNNNNNNNNNNNNNNNNNNNNNNNNNNNNNNNNNNNNNNNNNNNNNNNNNNNNNNNNNNNNNNNNNNNNNNNNNNNNNNNNNNNNNNNNNNNNNNNNNNNNNNNNNNNNNNNNNNNNNNNNNNNNNNNNNNNNNNNNNNNNNNNNNNNNNNNNNNNNNNNNNNNNNNNNNNNNNNNNNNNNNNNNNNNNNNNNNNNNNNNNNNNNNNNNNNNNNNNNNNNNNNNNNNNNNNNNNNNNNNNNNNNNNNNNNNNNNNNNNNNNNNNNNNNNNNNNNNNNNNNNNNNNNNNNNNNNNNNNNNNNNNNNNNNNNNNNNNNNNNNNNNNNNNNNNNNNNNNNNNNNNNNNNNNNNNNNNNNNNNNNNNNNNNNNNNNNNNNNNNNNNNNNNNNNNNNNNNNNNNNNNNNNNNNNNNNNNNNNNNNNNNNNNNNNNNNNNNNNNNNNNNNNNNNNNNNNNNNNNNNNNNNNNNNNNNNNNNNNNNNNNNNNNNNNNNNNNNNNNNNNNNNNNNNNNNNNNNNNNNNNNNNNNNNNNNNNNNNNNNNNNNNNNNNNNNNNNNNNNNNNNNNNNNNNNNNNNNNNNNNNNNNNNNNNNNNNNNNNNNNNNNNNNNNNNNNNNNNNNNNNNNNNNNNNNNNNNNNNNNNNNNNNNNNNNNNNNNNNNNNNNNNNNNNNNNNNNNNNNNNNNNNNNNNNNNNNNNNNNNNNNNNNNNNNNNNNNNNNNNNNNNNNNNNNNNNNNNNNNNNNNNNNNNNNNNNNNNNNNNNNNNNNNNNNNNNNNNNNNNNNNNNNNNNNNNNNNNNNNNNNNNNNNNNNNNNNNNNNNNNNNNNNNNNNNNNNNNNNNNNNNNNNNNNNNNNNNNNNNNNNNNNNNNNNNNNNNNNNNNNNNNNNNNNNNNNNNNNNNNNNNNNNNNNNNNNNNNNNNNNNNNNNNNNNNNNNNNNNNNNNNNNNNNNNNNNNNNNNNNNNNNNNNNNNNNNNNNNNNNNNNNNNNNNNNNNNNNNNNNNNNNNNNNNNNNNNNNNNNNNNNNNNNNNNNNNNNNNNNNNNNNNNNNNNNNNNNNNNNNNNNNNNNNNNNNNNNNNNNNNNNNNNNNNNNNNNNNNNNNNNNNNNNNNNNNNNNNNNNNNNNNNNNNNNNNNNNNNNNNNNNNNNNNNNNNNNNNNNNNNNNNNNNGUACUAAACGCACUGUUAACAAGUUACCAUCGGGGUAACACAGAAUCAUACUAUUACAACUGCUAGAUCAAUGAGUCAGUUCAUUCAUGAGUCUAUACUAGGAAGAGAAUAUAUACAACUAUACUACGAGAACAUAUACAACUAUACUAGAACAAGAAACAUUUCAUCACACAUGCAAGAAUACGAUAACAAAUGUGAUCCACUGUAUCGGAGCAUGCCUUAAAUGUCAUGGCCCGAGUUGUAGCCAGAAUUCUCUUGGAGGGAGAGCGUUGAGUUUGCGUAUAGAUCUAUACUGGAUUGACUAUCCUACACCUUGCUGCUAGCUACAGCCGGACCUGCAGGUCUGCGGGUGCCAAACGUCAUUCCGUUAUUACGACCGUUCUUUAUGUCGUUGUUAUAAGUCGAUAGUAUGGUGCAAUUAUCACAUUAUACCUUAAUAUAAAUCCGGUUUAAGGUAGUAGUAAUUAGUACAACAGUAGUUCUUAUUAUACAAAACUACAGUACUACAAUGAUUUACCCAUUACAUAUUUUGGUGAUAAUCUCACUUAAGCAUUAAUGUACAAACUAUAUUUUAUCAAAUGAUAGUUAUACUUGGGUAAUCACACACUUUUACAACAGACGAGUUUACAAAACAGUUAAGCCUUGGUAGAAGGUUACUUUUAUAGAAAAUAUAGGAUUUUCUGAGAGAUUCAAACUUUUGCAAAUACUUUUAAACAUUUAUUUACAUUUUUACAAACUUAUACAUUGGGACAAGUUCAACGUUUUUGACAAUGAACAUUGACACUAAAAUACUUAUGAACUCACCAGCUUAAUGCUGAUAAACUCUUUCAAAAUAACUUGUAUUCUCAGGUCAUCAGUAGACAGGUACCGAUGCCAGCUUUUGAGAAGAUGGAGUGUUCUAAGACUCAUCAUUUUGUUAUUUUGAUUUACGUUAUAUUUUUGGUGUCUAAAAAUUGUACAGAACACGCAUGUAUUAAAACUUUAUAUAAUGCAAUGGAUGAUGUUGUUUGCCUAUUUAUAUUAACUGUGUUGUGAAUUACCUACAUGACGUCCUCCGCCCCAGAACGUUUCCGCCGUUCUUGGUUUUGGGGUGUGACAGACAGGAAGAAGUCGACUUCUAUAUAUUCGAUAAAAGCGGAAACCCUAAAGAGUUCUUCAAACAGAAGGAAUGCGUAUCAGUUACACAGUCUCCUGCUCUGAUACCAAUUGUUAGAGCAAAGUUCUAGUAUGAUCGAUAGAUUCUAAAUAGAAAAACAAGAAUAGUAAUCUAAAGAACACAGGAAUGGCUCAAACGUUGUCGAAUGAUUAAACUUUAACACCUCAGAAGAGCUCGAUUAAGAACUUCGACUGUAGAUUUGAUCCCCAUUUCUCACAAAAUAUAGGUGGUCUCAAAUGNUAUAUAUAUAUAUAUAUAUAUAUAAAUAUAUAUAUGGUUAUGAUUAAAUGUGAACUAUAAAUAUUAUGUGAAUGUAUGACCAUUUUUUGUCUAUUUGAUUAAAAGAAGUGAAUGACUAUGAUUUGAGUGUACAUGUUAUUAAAAAAGGAUAACAUGUACUCUAUUAUACACCUAGUUAAUAAAAUUUUAUUUAAAAAGAGAAAUACAUUAUUUAUAUCCUAAUUUGAUGGGAUUUUUAUUUAAUUUUUAUAUAUCUUAUUUUAUAAAAUUAAUCAUGAAUAUAUUUUUUUAUCAAAAAGCAAAUAUAUAUUAUAAUAUGAUGAACUCAUAUUUUCUUUUAAUUAUUAUAGAACGACUUUAUUCAAGUUAUUUUUUUUAAAAAUUAAUAUUCUCAAAGAAUACAUUUACAUAUAUUCUCAAUAAUUAAGAAUUUCAUCAACAAAAUAAUCAUAUACUUAUUGCAACGUUGACACAUCUUCUAAAAAAUAUGUAAAAAGUAACACAAAUAAGAAUUUCACAAAGCGCAACGCUUUCUUGAGAAUAUGAUAAUUCUCACAUAAUAUAUAUAUUCAUGCAUUCUUUAACAAUAUCAAUUUUUACAGAAUAGUUGAGUCUGAUAAUGAGUAAUAAUACAUAAGAAAGAAUAAAAAUGAGAGAAAAUGGCAAACAAUUCUAUAGUUAAAGAUGCCCACAUUAGCGAAAGAAACUUUUUAGAUGAUUCUAAAAGAAUACAUGAAACUAAAAAAAAUACAACUACAUGAAACAUUUUUGAUGUACAUAGGGUCGAUUUGCAACUCCAUUCUUUUAAUGUAAAAACUAAAACAUGCCUCAUUCUUGAAAUAAUACAUUGAUAUUCUUGAUUCUUUUUGAAAAAUGACCCUUGUUGAUAGAUGCUUUUAUUCUUUUUGAUACACAACCUUUCUUGAUAAAUGUUUUUAUCACCUAUCACAUAUCUAUAUUGUUGAAAAGCUUCUCUUUAUACAAUUUCAUUAGUUGCAUAAGCAAGACCUUUAUAUGGUAUUAUACAAACUUGUUAUUCUGGACAAUGAUUUGUGAAACAUGCAUAUNNNNNNNNNNNNNNNNNNNNNNNNNNNNNNNNNNNNNNNNNNNNNNNNNNNNNNNNNNNNNNNNNNNNNNNNNNNNNNNNNNNNNNNNNNNNNNNNNNNNNNNNNNNNNNNNNNNNNNNNNNNNNNNNNNNNNNNNNNNNNNNNNNNNNNNNNNNNNNNNNNNNNNNNNNNNNNNNNNNNNNNNNUCUCUCUCUCUCGUUAUAUAUAUAUAUAUAUAUAUAUAUAUAUAUAUAUAUAUAUAUAACUUAGAAAAGAACAUGAUGGUAAAACUCCUAUGAAAAAUCAACAUCUUUCCUAUAACAAAUAAUUAUUUUAAGCACCUGAUUGAAAAAGUCAGUACAGUUGUACCAAUCUCAAUUUGAAUCAGAUUAGUUGUAUAUUCAAAUCCCAAACAUGGAUAGAUUUCAAUCAAUGGGUAUGAAGUUCCAAUGAUUUUUCAUUAAUAUGUACAAAUUGAAAGCAUAAUGAAAUCAACAUGUGUUAACUCUAUCGUCUAUAAACUAGAUAGUGAAGUAGAGACAGAAACUAACAUUUAGGCUAUCAUAAACACUACAAACGUAAUCGAUGAAAACUUUACCGGAUCUAGUAGAAUUGUAGAGCCAAGAAAUGCCGAGAAGAAAAGGAACAAGACCUAAGCCUCAAUAAAUAAAUCCAAAAAUUGAUGUUUUGCUUUACUCAGUCAAAAAAAUUUGAUUCCUAAGGUACCAGAACAUCCUUGGAAACACUCACAGAUUCUCAGAGAACGAAUCCUCUGAUGCUUUUUUUUAACCGUACAAAGACAGUAAAUGCGUGUUCUUUAAGAACCCUUUGUUCGAACAAGUUUAAUCAUUGUUACAGCAUGCUUAAGUUAAGUAGUGAUGCGAUAAUGAGGUGUUCACAUACUUUAUCCCAAUUGUGGGCAAAUCAAGAUGUAGGGAAGCAAUUCUACUUUUCACACAUUUUCCAAACAAGUUGGGUUUCACAACCAAUUUGGAUGAUGAGAACCAUGGUUUCCUCUUGAUUAGAUCAUUCAAUCAGUGGAUUCUAUAAGCUAACAUAUGAAAAAUAAAGUAUAUCGAUCAAAAAUCUCACCUCAAAUCCUAUGUAUCUCACAUGCUUCUCCUUGGAUUAACAUAGAUAGAAAUGAAAAAUGAAUUUGAUGUUGAAAUCGUUGGUAAGAGAAGCAAAGUAGCAAUUUUUUUUAUAGAGACUUGUGCUUUUUUUUACAGACUAACCUAAAUAUGUUUAGCGCCACCAUUGAUUUGAGGUUGUGACAUUAAGUGCAUGAGAAUCUCAAAAAGAAAAUUUGACCAAUUUUUUUAGGCAUUCCAUGGGAAAAUUUCUAAGUCGUUAUAGAAAAGGGGAAGGUUUAAGCAAUUGUAGAGCAUCAACUCUCUCUCUCUCUCUCUCUCUCUCUCUCUCUCUCUCUUUCUCUCUCUUUAUGCAUCGAUCUCUUACAUGAAUCUGGUGGUGAUAAUGUCGUUCUUUGUUGUAGAUCGUGUGCCGAUGGAGAUGAACCAGUCCGUGGUGAUGUUGGUUGAUUUUAAGAUUACGAUGAUGGCGUGUAUAGUGGUAUUGAACCAGAGAAUUGGGAACGUGAAUUGGUGAUGAUUAAGUGACUGUUUCAGAUCAGUACGGUUUAGAUUUUAAAAGAUGUUUAUUUAUAUAUUUUAUAACUUAUCCGUGAUUUAAUGGAAAUAUUUAUAAAUAUAAGAUUUAUUUUUGUUUAUUAAAAUAGUUGUAAAGAAAAUAUCGAAAUUUCCCUUAUAUCUUGUUGGGUUAAUAAUUGGUUAUACAUUCAUAUAAUACUUAAAUNAUUAAAUACUAAAAUAUAUUUAUAUGUGAUUGUCAAUAUAAGACAAUAUUGUACUUUAAUAAAUGAGACUUUAAAAGUACUGCAUGAAUCACUGAUAACCACCAUUAACAUAUGCUUUACCAAAAACCCAAGAACCACCACCAGUCAACCACCUCUGUAAGCUCGCACCAAGAAGAAAAGAAAGAAUAGAUGUUACAUUUCUUAUAUUUUUUGUGUGGUUGUAAUUGAUUAGAGAGAAAAGGAAUCGGGGUGGAGAAUUAUAUUUAUACGAGAUAAAGUACGUGAAAGGUAAUGAUUAAUGAUUUCAAAAUUUAAACCAUCAUUUUAUGAUAUAAAAAUCCCUGAAAUUCCUCGAUUGCAUUCCAUAUCCAAAUAGAAUACAAAGCUUAGUGAUUUUCUACCUUUAAGUCGUUAAUUAAAAAAUUCUUGCACUAAAGUGGGUACAACUGGGACACUAUAAAAAAAAAUUGAUCAUAUUAUAUAAACUAGUUGUGAGACCCGUAUGUUAUACGGGUUUGAUAAAACAAAAAUUAAAUAUAAAAGUUUAAACUAAAACUUGUUUAAAUUUGAAAUUUUAGAUUUGAAAUUUAAAAUUUAAAUUUAAAAAGAAACAUAUAAAUAUUAUAUGAAUACUAAUAUUGUAAUUUAUUGGUUAUUUUCAAUUAAAGCAAUGAUUAAUUGAUGUGUAAAUAUGAUGUAUUAAUUAAGAAAAAAUAAAAAAAAAUAUAUGAAAAUGACAAAUGGAAAUAACAUUUAAUCAAAAAUACCAAAAAAUGACAUGUGUCCAAGUUAAUGAGAGAGUGACAUGUGGCAAAAUUAUUUUCAUUUAUCAGGGAAGAAAUCACCCUAUAUACUAUCAUACAUCAUUUCAGCCUAACUUUUGAGAUUAUAAUUAUCAUAUGAUUAUCAUUUGACUAACUUUUAUAUUUUAGUUCAUUAUAAUUUUUUAACAAUUACAUUUUUAUUACUGACUUUAUUAAUAUUAGUAAUUAGUAAUUUUAAACUAAUUCUAUUAUUAAGAUAAAAAACAAUAAUAAUAUUGUUUUCAUAAUAUAAUAUUAUAAAAAAUAAAACUUCCAAAUUAAUGCUCAUUAAUUUCUUUACUUUGUUUUUUUAGUAACUCGUAAACUUAAUACAUGUUAUUUUUUUCAUUUUCAUAAAUUUAAUACAUUUUAUUUUUUGUUAGAGUUAAGCCUCUUUUUUUAAAGAUAAAAUCAUAUUUUUUUUCCAUUUCCAUAAACAUAAUAUCUUUUGAUUUUUAAUAAAUCUGAAAUUUAUGUUUUAAUUGAAAAGAAACUUGUCUGUGUUAACAUGUAUUUGAUAAUUUUUAAAGUUUGGUAUAUGAUUGUUACUGAUUUCAAGGUUAUGUUUUAAAUUAAAGUUUUUAUAAAAUGUUGCGUAUGAUGUAUCUUUACCUUUAUUAUCAUAUUGAUACCAAAAAACAGAUUUUAUGAAUGAAUAGAAAAAAUAAUAAAAUCAGGUGAAAAAAAAUAUUAGAUUUCAAACUUACUAUUGAAAAAUUAGCCUAUGAAAAAGUUAAUUAUCUGAGCAUUUCAUGAAAUAAUAAAAAGAAUUACUAAAGAAAAAAAUGGAAUAUAUAAUCUGUAUCCUCAUUUCCUUCCCGCUUUAGUUUCACUCUUAUCCUGGUUGCUAACCGGUGUGGGAGACGAAGCCAAGUCAUUUCCCUUUAAGGAUCUAAGUGCCACUCUUUCUAGUUUCAUUCAAAAUGCCACAAAAGUAUAUGUUUAAAACAUCUCAUUGGAGGUGGGAUAUAAUUCUCGGAUUGAAUGUCUCUCAUUGUGGUCUUGAUUUUAAGCUAGUACAAUCAAAGAUUUUGGUAUGAAUUUGGUACUAAUCUUGAUCUUUUCUCUUGUCUGUUUUUUUAAUAGGUCUUCUGCCUUCGAUCCGCGAAGUACAACUUUAAAUUUGUCAAAAUAAUAAAAUUUAAAUACUUGAAAUUUUAUAUUUUAAGUUUUUAAUCAUUUUUUAAAUAAUUUAAUUAAUCAUUUUAUAGUUAUCAACAUUUUUUACUAAAAUUUUUAACUUUUUAUUAGUCAUUAAGAUUUCGAAUUAUAAAUACUAUUUUUCUUUCUCAAUCGUGAUUUUCAUGAGUUUAAACCUAGUAAUAAUAAUGUAAGUACAAUAAAGCAAACAUAAAUUUGAAAGUCGAAAGGGUUAAUUGAUUAUUUUGAAAGUAAUAGAUAUUAUGAGGUCGGUAGAUUGUGGGAGAAUAAGGAACGACCAGGAACCAAAGAUUUAUUUAUAUGGAUCUGAAUUGCGAUUAUACAUAUCGUCUAUUGAAUUUUCUUCCCAAUAAAUAUCUUCACCAAGUCUAUAUCUAUGCCGACAAGCCACGUAUUAUCUAUUUUAAUAAAUGAAGAUUAAUUUGUCACAUUAAUCUCUUAUAAGUUUUGAUACUUGUCAUUUUGUGAUUUAUUUAAAAUAAAAUAAUAUCCACAUGUCAAUUUCUAAAUUUUUUUCAAAUUUUAAAAUUAAAAUUACAUAAUAAUUAUACUUAUAUAUUAAAGUAUUAAAUGUAAUAAAUUUAAUAAUAAAUUGCAAUUAAUAUGUUUUUUAUUUCUUAUUUCAAAAUUUUAUUUUAAAAAUAUUUAUUAUUUAGAUUCUUAUAUUUAAUCUUUUUUUAAUCAACUCGUAUAAUACACGGAUUUUGCACCUAGUUUAUAAUAAAACUUAAAUUACAUAGGAUAUUUAUUUGAUUUAUAAUAAAAUUGACCGCCAAUAAGAAAAAGUUAAAAAAAUAUAGAAUAAGUUGUAUUUAAAAAGUAAUUGAAAUCAUGGCUAAAACUAAGGGAUGCAGCUUAAAUCUAUUAAUUUACAAUUUUAGAAAAUGAUUAAUAUAGUUAAAUAAAAACNNNNNNNNNNNNNNNNNNNNNNUUCAUAUAGUUUUCUCUCUCUCUCUCUCUCUCUCUCUCUCUCUAUAUAUAUAUAUAUAUAUAUAUAUAUAUAUAUAUAUAUAUAAUGUUGUUUUUUUAGAUUUUUAAUUAAACAUCAUGGUUCCCAUAAUUAUGGUAGUGUUAGACAAGAUUCAAUUCAAGAAAAUUCAAAUAUUCUUUGGUUAUAUUAGCUCGGAUAACUCAAUAAAACUUGAGAACAUUAGGUGUUAGGACACCGCCGUUGGUGGGGUUUCAAGGGAUCACCCCUGACAUGGGUUUUGCAGUCCCGUCAACAGCUAGGGUCAAGAAGUAGACCCUGACUUGAAAAAUAAUUGAUAUAGAGAAAAUAAACCAUAUUGAAAUUUUCAUGCCUUAUGGAAGUUUUUUGUGUUAAGGAGGCACCGUCAAUAUUGGAAAAUUUGAUGUUGCAAGAGUUUUUAUACAUUGGGAAAACUCUUUUCUUGUAUCUUUAAAAUUGUUUUUAGUAAACAUAUCACAAAACAAGAUAAUUAUGUGUUUUAGUAUUCGUAUGUCACACCCCCGAAACCAGACGGCGGAAACGUCCGAGGGUUCGCAUGACUUAAAUUGAAUAUCAUCGCAAUGAAUAUACAUGAAUCAUAACAUAAACAUCACCAUGCAUCAAUACAUUACAACUGAUAUUGUUCACGUCCAAUACAUUGUUUUAAAUAUUACACAUCCAUAACAUAAAUUGUUUGAGAGUUUUCAGAACAUAACAUCCUAAAAUACUUGGUAUUAUCCUUCAGCUUACCUGUUACCUGAGAAUACAAGUUAUUUUGAAAACGGUCAACAUAUGAAAUGUUGGUGAGUUCAUAAGCAGGAUUGUGUUAAAAAUGAUUUGUUUUGUUUAUAAAACCCAGAAAAUCCGAUAUUUUCUUAAAAGACAAUUGUUUACUAAAGUGUGAAGAUCCAUAAGUUGAUGCAUGAGUGAUUUCAAAACGUGUAUAAAAGGGAGUUUUGUAUUAUAUUUAUAGAUAAAUACAAGUGAGUGGUGUUGAUUUCCUCGAAAAACCCGAUAUUUUCCGAUAACAUAAAAUAUAAUUGUUUUUCAAAUUGCUAUACCGCCAUAACGAAUGAUCUUGAUUACUCUUCCUUGAUUACUCGGAUGAUAUUGGAUUUAAUUAAUUAUGUAAGUCAUUAUAACCAUGCAUAAUAAUGACUAAUUCAUUUAUCUUGGCAACUUAACGUACGCCGGGAUUGAUCUUAAGAUUUUGUCACCCUAUACUGGCCGAGUCUAAUUGUAGCGAACAACUGAGGUGUGGGGGAGUCACCCCCAUAUAGAUCUAUACACAAACUCUCGAUCUCCUUCCAUGAGACUUUGAUUAUAACUACAGACUACGAACGACCCUUAGAGGUGUCGCCCGUUAUUGCUCACUUAAUCCAAACAAAAUUGAUUACUAUUGAUUAACAACCUGAAUUUGUUUAAUUUGAUUACAAAUAAGCCUAACAAACGAGGAGAAGAGGAAUACAAAGUCCUGCUAAAUUUCGUGUGUUAUUUUAGGCUGUUGGAUAUACGAAGGACACAUUGGCCCAUUAUAUAUUUGAUUAAAUUGGACCUUACUAGCAAUGCUAAUGGACCACCAAGCCCCAAUAGCGCAUAUAAGCCAUUAAGGGUCCGUUAAACAUGUAAUUGGGUCACAGGAGGCCCAAUAGACACGCGUUAUUAUUAAUGUUAGGCCCAAAAGUCAUGUCAAUGGGCCACGAAGGUCCAAUAAGCAUGAUUACAAUCUUUCAAGCCCAACUAUUUGGAUAUUUACUUGUUUUAGGUAUAGUAUAGUUGUUGGAAAGUUUGAUUGAACGAUUGUUAUCUUCGUAUCGACGCGUGGUCGGUCGGUUGUUGAUAACGAUAUUUGGAGUUAUAUAUAUAUAUAUAUAUAUUCAUCUUUCUAUUUUCAUGUGUUGUAGUUUGGUAUUUUUGACUCAAAUAUCUUAAAAUCAGAAUAAUUGGUUUAAAAUGUUGGUUUGACCCUUUUCACCAUUUCUUUAAUAAAAAUGACAAUUUUAGUCCCUUAUUUUGAAAAAGAAACAUUUUAGGCACUUAAACCAUGUUCUUGACAUUUUUGACCCAUAGACUUGUUUAAAUGAUGAUUUUUAGUUCAAAAAUUUCUCUUUGGCAGUUUCAACCCUUCCAGUAAGGAACGUUUCAGUUAAAACCCAAGCUUUUCGCAAUUUUUACAAUUUUGGCCCAAAAUCCAAAAACUUUACAUUUUUUUAUCCUUAUUUGGAAAAUAAAUCAUUUUAACCCCUAAAUUGGUUUUGUUUACCCUUUUUAUCCCCUGUUUUGAGGAUUUUAUCAUUUCAGUUCCUUGAAAAUUAAGUUUUUUUUGCAAUUUUGAGCUCAAUGGGCCGAAUAGCCCAAAAAUUGGCCCAUUAAGCUACACAUUACAUUUCUAGUCCUUUGAAGAGUAUAAUAUUCAUAGCAACAUUUAUUUUAACUAUUUUGACUUUUUUGAUCCUUAAGAAAAACCGUGAAUGACGAUUUUUAACCCAACUUUUGUUUAUUUGAGAAUUUAAGUCCAAAAAUGGGUUUUAUGUUGUAACAUGCUUAUUUUAACCUUAGAUGAUAAUUUUUAUUAACUUGUUAAGUGUAAUAUGUAUUAGAUCAUGUUUUUUUCCUUCUUGUGCCAUAGAUAUCGAUAUUUCUUUCUUUUUGUUUGCAUAUUUACCACAUAACCACAUAAAACCACACAUACAUGCAUGAAAUCACACACAGCAUACACAUACACAUAGAUCUACACAUUUUACUUGUAUUCUCCCCUAUAAAACUUGUGAAAACCGAAAAGAGAGGGGUAUGAACUCACCUUUUCUUGUUGAUUUCGAUUUGAAGAAGAGAUGGAAGAGUUUGAUGUUAUUUUCGGCCCUAGCAAGCUUUUCUUGGGUUGACUUUGAUAUUAGAGAUUUCUAGGAUGGUGAUCAUGAGUUUAUAUGAGUUAAGAAGAGAUUUUUGAUAAAACAAAGAGUCUAGAUUAUGGAUCCAAGCAUCAACUUACCUAAGAUGAUGAUUUUUGGUGGAAUAACCUCCUUGAAGAGCUCUUAAUUCUCGAAAUUUUGAUGGAUAAAGGAGUUGUUAUUAUGAGUUCUUGAGAUAUGUUUAAGUGAAUUGUCUGUGUGUGUGUGUUUUUCCCUUUGGCCGAGAGUGAUUAAAAGAGAAGGAGAAGAGAGAGAUGUGAAAUGAUGGUUGCUUGGAGAUAUGAGAUGUUGCUUGGAAGUCCAUGGUGUAAUAAGGAGGUGGGUAACCCUCCUUAUUUCAUGAGUUUUUUUCCCUCUUGGGCCGAGAAAAGGGAAGAAAGAAAAAGAUUUUGGGCCUUUGGUGCUUAAGUCCAUAUCAUGGGCCCAUUUUGAUGAUUUGCGACCCAAUAUAAUUUAAAGAAUGAUUUUUAUGGCCCAUUAGGGCUAUUUAGUUUUGUUAUGGCCCAAUAAGGCCCAUUAAAGGGUUCUAAGCCCAAAAAUUCAAAUUGUAAGCUUAUUGGUUCAUUAGGCCCAAUAAGAAAAUCCUAGUCCAAAAUUACUUAAACCGGGAUUUUUAGGGCUUCUAACUUUUGUUGACUAUUGAGAGUUUGUAUAGGGUAUUUGAUGGAAUUUUUUCGUCAUUGAAUAACACCAUACAUGUUUUCUAGUUUUAGCUGCAAUGUCAUUCUUUGUUAAGUGUCUACAACGUAUCAAAAUUCCUAGUUGUGACAUCAUCCCCCCGUUAGAGGGAAUUUCGUCCCGAAAUUCUUUUUAAAGCUAGAUUGGAGAAUGUGAGAAUACAUGAGGGUACUUCUGCUUCAUUUGGUCAUUGCGUUCCCACAUGAAUUUUGGUCCGCGUCUUGCGUUUCAUCGAACUUUCACAAUCAGAAUGUGACUUUACUUAGUACGCUUCACUUCCCUGUCCAUGAUUUCGACUGGUUCUUCAAUGAACAGGAGAUUCUCAUUGAUUUCGAUUUUUUCUAAUGGAAUGACGAGAGUCUCGUGGGAUAAGCAUUUCUUUAAAUUAGAAACAUGGAACACGGGGUGUAUACUGCUGAGCUCAGCGGGUAGCUGCAGUCUAUAAGCCACUGGACCGAUUCGGGCCAGAAUCUCGAAGGGUCCAAUGUAUCUAGGGUUUAGUUGUCGCCGUUUUCCAAAACGAAUAACCCCUUUCCAAGGAGAGACCUUUAACAACACUCGAUCCCCGACUUGAAACUCCAAGGGCUUUGUCCGUUUAUCAGCGUAACUCUUUUGUCGGUCUCGUGAUGCUUGUAGUCGAGCUCUGAUUUGAACUAUUUUCUCUGUUGUUUCACGUAUGAUCUCCGGUCCCGUUAACGCAUUGACUGGUGUCAGUCCUCUUGCUAGCUGGGUGUCACCUACCUCAGCCCAACACAACGACAAUCUACAUUUACGUCCAUACAACGCCUCGAAGGGAGAAACAUUGAUGCUCGAGUGAUAACUGUUGUUAUAUGAGAAUUCGAUUAAGGGCAAGUGGGUAUCCCACGAAUUUCUAAAGUCUAUCACACAUGCGUGAAGCAUGUCUUCAAGCGUCUGAAUGGUUCGUUCGCUUUGACCAUCCGUAUGCGGAUGAUAAGCGGUGCACAUGUUGAGAUGUGUUCCUAGUGCUUUCUGAAGUGAUUGCCAAAAACGUGAAGUGAAUCUACUAUCCUUAUCUGAGAUGAUAGAUACUGGCACUCCAUGGAGUCUCACAAUUUCCUUGAUGUAUGUCCUCGUCAACCUUUCCAUCUUGUAGGAUUCUUUUAUUCACAGGAAAUGAGCGGAUUUCGUCAAUCUGUCGACUAUUACCCAUAUGGUAUCCAAUCCAUCUGUUGACUUGGGUAAUUUGAUCACAAAGUCCAUAGUAAUCCUUUGUCCAAAAGCUCACCGAGUUGGCUGGACAAUUCUUGCAUCUCUGUAGGAGUCAAUCUGUAGGGCGAUUUGGCGACGGGUGUAGCUCAUGGUACAAGAUCAAUUCGGAACUCAACUUGUCUUUCUGAGGGUAUCCCCGGAAGAUCUUCAGGGAAGACAUCCGGGAACUCGCAAGCUACUAGAAUGUCUAGAAUAUUGACCUCUUCCUUGGAUUUAUCCACUAUAUGAGCCAAAAACAUCAAGUCCUUCUUUCGUAGAUACUUAUGUGCCUUACUGCACGAGAUAAGACGAAGGUUCGUGUUGGGUUUGGUGGAAUAACCUCCUUGAAGAGUUCUUAAUUCUCGAAAUUUUGAUGGAGAAAUGAGAGGUUAAUGUGAGUUCUUGAGAUAUGUUUAAGUGAAUUAUGUGUGUGUGUGUUUUUCCCUUUGGCCAAGAGUGAUAAGAAGAAAAGGAGAAGAGAGAGAGGUGAAAGGAUGGUUGCUUGGAGAUAUGAGAUGUUGCUUGGAAGUCCAUAGUGUAAUAAGGAGGUGGCUAACCCUCCUUAUUUCAUUAGUUUUUUGUUUUUUUUUUGUUUUUCCUCUUGGGCCGAGAAAAGGGAAGAAAGAAAAAGAUUUUGGGCCUUUGGUGCUUAAGUCCAUAUCAUGGGCCCAUUUUGAUGAUUUUCGGCCCAAUAUAAUUUAAAGAAUGAGUUUUAUGGCCCAUUAGGGCUAUUUAGUUUUGUUAUGGCCCACUAAGGCCCAUUAAAGGGUUCUAAGCUCAAAAAGUCAAAUUGUAAGCUUAUUGGUCCAUUAGGGCCAAUACGAAAAUCAUAGUCCAGAAUGGACUUAAACCGGGAUUUUUAGGGCUUCCAACUUUUGUUGACUAUUGAGAGUUUGUAUAGGGUAUUUGAUGGAAUUUUGUUUUCAUUGAAUAACACCAUACAUGUUUUCUAGUUUUAGCUACAAUGUCAUUCUUUGUUAAGUGUCUACAACGUAUCAGAAUUCCUAGUUGUGAAAUCGUAAGAGACCUGCAAUUUCAAACUGAUUUUCUUGGAUUAUAAAAAAUUACAUUUCGUGAUACCUCUUUGAUAGAAGAAUUUUAAGGCGAGAAUGGAUAAGUGUGUGUAAUUAAGGGUGAGCAAACCCAAACCAAGAAACCGAUUAAAACCGACAAAACCGAAACAAAAAAAAAAAAAAAAAAAAAAAAAAAAAAAAAAAAAAAAAAACUGAAACUGACGGUUAGGGUUUCAAUUUUUAAAAACCAAAAAAUCGGGUUCGGUUUCGGUUUUACAUAGAAACCGACCCACUAAACCCGUAAAACCGACCCAUAUAUAAACCCAAGAAACCGAACCAAGAACCGACCCAUGUAUAUACUAAAAAACAAAAUAUUUAAUAUUACAACCCUAAAUGGCGUAAUCGGUAAUCGAAAUCGAAAAUUAGGUCUCACUUUCUCACUUAGCACCGUUCUUAAUAUUGCUCAUCUCCCUUCCCCUGAUCGAAGCUGACGACGCAACACUCCGACGAGCUCAACCCCAUUCCCAAACCGCCGACGCCACCCAUCCAAAGACCAAAGCUACUAGCCUGCUACCGUGCUACGCCUCUGACAGUUCCUUCUCCCGUCUCACUUAUCAAAUUCUCAGGUUUGUUUUCAAAUUUCUCCCUUCUUGCUUAUCAGUUUGUCACUUCUUGGUUGCAAUUGCCAAUUUGUGCAUUGCUUUGUUGUUAUUGGAUUGCUUGUUCAUCCCUAAACAGCUGAUUAGUACACCGAUUUUGGAAUGGCAGGAAACUACCGACUAUUCUAAUCUUCUACACCGGUUCAAUUUAUGAAAUUAUUACACCCUAAUGUUCAAUUUCUUAUUCCGACUGCUAUAAAUUUGUAUAUAAUACACAAUUUGUUAACUCAAAGUUGAUGGUUUGGUUUUGGAUUUGUUUAUGAAUUAUAAUGCUGAAAUAUCGGCGAUUUAUUAUGAAUUCUGUCAUUCUGAUGCUGAAAUAUUGUUCAUGAAUUUGUUUAUGAAAUAUAAUGCUUAAAUAUUGUUCCUGUAUGACCUAAAAACAUAAUUUUUUGGUAACUACGGACUUUGUGUUUUACUUUGAAUGUGUUUUGGUUGUAAAACUCUGUUUUUUGAAGUAUUUAACUUCAAUUUGGUGUUUUUUGAAUUAUUUAACUUAUUGCUCCAUCUCCGGAAAAUGGGUUUAAACCCAGAACCCGUAAGUGUAUGGAUUGAACCCAAGAAACUGAGAAACCGAUAACAGAACCCGAGAAACUGAACCGACCAGAAACCGAUCCUAUUGGGUUCAGAAAAUCAUAAAGCAACCAUUUACGGUUCUGGUUGGGUUGGGGUCCAAAAUCGACCCAAACCGACUCAUGCACAUGCCUAUGUGUAAUACAUUACGGUACAUGAUAUAUCCAUCAGAAGUCAUACACGGUCCAACAAUUAUCGAAGUGUACUAUGGAUAUCCAAAACCCGAAAUCUAACAUCAUAACACAAUAAUAUAUAAGAACGAAUACCAACAACUAGAUAUGAAACUAUUGAUCUCUUGUUCUCUGAUAUUUGAUAUUUGAUAUGAAGAAUGGGAAUCACCUCAAAUUUAUUUACAAGUGAGUGUACUUUUUGGUAAUUACAUAUCAUUAGGGUACUUUUGUUGUUUUUGUAUUUAGUAAUCGUUUCGUGUUCACUAUAACAAUUAGUUAGGUAUUUUAUUAUUGUAAUUGUAAACUUGUCUAACACUUUAUUCUUCAAUUGAACAUAAAACUAUGGCCAUCUCGAGUAAUUCCAUCUGAAUUCACUACAAAAAAAACAAACGCUAUCCUAGCCACCCUAUAGAUGUGACAAUUGUCCCAUAAAUAUCUUUACCUAUAAGGACGACAAGUCUGCUCUAUAUCAUUUUUAGAAAAAAUCUGCCACGGGAAUAAAAUUUAUUCUCCAAAAUGAAAAUUUAUAUAGAUCAAAGAUCUAUCAGUAUAGGGUAGAAUUCUAUCAAAACUAAAUAAUAUAUUUUAAUUUUUCCAUAUCUAUGUUCAAUAUAUAAAGUGUCAUCGUUUGAUACUCAUUCUUUAGACAUAUAAUCUGCCUGAUUUAAAUUAGGGAUCAAUCCAACUUCAUCAUUCACACAUCCAUCGUCCUUUUUGUUCUGACAAGAACAUGAUGUGGGGUUUCUUCAGUACCAGUGAAGGAAUCUAGUGAGGACCCAGCGAAAUAAUAACUAUACCCUUGUUUAUAGUGUAUAAUUUAUUUUUUAAAGGUAUUAUCUACUCUCUUUCUUAGCUGCUCUCUUUACCGGUUAUGACUCAAGACGACGGAGACAUUCCUCCGACGAAGAAAUCCCAAUAUGAUGGCUUUUGACCCUGUUUUGUAAAUGAUAUUUUUAAUUAAUUAAGAUAUACAUCCAUGAUUCCAUAGCUUGAUUCUUGAAUUUUGAUCUUUAAUUUUUGCUUUUUAUAUGUUAUUGUUAGUAAAUAUGAUCAUAUGCUCCUGAUUCUAUAAAUUUGGUAUUGAUUCCUAACAUUUGGUAUUUUAUUCCUAUUUUUGCGAUUGUUAAUUUCUAUAAUUUUAACAAAAAACUUAUAUGACAACAAACACUAACAACUAGUAUGAGAGGAAACUUCUAAAUGUUAUUCUAGAUUGGAAAACUAACACUAUAGCACAAUGAUAUUAAGUUGUUGUCUCGGAUUGAUCAACUAUGUAUUUUGCUCAUUACACCAUUAAUUUUUUAUUUUAUCUGUUUAAAUAACUAAUUUGUGACCUGCUUAACAUAUUUUCUGGUGACUUAGUAAUGUAGAAACAAUCAAUGUGAACUCAACUGCCACCUCAUCCACAUAGUGUCGACCAACUUAUUUAAGCACUACCAUAAUCGGAUCACACUAAAAACUUAUUUAACCACUCCUCUAAUCAUACCAUGGAUUUCUUACUCUUAAUAUCUCACAUAUCACAUUUAAAUUCCUUCAAAGAACUCUUUAUCCUUGUUCCAUCCAUGGAACCCUUCCUCUAAAUUCUUUAAUCAUACAUAAUAUCAUUCCCAUGUGAAUCAUAUAUCAUCAUCUACUAAAGGGGCCAUACUCUUAUUCACAUAGGAAUCAUAUUCUCUAUUUCAUGAUCAAUCAUACUCUCAUUCUUGAAAGAAACAUCUUUCUACUUUUUUCUUACUCUUUCUCUACACAUGUCCCAUAGACAUGAUAACUCUUUAUCUCAUCAAGAGAUAUUUUCUACUUCUCUAGUACUCAACUCAGUGAGUACUUAAUCUUAUUCUUCUUCUAAGACUACUACAUUUUAUGGCUUUGGUCACUUGAUAUUAGAAACGAACAGUCACUCAUAUAAUAUUUUAAGUAGUUGUAGGUCUCCAUCAUGUGACUAUUCGAAAUUGUAUUGUUACACCUUCUAAUAAUUAAGUAUUUGAAGUGAAUUGAAAGAUUUUUGCGAAACGGUCAACCACUUAUUAAUUAGGAGGCAUGACUAUAGAAUAUUGAGUUCGAUCCAUUAGUUACUCAAUACAUAAAAAAGUGACAAAUAUAAUGGAGUAAAAAAAAGUGUCCAAAUGUCAUAAAUUAUCACAUGAAGUAAAUGUUUAUGUCGCUAAGAACUAGACCGACUUAAAACCGGAACUAGUUUUUCCUAUAUUAUAAGAACCGGGGACUGGACCACCGGUUGUAGUGUCGGUUCCGGUUUCGGUCCCGGUUUUAUUGGUUAUUUUUCAAAUUAUAAUCGAUUGAAAUAUUAUGGAUGAUAUGUUAUCUUCCGGAGUUUAUAAAUGAUUCAAUAUUUAAUCAAAUUAUGACUUUUUACAUUCUAAAUUGAAGUACAAACACUAAAUUACCUGAUGAAAACAAAAUCAAGUAAUUUCGACUUCAUAUGAGUGAGUUAUGUGCAUUAGAUUAGAUUUGCCGGUUCAAAAAAAAAAAGUGCUACGCAUUCCAAAAAAAUGUUGAAACAGAAAAUGACAACAUUGAUAUGCUGUCUUCCAGGGUCUAUAACUGAUUCAAUAUCUAACCAAAACAUGUGUUUUUAUAGUCUACAAUGAUGUACAAACACCAAAUUACAUGCCGGAAGAAAAAUUAAAUAAUUCCGACGUCAUAUGAAUAGGUUAUGCAUAUUUAAAAAAAUGGGACGGAUUCAAAAAAAAUAUUAAAAUAGAAAAAAAACGCGACAUCGAUAUUCUUUCUUUUGAGGCAUGUGUCUUAUUCAAUAUCUAACCAAACCAUAUGUAUAUACAGUCAAAAAUAAUUACAAAGUCCAAAUUACAUGUUGGAAAAAAAUCAACUAACUCCAAUCUCAUAUGAGCGAGUUAAUACUCAUAAAAACAGAAAAAAUGUCAAACCGGUUCCGGUUUUUAGAACCAAAACCAGUUUUCAUAAAAAUGGAGAACCGGUAACCAGACCUUAUUACCAAUUAUGGUUCCGGUUCCGGCGGUUCUAAUGCUCAUCCUUAAUUUUUACUAUCUAGUUUUUAAAAACCAAACAGACCAAUCAUAAUUUUUUUAUUAUAAUUCAUUACAAAUAACACAAUUGCUUUGGUUAUAUAUUAAUAACAAAUUAGUAAAUAAUGAUAAUAAAAAUAUAAUCUUUUAAACCUCUUUUGCUAUAUAAAUAAAAAGUUUCAAUUAAUUUCUUGUACAUAUACUAAAUGAGCCUACAUAAUAUCCUCUGAUUGUGAUGCCGGAAGACAAAUUGAGAUUGUUCUUUUCACUUGAAUAGAACUCUUAUUAGAUUUGCAUACCAUUGUGCACGCAAUUGUACUUUUAUUGUGUGGCUAUCAUGCAUCCAAAUCCAACACACUAUUAUCCAUUUAUCUUUACGUGUAUGUAGUCAAUAUAACCAAAACUACUACUAGAGGUUCGUAGAAUCUAAAAGAUGGCACUGUUUUUUCUGUGUCUUCUUGUGUGUGUUCCUCUCCUAUCUCUCCUUUACCUUCUUUCAAAAAUCAUCAAAAACAGAUCAUGUUCAUAUCCGCCAGGCCCUCAUGGGUUACCCUUCAUUGGAAACUUGCACCAGAUCGAUUACUCAAGCCUCCAUACUUUCCUAUGGCAACUCUCUAAAUCCUACGGCCCAGUCAUAUCUCUUCAAUUCGGUUUCAUUCCAGCUAUCGUUGUUUCUUCUGCGAAUGUAGCGAAAGAAGUCUUGAAAACCCAAGAUAUCAUCUUUUGCAAUAGGCCUUCAUUUGUUGGGUCAAAAAAGUUAAGUUACAAUGGCCUUGAUGUAACUUUUUCUCCCUAUAACGACUAUUGGAGAGAUAUGAGAAAGGUUUAUAUGUUUCAUUUGUUGAGCCCUAAAAAAGUAGAAUCUUUUAGGUAUAUUCGUGAAGACGAGGUCUCAAGUACCAUGAAGAAGAUAUAUGAGCAAGCUCUUUCGUCUAAGAUGGUAAACCUGAGCGAAACUAUGAAGCAUGUGGCCAUUACUUUAGUGACAAGAGUGGGUUUUGGGAAGAGUUAUCAGGAUGAACAUGAAAGAAAAAAUGUCCUUCGACUACUUAAUGAACUUCAAUCGAUAACGGCAGAAUUUUUUGUUUCAGAUCUUUGGCCUGGUCUUCCGUUUGUGGGUUUGGUUGAUAGGUUCUUGGGAAAGAUGGAUCGGGUAGAAAAAUGCUUCAAAAGUCUUGAUUCAUUUUACGAAGAACUCAUUGGUGAACACCUCGACCCUCAAAACCGAAAGUCUAAUGAGGAAGAAGAGGAUAUUGUUGACAUUCUACUCCGCCUUAAGAAAGACAAAGAUUUCAAUUUCACAUACGACCACAUUAAAGGCAUGCUCGUGGUAAUCAUUACUUGCUCAUUUUAUUGGUUGGAUUAGUGGUCAUUUUUUUACAAGAUUUCCACUAACCAUCAACUUUGAUUUUCAUAUGUCCCAUGAAAACUUAUCAUAAUAAAGGUUUGAUAAAUUUUAAUCACAUCGAAAGUUUUUCUAAAACUCUGAAUCCAAUCAAACUUACGGAUUUUAUAUAAC
rnacentral:lncRNA from 1 species